rnacentral:lncRNA from 1 species
GAAGAAUAAAAAAAAAAUGUUGGACUCAUUGGACUUCUUGGCCCUCUUCUCGGGUUGAUGAAAGGAUUUAGGAGAGAAGUGGGUGCUUUGUACAGAAGAAGACCUUUGAUCAUGUAGACCACAAGUGUCAGCCUAGGUAAGUCGGAAUCUUGUGUAGCUAUUGUUCUUCAUUUCCGCUUUUUUUUACCCCUCUCCCUGUUAAAUAUCUGCAACCGACUGAUCUCCUGAAAAGGGUUAAAGAAGCUGGUUUUGUCAUUCAUUUACAUCCUCGAUAUAUGAUAAUGCAACAAGACGGAAAAUUAUUUAUUAUCAUUACGAGCCAUCCACCAUCCUUAGCCAAGAUGUUUUUCAACCCAAAUAGCAGUGUUCCUGAUUGCAGCUUAACUAUUAAUACCCAGCAUAAAGAAAAACCAGAGUUAAGGCAAUUAAAGGAACCUGAUGUUUAAUCCACACAGUCAUUCACUAAAUUAUAUCCACUGCAUUGCCGGAAUCUUGAAAUAUUAGUUUAUAUUUUAUCUGACCUAGUUUUUCCCUGCUUUGUAAAGGAUUUUUAAACCAUCCAGCAAAGGACACUUAACAAGCCUGCAAAUUGUUCCAGAGUGAUCCUUGACCUGUCUAAUGUCAGAUUUCUUGUGUCCGAAAAGCAGCUUAUGUCUCAAUCUACAAUACUGUAUGCAUGCACACAGUUCAAUCUCAGUACAUCGCACAUUGUCACUGGAAGCAACGUCUUUGCAAUCAAGUGAUAUUCACAAGUUUAAAUCUUUACGUUGUCUUUGUUGCAAUAUAUUGUGUUUUGCCUCCAAAGCAGAAUAAUAUAGAAUGCUGGAGUGUUAUAUGAGUUGUGUAAUGUAUGGAGUGGUUUUAAAAUGAUAACAUUGCUAAAAUGGGGAAACUUCUCAUUUACAACAUUGCACACAAGUGAUCAUUAUUCAAUUAAAUGGAAGUUUGGGAUGGUACCAGAAAUGACCUUGAGUGCUUUACACAAUCUAGAACCUAAAACCUCUCUUUAGAACCUUUCACCAGAACUGCAGACAGGGAGGCAUUGAGACGCAUCAAAUAUUUCAGAAAUGUAUGGCUCUCUUUUCAAAUCAGCAGAAAUUGCCUGUAGGAUAAAUCUGGUGUAAUAUUCACACCUAGCCAUUCAUUGGCUUUGUAGCAAUGAUACUUAGAAAAAUCACUCACUGCUUUGAUUUCCAAUAUUUUCUCAAAAUCCAGCAUUUUCCUAGCACACAGGACUGCAGUUCCCUUAUCUUUAUGUAGAGCGCAAGUGGCCAUAUUACAUGGCUUUAUAUGCGCAUUGUAAGCCUCCAAAUGCUUUUAUGUAGAUAUGGCAUGGAUUCAGCUGAACAAUACAGUAUGCCUGCAUAUUGAAUAGAUACAAAAACUGAACAGUUAACAGCUUCAAUCUGAAAAUGCAGGGUCACUUCCAGUCUUCUUUAGAUCCAGGGGACGAGGGUGACGGGAUAAUCAUAAAUAAAUAAUUUUCUGAAACAGUUGCAUAAUGGGGGUAUUGCUUAGAGAGAACAUGGAAAGAAGAUAUUCACUCUACACUCAGACUUGAGUAUACAUGCAGACAGUGGCGUACACUCUGAUAUUUGAAUAUACAAACAAGCGUGAAAAGUGACAUCAAUAUAAUAUUUUUAGUGCGUUCUUCCAAAUUGAGCAAAAUUGCAUCAAAUGCCCCGUAUGCUUGUUUGUAGAAAUAUGGAACACUAUCGUCAUCAAAAGAAUUGUUAUUGUAUAUUAUGCAAUGUGUCUGCACACUUCUCAACAUGUUGAAUGGACAGUGCAGGCCAAUAUUUGCUGUAUUUGGGUUUGGUUGUAUACUGACUGGUGGAUGGGCACUAGCAAUACAUUUUUCAUAAUUUCACAACCAAUUAAAAGCCCUUUAUGUAAUCAAGUUUAUGAUGAAAGAAGGGAAAGUAGAUUAGAAGCUUAAAAUGUACUUAUUAGCACAUUUGCAGCAGUUUACGUAUAUGGCGGGUUUAAUUGCUGUGGAGCUCUGUGAUGCCCAUCAAACAUUCUGAGCUCCUAAGACAGAAUGGACAAAUGAUGAAGAGGGGAGCAGUAAUAUUUUGGUCUGAAAAAUGGACACUACAGUAGUGUGCUACUUCCUUACAACACUUCUUAAUUUCUAAUUCCCCUCUUCAAGGUGAGAGACCAGGAUUACAGCCGAAAAUAAUGUACUAUAUUAUUUCUAAUGUUAAGUGUUGAUGUUACAUACUCUUUUCAAGGUAAUAAGAGGGCUCAAGGGCUUAUUGCUUCACUAAAUGUUAUUUUAGGAAAUCUCACAUCUGUACAUCUGCAUGUCAUCAACCAGCAGGUGUAUAUACAAAUCCCGAAUCCUGUCUCUUACUAAAUAUUUUUGGAAAGUGCAAAGACCUUCAGAAUGUAAGUGAGGUGUAUAGUGUCGCGUGUGUCUGGCGUCUAUGAGUAACCAUUUCUGCGUAAUGUCAAUGUGUUGUGUGAUUCAGAUAAUUGAUUGAUACUCUCUCCUUAGCUAAUGCAUCACAUGAAAUCAUGCUUUCUGAGAGAGAGGAACUGACAGUGGUGGGUCUUGCAUUUCUAAGCGUUUCUAUCAUCAUAUCCGUUGUUUAUGAACACAAGGCUGAAUCACAGGUGGUUAUGUCAUCAUCCAAUACCUCUUCGUCUGCAUUCUCUGCUGUAUGUUUAGGCAAUCCUUAUUGCUGUUUCCAAAACAUACUAGUGAGCUUUAAUUCAAUACAUUAAACCAAAUGCCACUUUGUUUGGUAUGCUACUGUAUAUGUUUUUUUGUUCAGUCUCAUAGACCUAUACAAAAAUGCAUGAGCAUUGUAAUGCUGAUAGCUUCUAGGGGCAUUAAACGUGUUUAGCUGUUACAUUUACAGUUGCUAGGUUAAACUGUCUCCCGCUUGUUUGGAUUAAGAAAUGUUUAUUCAAUGAAAGAUUUUUUUUAACCUUUAUUUAGUCCACCUAUAAGCUGCAUUCAUAAAAUGACUUCCCCCCACAGCUCUUCUAUGCAUUUACAUCAAUCUCUCCUACACUUCAGUGACUGAUAAUCCAAAUAGCACCAUAGUAACCUCUAUAAUGUAUAAACUCAAAUUUACUAAUGGCUCUGAAGGCCUUCAGAGUCAGGGUUUACCAGCAAAGAAUCCUGGGUAAUUUAAAAAAAACUGAAAUAUAAAAAUACGUCUUUUUUUCCCCCCUAACCAAUCUACAUUACAUAGCAGUAUUAAAUAAAUAAUAUUGCAUGGAGAUAACAUAUAUUUAAAUCAGAUGCUUUUUUUUUUAAUUAAAUUUUUAUUGUUUUGUUUGGUAGACAAAUAUACAAGUAUAGAUAUCAAUGAGUAUUAUCAUAUGACAAGCACAUUUACACUGGAUAAAGACAGUUAUUUUCCAUCAGUAAUGAACUGUCUGAAUAACAUGACAUAAGUCAGUGAAUGACAGGGGCCAUAAGACGGUGUUUGAAAGGAACAGUCUAUGGUGGAAAAGAAACAUCCUUUAAAAAAAUAUAUACAUAUGUGCAAAACAAUAAAUGAAAGAAUUAAAAAAAUAAAUACAUGUAUUUGACAUUCACAUUUUUUUUUUUAACAUUUUGUAGCACAUAUAGAAACACUGCAGAUUGAAAGGGAGGAUCAAAACCUUUUUUUUUUUUUUUCUUCUAAAAAACCUAAAAAAAAACCACAGUCAGUAUAAAUAACUGUAAUUUAAGCUACACUCGGCAAAUAGGUUUCUGGAAUGGGCCUUUAAGGUGUUUAUAUCUUUUAAUGCAUACUUAUUUUAACAAUGUUUAUUUCAAAUGAUUCGCUUUAUUGUGAUUUAAAAAACAAUGGUAUUUAAACCUUUAAAUGCCUGUUGCAUAGCACUUUUGUAGCACUAAAAGUGUUAACGUUAUAUUUGUAUACCAGUCCUACCUGCGGUUGCAGUGUGUCUUGUAAACAGUGAUUACGUCAGUAACAUUGUUAAUAACACACUGCAACAUGCUACAGCACCUUCGAUCAUUGUCUUCCAACAGCUUCAUUAGCCUGAUAUAUCAAUAUUUUAUUCUUAUGUGUGAUUGCUUUUCCAUAUUCACAUUUCCUUUUUAUUAACCCUGUUAGGGUUUAUCUACUCGUAUAUUCAAAGAUAUGAAUGUUUGUUUUUUGGAAACGUCUCAAACAUUAUCUGUGAGGUUCACUGGAUAGUAACCAACAAACAAAAUGUUCAGGUCAUGUGUUCGUUCCGGACAUAAUACUCAUUGACAUCAAUAAACGCUAUGGCUGGAACAACUUGUGUUAAGAGUUAAUAGAGUUUAGCCAAUCAAUCACACUGUUCCAUCAAUUCCUUUCAUCUUCUAACCUCGUAUUUGAUUUCUUUAGUUCUUUAGGGCCUAAAUUACAAUGUGUAAUUUGCUUAUCAAUCAUAAAUAUUAAAAAAAAAAAUCAACACAUUAAUUUAUCUAUUUAAGGUUUACAUCUGACUAGCUGCAUUUGGCCAUUUGUGUCAACUUUCAGGAUUAGGCAGCAUUGUCUAAAUUUGGGGGUCUAAACACAGAUUAAAAAUAUAUCUUCAAGUGCAUCAAGUUGGGAAUCAAAUCAAGAUUGUCUAACGCAAUAAACACUACUCUGUGUAUGUAACUAUACAGUAAUUCCACACUUUGAGUAAAAGAACGUUAGUUAUCUCAGCCAAUCAGUACCAUCCUAUCCAACAUGGGAGAAUUUUGGUUUGAGAAUGCAGAAUUGAGAACAAGUAGAGAGGCUCGGUUCUAAUUGCCAGAUCAACCCUAUGCUAAGUCAAAAUGUUAUAAAACCAGUUUGACACAAAACAAGGCAAGAUUGGCCAAAGUCUCAUUGUGCCAUAAUCAUUAGAAUAGGCUGCAGUGGUUAUGGUGCUUUGAGUGCCCCUUAAACUAACAUGUGCUUUUAAAUAAAAAGCCACUUAAAACGUGGUGAAACAGAAUUAAUUCAAUGAAAGCCGUAUAUUAAAACGUGAAAACACAAUUUAAUUUUUUUUAAGCUCUAUGAAGGGCAUCAGUAGGUUUGGGCUACAAGUAGCUAAUCUUAAACUACAAUUGCCAUGGGGGUUUUUCCAGUCUCUAGUUUUCUAGUUCUUCAGCAGCUAUAGAAGCAUUUGCUAACUGUGUUGUUAAUAGCACUGUUCGCUGGGGCAAUAAAACAUUUAUAUUUUCUACGAUAAUAUAUUUACACAUGGACGAAGGGCCUGGGAAUUUGUAAGUAAACUAGUAAACGGUAUAGUAUUUUAACUUACUGCCUUAUGGAUGGAUCAUUUCAAACACAUGUCCUGUGCAGAGUUCUGGCAUGUUGUAAAACUCACUGUGGUGUCUUUUCAGUCUAAGGACAAGCUUGCAUUCCAAAGAGUACUGCCAUUAAAAUAAUAAUCUCAAAAGAGGCCAAAUAUAGUCAAGUUCUAGAAAUCAGUUCACUUUCCAGGCCUUGUCAAGGAUUGCUUUACAUUACUCACACAGUGAUAGUGACAAAACAUUGUACAGAGACCUUGACAAAAUUAAAGUACAAAGUAUUCAUUGGAUUAUAAAGAAAUGGCUCAUAUUUUUUUCUAAUUCCUGGAAGAUGAUUUCAAAAAGAAAAAUCGAUUUUCUUUUUUUAUCAUAGUGUACUGCUCUAAUUUAAAGAAAAAUAAAAACGUUUGGGACCAUUUUGAAUGCCGUCUCACAAUUAAUUUUAUUACAUUAACAUGUUUUUCAGUAAUCUGUACAUGGUAGUUCCAAGGGUACAACAGAAUCAACCUCCCACCCCAAAAAAGAAUAAACUAAAAAUGUCACAUUUAUAUUCAGCAACAGAGCAAGUUUUUUUAAAAUGCUGGGGUACUGGGAUCUGGAAUUUGACGCUGCUUCCUGGCUUGUGGACUCUGUUCAUUUCAUCUUGUUUUUAAUCCCUGACCAAUUAAUAUAUCAUAUCAUGUUUCGACACCAUAAACUAUGGUUGUGGUAAAUAACAAACAGGUCUGAUCCACCCCCUGAUGGGAUUUGUCCAAUGACAGGUCUAGAAGACAGGACAGCUUGCAGGCCUGUCUUUAGAGUACCCAGGGUCUGAUGACCCAAUGCAAAACCAAUGGGUGACAUCAGAAAUCAUGUUGGAGCAGACUAAGCACGUAGGUUUAUUACGACAAAAAUGGGGCAUUUAAAAAAAAAAAAAUCUACAAAAUCUGUCUCUCAGCAGAAUCUGCCGCUAACAAUGGGGGCACUAAUCAGGACAAACACAAUUUUUUUUUUUUUUUACUAAAACACGUUUAUAGAAUUUACAACAAUAGAUUUUUUUCAUUAUUACAAAAUAUUUAGCAAUGUAGUGUUGUCCCACCUGUAAUAUGGAUAACUGCAACAAUAACACUAAAAUGGAACAUUUGAAUAUAAUAUAGGAACAUGUAAAAACAAGUGUCAUAUUGUAUAUAUAAACUUUGUUAAAGACCAUUGGAUCAAGUGUGGCAAAAUAAUGUAAUUAGUGAGAUCUUUGCAGGUAAAAACAGCCUUUUCUCAUAGAUGCAUUCUAUUUAGUCUGCCUAGAAUUCCUCUUCAUUGGAAGCGGAGUCUGUGUGACUUACUACAGCAUCAAAUUAAAGUCAGAAGCAGAACAGGAAAGGGUGGGUGUCACAAUUAACUAUAUUGACAUUCAAUAACUAGUGAUGUGCAUUUAUAUCAGUCAUAUCAUAAAUUAUAUCAAUUCAAGCAGGGUGUGCUGAAGUGAGAAUUACUGGGAUUUAAAGUGAAUUUAAAUUUUUAGUCUAAAAUAGCUGAGUUAGAACAAUUCUCCAAGCCUGUUCUGCUUUCAUUUUGGGAAUUUGGAAAAACUAUUUGAAUUCACUUAGAACUCCUGACAAGUCUCAGUUUAGUAAAUAGCACUGUAAGUGCCAUCUUCACCCAGGACAUAGUGAAGAGGCUCAUCUCACCGAGGAAGCAGGGGUGAAAUUGUGUGCCUUCAUGGGCUGGUAGAGAGAUCAAAGACACAGACAUGCGGCCGCUGGCUGGGGAGGGAGUGGAGGACCCGGGAAGUUCUAACCUGCAGCUCCGCCAGGUUCCUGGAGUGUGCGAGAUCGGAGCGUUGCCACAGUUAUCAUGGCAAUGCUCAGCUCUCUCUAGACUUCACUCACCACUAAGGCCACCAGGGAUGCCUGCACGGUCCCCCCUCCCAGACACAAGGUAAGAAGGGGGGGCCAAGGGGGAAUAACGUUUUUUUUUAUUAUAAAAAAAUACAUACUGAAUAUAUUUAAAUUAAUCUGUCUCCCCCAACACAGACAAUCCCUCCAAACACAUUUAUAUACAGCAUCCUCACACACACACACACAGCACCCUCACACAAACUCACACACACAGCACCCUCACACACACACAGACACAUCACCCUCACAGCACACACACACAUCACCCUCACAGGACCCUCACACACACUCACACACACAGCACCCUCACACACACAUAAACACACACACGCGCACACACACAGCACCCUCAGACACACAUCACCCUCACACACACACACAGCACACUCACAGCACCCUCAGACACAUAGAACCCUUACACACACAGCACACCCUCACACACACAGCAUCCUCACACCCACAGCACAGCACACUCACAGCACAGCACACAUACAGCACCCUCACAUACACAGCACCCUCACACUCAUAGCACCUUCACACAUAGCACACUUACAUCACCCUCACAGCACCCUCACACACACACAGCACCCUCACCCUCACAGCACCCUCACACACAGUACCCACACACCCACAGCACACACACAGAACCCUCACACACACACAGCACCCUCACACUUACAGCACCCUAAAAAACAAAGCACACCCAAACACACAGACCCCCAAACAGCACACGCAGAGCACCCUCACACCCACAGUACCCACACACUCACAGCACACACACACUUACAGCAGCCUCACACACAAAGCACACCCACACACACAGACCCCCAAACAGCACACUCACAGCACCCUCACACUCACAGCACCCUUUCACACACAGCACCCUCACACAUACAGCACACUCACACACAUACAGACAGACAGACAGACACACACACACACACACACACACACACACACACACACAAAGCACACUCACAGCACCCUCAUACACAUAGCACCAGCACACACACAACACUCUCACAGUACCCUACACACACUCUGCACCACCUACACACUACAUUCCUGACAUAUAAACUCUGGAUCCCCUAUGCACACACUACAUUCCUUGUAAGCAAACACAAACUCACAUUCUCUACAACCACACACACACACACACACACACAUGCACACACUACAGCCUGCAUGCACACACUCUCUACAUCCCCUAGCCACACAUAUUGCACCACAAACACUGACCUAUUUACACAGUAUCACACUACAAUCAGCUCACUUUACACACACGCAAUCCCACAAGAAUGCUCUAAACACAUGCACAAUAGGCUUUCCUGGCCCUUUUGUUCUCUAGUAUCCCACUUAUGGAGACACCAGAGACAAGUUAAAAGCAAACACAGUGCAAGCAUGUUAUUAAAUUUGCUUGCGCUGCGCUGGACAAAUACAGGACCUUUUUCUCAUGCUAGAGCUCUUUAGCAGGGCUCUGCAUAUUGAACCAACAUGCUCACUUUAAGAUGGGGCAUGCUUAUCAUUAGUCAUGACAAAACACACCCUCUCUUUCCCUGCCCCCUUCUCAGGGGGCUGCUGUGAUUGAAAAUUGCCCAGGUUGAAUUUUUUUUCCCAGUUCGGCCCUGCAUGGCCCCUGCAAUCGUCCCUGUGUUGCUGUGCAGUUGUCUUGUCCCCUUAGCAGAAAAACACCCUCAAAGCAUAAUGUUUCCACCUCCAUGUUUGACGGUGGGGAUGGUGUUCUUGGGGUCAUAGGUAGCAUUCCUCCACCUCCAAACACGGCGAGUUGAGUUGAUGCCAAAUAUCUCAAUUUUCGACUCAUCUGACCACAACACUUUCACCCAGUUCUCCUCUGAAUCAUUCAGAUGUUCAUUGUCAAACUUCAGAUGGGCCUAUACAUGUUCUUUCUUGAGCAGGGGAACCUUGCGCACGCUGCAGGAUUUCAGUCCAAUUGUUACCAAUUGUUUUCUUGGUGUCUAUGGUCCCAGCUGCCUUGAGAUCAUUAACAAGAUCCUCCCAUGUAGUUAUGGGCUGAUUCCUCACCGUUCUCAUGAUCAUUGAAACUCCACGAGAUGAGAUCUUGCAUGGAACACCAGACUGAGGGAGACUGACAGUUAUUUUGUGUUUCUUCCAUUGGUGAAUAAUCACACCAACUUUUGUCACCAUUUUCUGUCUCUCACUGUUAAAAUACACCUACCAUUAAAAUUAUAGACUGAUCAUUUCUUUGUCAGUGGGCCAAUGUUCAAAAUCAGCAGGGGAUCAAAUACUUUUUCCCCUCACUGUAAAUCUUACCAGAGCAGGGAUGCAUUUCUUUUGAAUGUAAAGAUACAACAUUGCAUGCCAGUACUUCUUAAAUGCACAUUAUAGCAAAAGGAAUACAAAUCUGUGCUCCUAAUGCUAUAGUUUCCCAAGGUAAUAACUGGUCCACUGCUGAAUACAUGAAUACUUACCGUGUUUCCAAUGCUGAGCCUCCUUUGGUGCUGCCUUACAUCCGCUUUGCGCAACAUAAACGAGGAGGUAUGGCUGUCCAGUCCAAUGCUCCACAUAAAGGAGCAUUAAGCAACUGAUACACAUGUGCACUGAGCACCGCAUGCUCAUUCAAUCUUCUCUGUAGGAAAAUAUUGUAUCCAAUGCUCUUCUUUUGGCUUCCCCAUCACAUGACUGAGUUUAAUUCGGUCAGUGCAGUGUAAGCGCCUCAGUAUGACAGCCACUAGAUGUAGAUUUAACCCUGUAAUGUAAACAUUGCAUUUUAAAAGGACACGGUCACUGCAACCAGUCCUCUUCAUUAAGAUGGAAUGGUCUGGGUGACAAUAGUGUCCCUUUAUCUCUGGAUUUGCUUUCACAGGAGCCAGUGUUGCAGUGCAUCAUUGUUUCCAACAACAAAAAAACAACAGACUCUUAGCAAGAAUUCUAAUCUGGGACAAAAUGUUUAAUUUUCUGACAUCCUGUAUACUCCUGUGAUGCAUACUGCAGUACUUGCAUCUGGUUAUUAAUUAAGUCUGUUGCUUUACAUCAUCUCACUGUUUCAGAUGAAUUGAGAGCAAAUUGAGUUUUUAAACAAUGUAACAGCCACUUGGUUUACUGGGUGAUAUAGAUGAUUGUGGGCAAAAUCAAAAGAUGUUUAAGCAAUAACCUUAAAGGACCACUAUAGGCACCCAGACCACUUCAGCUCAAUGAAGUGGUCUGGGUGCCAAAUCCAUCUAGGACUAACCCUGCAGCUGUAAACAUAGCAGUUUCAGAGAAACUGCUAUGUUUACAUUGGGGUUAAUCCAGCCUCUAGUGACUGUCUCAUUGACAGCCACUAGAGGCGCUUCGGCGCUUCUCACUGUGAUUUUCACAGUAAGAAAACACCAGCGUCCAUAGGAAAGCAUUGAUAAUGCUUUCCUAUGGACUGGCUGAAUGCGCACGUGGCUCUUGCCGUGCAUGCGCAUUCAGCCGAUGACAUCGGAAGGAGGAGGAGAGUCCCCAGCACCGAGGGAGGCCAGCGCUGGAGAAAGGUAAGUGUUUAACCCCCUUCCACCCCAUAGAGCCCGACGGGAGUGGGACCCUGAGGGUGGGGGCACCCUCAUGGCACUACAGUGCCAGGAAAACGAGUUUGUUUUUCUGGCACUAUAGUGGUCUUUUAAGUAUUGCGGCUAUCUAAUUACUAGUCUUUUAUAUCAGAUAUCUAGUAAGCCACAAGGAUGAUGUCACUCGAGGAGGAGGUUGCUGAAGCGUCGAGGGAGACUCUGCACUGGAGAAAAGGUGAGUAAUUAAUUUUGUUUUAAUUAAAUAAUUAAUUAAUCUUAAUCUCAUGGGGGGCUUAUGAAUUGUUUGCACCAUGUGGUGAACCCUCUGUAUUUGCUCUCAUGACGUCUUCUCUUUAUGAUAGACUUGGAUAAUGAUAGGCCUACCUGCUGGAGAGUCUUCUUCACUUGGCUAGAUGUUGUGCAGUGUUUUUUUUUUUUACCAUAGAAAGGAUUCUACGAUCAUCCACCUUUUUGUGUUGCAGAGCUCACCAGUGCAUUCUUUUUAUCUCAGAAUGUUCCAAACUGUUAAUUUGGUCACUCCUAAUGUUCCUGCUAUCGCUCUGAUAGAUUUAUUUUUGUUGCCCUGUUUCACUUGCAUAGAGAGCUCAUUUGACUACAUGUUGUGGGUUCACAGCAACAACUUUCAAAUGUUUCAAAGGUGAAAGUUAUCUACUUGAAGAAGACCUUGAGGCGAAACGCGUUUAGAUACUAUUUUUAUUACUUUAUAAUAAAGAAAUUAUUUUGGCAUAAAAUAUUUUAUAGCCAUUUUCUUUCUUUUUUCACCUGACUAUACAUAUACUGCAUAUUUGACGAGAAGCCUAAAGAAUCCUUAGGUGGGGAUCAUAGCACCCAUGCGCUUACAUCGAGCAGUACAAGUCUGCUCUAUAUAUUGUGAGUAGUAUAUUUUAUACUUUUUUACACCUUUUAAUUACUAUACAGAGAGCACUAUAUACUUUAUUUCACUUUCCUGGGUCGAAUAAUACCAAUUCGGACGCCGAAUCUGAGCCAGAUACUCGUCAAUCAAAUAUCACUCCACAUAUCCUUGAGUGGGGAUUAUUCCACUUCACGUGUGCUAUAUCAGAGCUAGGUUUUAGCUCUGAAAAGUGUGAGUAAGACUAUUUUUAUUUUACAUACUAUUUUAUUCAUCUAUAUACUGUGCCAUUGGAGUCCCUUUUUGUCUUUUCUCUACAUAUGUUCUACUGGAUCUCAAGCACACAACUGUGAAGACACACUCUACUUUACGUCUCAGAAUCCCUGUUCUUACACGUGGCAUCUACCAUUACGGACUUAUGAUAAGUGUUUUGGACUAUUGCCAACUACUUAUUUUACAAUUCAUUUAAUAUUUUAUAUUAAAUGUUACUAUUUAUUAUAUACAAUUUUUAUAUGUUAUAUUGUAUAUUUUAGGCGCAACCUUAUUUUUGUUCUGUUUUGUAUUUCUUCUUACCAUCAGGGGAUUAUAGGGGACUCCCCUUUGAGGAUUGCAGCCUUAUUGUUAUUAUUAUUUUCUUGUGUGGCAACCUAGCGCUGAUUUCUCUCUUUCCAUUUUCAAAUGUGAUUGCCUCACCUGGAGUUAACCCCAGACCUUACACCUGCUUAGUUAAUGAAGAAAAGAUGCUGAUAGCCAAUGCCUGUCAACAAAACAGCUGUUGAGUCAACUGUUCAAUUUAUUUUGGUCCCUUAAAAAAGAGGGGGUUACUUGAUAAAGUGCUGUAAUUCCUAAACUUUUCCAUCAAUUUGGCUACCCUCAAAAUCAAGAGAUUGUACUUUAAACCCAUAUUCAUUGUUUAAUUGUAACUUGAAUUGAUUUUCGCAAGCAGCCAAAAUAACCAAACUUGUGUCAGUGUCCAAAUAUUAACGGACCUAACUGUAUAUAGAAGAACAAAAUAGAGCUCUGUACCAGAUCCUGGGAGACUGUGGGAUUUUUCACAAAUCCUCUGGCACUUGGACAGUGAGUUGCCAUAAUUAUCAUAUUUCCCCCUAAACCUUUUAUUAAUCCCAAACCCUUAAAUUCCUUAAAGCCCCCUAGGCCAGACUUCUAAAAUGAUAUUGUUUUCCUCAAAAUAGAAGCAGAUGAUUUAUUUAAAUAUGCUCGCAGACUGUUUAUUAUCUGUUGCUUUCAAAGGACAUUUCCUAGUUCUUAAACUGGAUAUGUUACAAUUAUUAUAACUAUUUUAAUUCAGCAAAUAGUAGUUACUUUUCUAUGUAUUAUUCCAAUUUGCAAUAUGUUUAUUUAUCUCCUAAAUGGUCUGUAGAUAGAUUUAGCUUCAUCUAGUCCCAAAAUGGCCUUCUGAAGCAAAGAAUCCGAGCCAAGUAAUGUAAUGCAGAUCAAUGCACUUUUCUUGUGAUUUAUAUCGUAACUCUUAUGCAGAACAAACUACUGACAGAAAAUCUGAAAUCUAGAGGGAAGCAUCUCCCUGCAUCUGUGCAAUUUUUUAGAAAAUAAAGGUGGCAUUUUAGGAGAUAUACAUUUGCCUAGAGAGCAGGGAUAUAUUUAAUUAUUAAAAAAGGAGAUACUUAUUAAUUUUGUAUAUUGGAUACUUGGCUUUUACGUCAUAAUCUUAAGUGAUCACCUUCUCUAAUCUCUACUGUGAUAUUCCUAAUCUCUUUAAGUCUAAGGCAGGAAAUAUCUCUUUGCACUGCAUUCCCAUAAUUGUGUAUUCACCACUCUUUAACACUUUUAUUGGAAAUAUUUACAAAAUGGCAUUGAUCCAUUCUUUCAGGACUUGAGUAUUUUACUAUUUUUCACUUUGUACAAGUGAUACAAAACACUUGAGAAUUUUGUCACCUUUAUGAUGCAUUGGUGUUAAUGAGGUCACGUCCAUAGCUGCUGGAUUACUCAGAGAUGAGUUUAUGUCUCGAUCCUGCACCAUUAUGAAGAGAGUCCCAUGGGGGUGUUAUUUACUAUGACGGUGCUCCAGUGAGACUCUGUAGACAGUGAUGAAUGGAGAGAGCUGAGAACAUCUCAUGAUGUUCAUUAGGCAAGCACAAUUGCUGAGCCGUUUGGAUCAGAAAGCAGAAUGUAUAUUGUACAAUAGUGUUAGCACACAAUGAGGUUUUUACUGAUCAUGGUGAGCAACUGAGAUGCAUGGAAUCUUAAACGACAGACUAGAAUUAACAACUAUAAUACUCACUGCAUCUCCAAGUAUGGCUUCUCAUUCCAGGUGUAUAUCAUGAAUUAUUACACAUUUAGCAAGGUAUCCAUUUUUAGUGCUUAUACAUUCUUUAACAAAUGUAUCCAGUGAUUCCAUGGUUGAGUUUAUCACUUUCUAUUUAAUGAAUCCUUAUUUUGAAAUUGAGUUCCACUUACAAACAUGAGAUUUUGGACUCAGAUUACAUGAUAAUAUGUUGCUCCAUCUUCUGAUUUCUAAAAGAGCCCAUGGGCUUGCAUUAUAGUUUGGUCGAUUUGGGAUUUUAAUUCCCAGAGGAAGCUAAUUAAACAUAUGGCAUUAGCUUGGUGACGCAUUCUUUAAUCUUAAUAUGUAAAGUACAAUAAUCUUGCAAACUCUUCCAAGUGGCAAUGUACCCGCAAAGCUAAUAUACCCAUACAUAGCACAAUAAUUUCUAGGUUUCUUUUUUUAUUUUGAAAAAAAAAAACAUGGUAUUUAUUAUUCUCUCUCUCUCUCUUUUUUUAAAUGAUUAGUAAAUAAGUCCAAUUUCAUGUAAAUAUCUUUAUUCUUUGCAUACAUUUUAAUAUUAUUUUAUCCAGAGCCUCUUGUAUUAAAGGAACACUCCAACCAUCAUGCCCACUUCAGUGAUUUGAAUUGGUCAUGGUGGUAGGAGUUAGUAUGUGUAAUGUUUCUGCUCUAGAAAAACGGCACAUACGGAAAUAUUUUUUAAAUGUGUGCUGGGGGCUAGUUUCACCUCCAGCACAAGUGAUAUUGGCAGUCCAGAACUCUAUUCCGUGCUGCCUAAUGUCAAUUCUGUACAUAAAUUACACAGGCACAGCACGCUGACAACAGAUGUGAAAAUCUUCCCCUUGUAGGCAGAGCAACUGCAAGGGUAUAUGUGCGCUCCCUCCCGCCUCCCUCCGUUGUUCAUUUUAUUAUAAUUUUUUUAAUAAACCAUCUUAAAUUAACGCCCCCGCCCUUUUUUCACUAUACUGAAGCAUGCGCAUGCUUUCUAAGUCAGUGAAUUGAUCCAAUCACAGGCUUCUCUAUGAACCGCGGCCCCAGUGAUGUCAUAAGGGGGUGCGGGAGAAUAGCAUCGGGAGCUUUGCCAAGCUCUGGAUUUCAGGUAAGUAAAGCCUUUUUGUAUUUCAGGUUUUCCAGCACAUUUAAAGGGGGACCUUCUCCACAAUGCCCAAUAGGGAAUAUUACACCUGAUAGGUUUCCCCUCUCAAAAGGGUUAUAGCAAGCAAGCAACACUUUAAGUUUACUAUGAUCUGUUUCCUCAUCAAUAGUCAUUUGAAAAAGCACUUCCAUACGAAGCUACCCAGCGAUAGGCAGUAGGAGAUACUACAUUUACAGGCAGGAUUGAAUGCUAAUUAACAGUUUACAGUUCAAUUAGUUAAACUGUUAGCUGUAAUUGGGUUUGUUAAGAUGUUAUUAUGAAUGUGUUUUAACACAAUGUUACCUUUAUUUUACGUUCUAGUCUUGGUUUCCUUCUGUUAAAGGAUUUGGUUUAGAAAUGACUGGGAUACACACCCGGAUAACGGUAGCGACUUGCUUGCUACGCUCGUACAGCUGUCAUUUCUACGUAUCAGACCAAUGCAAUACGGUAAACCAGCUUAGUAAAAAAUAUAUAUAUUUUACCUUGAACUGCUAUAGUUCAUCAAGUAGAUCAAGAGUGCCCAAAAGGCAGAUCACCAAAAUGUUUUAAAACUACAGCUUCCAUGAUGCUUUGUCAUUCUAAAGGCAUUUCAAAGGCAUGCAAAGCAUCAUGGAAAUUGUAGUUCUACAACAUGUGGGGAUAAAUGACAGGGUUGCAGGUUAACCCCAUUCUCUAGCAGCCCAUCGAGUUAGUGUUUUACAUAUUUUCAAAAUCCCAAAGGCAAUGUGAAGCAAAAGGCAAGUGGUAUAAAGAGGCAAUUUUUCUACAAUAUCAGAGCACAUUUAACAGUAUUCGAAGUUCAAUUAGAUCUUCCUAUUCUUUUGGUGUUGCUUAUUUGAUGAUAGGCAAAUGUUUGUUUUUAAAUAGAAACAGCCAACACUAUGAUUUUGGAUUAGCAACCUCUACUAUGCUGUAGACAGAUUAUAGCUCUGAAUCAUAGGCUUUACAGUCGUACAGAUCGAGAACUAUCUUUUCGCUGUCACUGGCUGAAUAUCCAUCAGGAGCAGAAAGAGGCACAUACUAUAUCAAUGAACAAUUUCCAAUGCAAUGUGUGCCUAGAUUAUAAUUAUAGCUUAGUAUUCGUAUCCUCCCCCUCAUAUACAAGAAUCAGUGAAAGAAAAAAAACAAUCUCACAACUACACUCACUAUAUCUCAAUAUAAUGGGCUCUCACCAGUGGAGUGGAAAUGACCCAUGGCUUCUCUGUCUAAUGUCAAUUAAUAAAUAAAAUAGAUGCAUAUUAAAAGGAACCUAUUAAUAUUAAAAAUGAUUUUUUAAACAUAAUUCAAACAAAAUCUGUAAUGCAGUGUUGUUUACUAGACAAUUCUGUAUUUUUCUAUGUCAUUUAAUGUUACAGAAUCCCUGUUUGCAUCCCUGUUAUGAGUGAAUAGCUUUUUAUGGAUAUAUCUUCCAUUACCUGGGAAAAUAUAUAUAUUGCUUUACUUAUAACUAAAAGCAAACAUUUGUGUGUUUUUGUAACAAAUAAAGUAAUACUAUAGUUUCAGGGAUACAGAAAUGUACUCCUGACACCAUAAUGUUCAACGAUAUAGGGUCCAGACCCCCAUCCGAUUGCAUAGGAAAGGUGUUUUUACUUAUCUUUUUUCCCACGCUGCACCUGUCUUGUCAGAGCCGACCCUACCUGGCUCUGCCUCCGUGGCUGAGAUCAUCAAUCUUGAUGAACUCAGCCAAUCCAGUUUUUUCACACAGAAAAUCACUGGGAGCUUAUUUCUCAUAUGCCACAAAACGUAGCGCUGUGCCAAUCAGCAUUUCCUCAUAGAGAUACAUUGAAUCAGUGCAUCUCUAUAAGGACGUUCAGCGCCUUGAUGCAGAGGGUGCACAUUGUGCAGCGCUGAUGCAGGAAGCACCUCAAGUGCUUAGUGACUGCCACUAAAGGUGUUCCUAGGCAGCAAUGUAAACACUGCCUUUUCUCUGAAACGGCAGUGUUUACAGUGCUCAACCUGCAGUGACAGGCUAUAGAUACCAGAACCACUACAUUAAGCUGUAGUGAUUUUGGUAACUACAGUGUCCCUUUAAUAAAAACACCUUCUUGCGGUGAUCAUUAUGAGAUUAAUUAGUAAAAUCCUCUAAAGCGUGAAAUAGACUUAGUAGUUCUCUUUAUCAGUAUUGUAAUCAACCAAAAUAUCAUCCCGCAUAAUUUUAAUUAUAGUGUCACAUAAUAAUUAAACAGGGUUAUUAGUGGGGCUAUUGUGAGUGUAAUGAGAUCUGUAAUGCCACCAAAUUACUUUUUAUGGGGAUGUCAAUAUAAAACCAAUUACGAAACCCAGGCAAUGACUACUUACAAUGUUUCUAAACAGAACCUUCAAGACUGUAAUUCCUAAUAUUCUUAAAAUUUUGUUUCAUUUUCCAUAGAAUACUGAAUACAUAUUAUUGUUAUUAUUGUUAUUACUGGUAGUUAUUUAACACCAACAUAUACAGAAGCGCUGUACAUUGAGAACAUUAACAAACGGCAGAGCGUGAAGCCAGAACAAAACACAAUUAGACAAAUUGCUAUAAGAGGAAAGGGGAUCUCAGACCCAGACCUAAAAGCUAAAACUUUUGUGGCUGGCCUGCCAUCUAACAAUCUAAUGGAAAAUACUGGGAAGUGAGUCAAAAGGUAGCAGGGGCUACUUUAAAUCAGGAAGAUGGUAAUGGAAGGAGAGAGACAAAACUUGCCUGUGAGUCCUUAUAGUGGGAUUAUUCAGUAAGAUGUUAAAGGGAACAAACAGCCACAUGGUACGAGUUUGUAGUAAGUCUGUAGUAUGUCAAAGUCAGGAAACAGUUACAGCUGCCAGUGAGUCCUCAUGGUGACAUUCAGCAGGAUGAGGUUAAAGGUAGGAGACAAAUACCAGCUGCCAGUGAAACCUCAUGACGGGAUACUGCAGUCAGAAUGCUGGAAACAGUCACAUACCAAAAAUUGUUUCAGUUCUUUAAUUUUUUUAGGGGUAUUGUUUAUAUUUAAAUUCAAGCCUCCCUCACUCUCAAAACAGUAGUGAGUGAGUGUGAGACCCAGGCUCUACAUUCGCUUCCAAAGCUCCUUCUCACUCAAGACCCUUGAGUUAGAGGGAGGCGAAUGUGCAGUCAUAGACAGCAUAAAUAACACUGUCUCUGCCUGUGGAGUGUUUCACUGCACUUGACUCGAUAGACAAAUUGUCCCAGAAGAUUUAGCAUCAGUGAUUCCCCUGUAAAUGCAGUGCACAGAUCGGCAAUGGAAUAACUUUGCUCAUUCAUAUAAUGGUCAAUUGGGAUCAUUUAGUGAUGUGCAAAAUGUCACAGGAUUAGAUAUUUGUGCUAAACAGUUACUCCAAUCAUCAUAACCACUACAGGCCUUUUAGCAUUGGUUCUCCCCCUUGCCUCAGUUUCCAGUGGGCUCUGAAUGUUGGUCAGGUGACGCUCUUCAAGCUUCUGCAGUCGUGGCUGUUGCUGUUCAUUGGCUGAGAGUGUCAGUAAACUGACUCAGCCAAUGACUGGCAUUCUACGCUAGGAAUGAUGCACAGAUUUGACAUUAGUCAGCCCAGUUUUCUAGUUCCUGGCUAGCUGAUGACACCCCUAAUGAUGCCAGAAGUGGAACUACACCUCUGGCAACAGAUGAUUUAAACUCCAGUCACCAUAACAACUUCAGAUCACUGAAGUGGUCAUGAUGCUUGGAGUAGCCCUAUAAUUUCCAUGAAUAAAUCUGAAGAAAGCCUGAAAUGACAGAUCUUCAUUAUUGCAUUUAAUUACACCGUUUGUAUUUUGUUUUAGUACAACACCUUAAAAAGUUCUCAAUGCUUUAAAAAACCCACAUUUUAAACACAUUCCUAAUGUUUAUGAAAAUGUUAAAGUGAUUCUGUAUAAUCAUAAUUUAAAAAUCAUAGCUGAUAAACGGUGGUAAAUGUAGCUACACUGAGAGCAGAAUUUAAAGAAUUCUGUACAAACAAAAAAAGAUGUGUACACAUUGGCACACAAUCAACUGAAAAUGUCACAUUACAUAAGACUGUAAGAGAAUUAGCAUAAUUAUAUAUUGUAAUUUUUGGUGAUGACAUCUCUUUAGAGUUCAUCUGUCAAGCAAAUAUGACAUGGUGGCACUUAAUAGCACAUAAAUGUUGUCUAUACACUGUGCUUAUCUAAUUGCUACCAAAUGUAGAAAUAUAAUUGCACUUUUACUAUAAGAUGUGCAUCUUAAAUGUGAUAAAAUGCAUGUUGAGAGUUCAACAGCCACUACCACUACCAAUACCUAACUCAAUAAAUAUAGCGCUUUUACUUAUUUAUUUAAUUCUAACCCACCAACUCUCUUUUAUGCCUAUAACAAAUCUCUAACCCCCAACCUUGAACUGUAUCUAUGUAACAUGUGUGCCUGCAUUCAGAAUAUUCGGGGAUGAGGUAGGAGUAUAAUUUGCAGGUCAUAAUUUGCACUUAUGAUUUACGUGAAAGAGAGUCAUAAAAAAAAUGUAUCUAUAAAUACUGUUCAUCGAUCAUCUAUGUAUCUAUAAAUACUGUUCAUCGAUCUACAAAAGUACCCUUUCUCUUUAAAGUUUUAAAAGAUAAUUGCUAAAUAUAAAGUCUAUUGUGAUCGGUUCUAGGGGGUAAAAAAAGUCAACCAUUGGGCCAUCUGGGAGCUGUAGAACAUCCAUUGCGUUCCAACAAUCUGAGAACCAUAUUAUUAUACCAGAGUGGUUGUAUCAUAACAUUCUAAACAGGAUAGCUUUGCCUUUAAAAAAACAAACAAAAAACAACAAAUAACAAAACAAGACACCCCUCUCCCCUCUACCUCCUCCUCCAAAAAAUGAAGAAGAUGCAUCCUUCAUUUUAUAUCUAUUAAAUAGGUCAGUAAUCCUUUUCCAAGUCCAGAAGUGUUUUUAAAGAAAUCAGUUUAUGUUCAUAUGCAUGCCAUUAGUGUUAUCUGUAUUUAUUACACUUGGCUGCUACUGAAAAUUAAUUUAAUUAACUGGGAUAAAUGAGUUUUGAUGCCACUAGCUUCUCAACAGCAUUGAGAUUGCAUUACAUAGAGAUAUUUAAAUAUAGAACUAUUCAAUACACAAAGAUAUCACAAGCACCAAGAGGACAGGAAUAACAUAUUAACAUUCAGACUCCCGCAUAUCCCUACCAAGGGCACACACCUAAAGCAAAACUAGAGUGAUAUAUUGAAUCUCUAUUUUUCAGGAUAUUUGUUCAAUUCUAUUAGAUUAUAGAGAGAUGCUCAUCGGUUUUAGCACACCAAAAGUGAAUCAACUAAAUAUUACUGUCUGAUCCUAAAGAAUAGAGCUAGAUUACUCAUAAGGCAGCUAAGGUUGCCGCUUAGAGCGCAUGUUCAGCAGCAGAAGGCCCUGUCUGGGCUGGAUCUCCAGCUCUGGCCCCAAAGGGAUUUUCUUUGAGCUAGCAAGAAGAUCAAAAACAUCUCCCUGUGCAGCUCUAUGCACCCUCACCAGCUUGAGGAAGCGAUGUGGUCUGCUCCAAUAUCGGGUGCAGACCUCUUUGAGAGCACCCUCUGUGCUUCUCAAUGAUGCAGAGAGCCACAUCCAUUGCUCUGAGUUAUUAACUGAGCACUGGGACUGGGAGGGAGCUUUUAAAGUGGUCUGCACCCUAUAUUGGUGCAGACCACAAUGCUACUCCCCACCGGACCAUCAUGGAAAGAUAAUCAGGAUGGGGAAAACAGACACACUCAGACACUACACACAUGCAAUACUCAGCCACACACAAAGGCACAGCUCUGAGCUGCUACACACAAUUUCACACACAUAGAAACAUAGAAUGUGACGGCAAAUAGGAAACCAUUUGGCCCAUCUAGUUUGCCCUAUUUUCUAAAUACUUUCAUUAGUCCCCCCCCGGCCUUAUCGUAUAUCUAGGAUAGCCUUAUGCCAUUCCCUUGCAUGUUUAAUACACUACACACACCACUCUAACAGAAACAAAGCUAAGAGGGGGCUCCAAUCUGACAUCCUGCUUAGGGUCGUGGACAAUCUAAAUCUGCUUCUACUGAAGGAGAAGCUUAUUUCUAAAAGAAGAGUUCUCUCACUCAAUGAUUGUGAACCUAAUAAACACCCACAGAACUAGAGGCAACGGAUAAUCUGGAUACAAAACUGAGAUCCGGGAAAACAGUAAACAGAAUCAAAAUGAACAGCAAGUUGUUAGGAAAUCUGGAGUUUGCUUAUAACUUCUCCCAAAUACCCAAAUAUUAUUUAGCUGAGUAUACCCACUGAUGAGAAACAGAUUAAUCCAAUGCAGUGUUGGAAAAGGUGCGAAUGUCUGUAGCUGUAGACCUUAAGAAGCACUUAAGUCAGAACGGGAGCCAGAUAAAAACCAAAUGUGUCAAACCAGGAGGGACUACAAAGCUGUAGAUGCCUUCAAGAUCCUGGAACAGAUAACAAUUAAUCAAUCAAAAAAAAAAUUCUGCUAUCCUACAGAGACAAUGUAAGGCCCAGUGCCCACAAACAUUCCAGUUUAAUGGAAGGAGGCCAAUUUCUGGUGGUCUUUUAUACAGGAUAUAAAAUAAAGUUAUAUUUUUUGUGCUAAUUUGUAUUUAUUGUUAAUUGUAGAUUAACUGUAAAUACUAUCCUCAUUAUGGCAAUAGAAGGGUGUUAUUACUAAAAAUAUAAUCAAAACCCACUUGUUUUUUCUCCCCAGAAACAAAUGUAUCAUCCCAAACGGUAUGUGUGCCAGAUGCUGUUAAUUAUUAAGUCAUACUCCUAGUUUCAUAUGUGCUGUGUGUUAAUUAAAAAUUCCCUUCAUUACACAGCUAGGACUGACACAUGUUUCAGCAAUAUGAUUCCUUUCUUAUUUAGUCUUUCUAGUUAAUUACAUUAUAUGAAAGUGGUGUGUGAAGCACACAAGGCCAAAAUCGUUGACUUUCAUUUUAGGCUCCACUGUAUCUGUGGAGAGAAUUGCACAAUAGCCAUGGCUGAAUAUACCGUAUGGUUUUUCCACUUUAGAAGUUGAAAUGUUAAAUGGCGGGUUUCAAUCUAGGUGACCAGUAGAUAGACUAAGUAGAUAGAUUAAGUUAAAAAAUACUGAACUUCCCAUCAGGUGUGUAGUGUUGUUGAGUAUGUAUAUAGGUGUUUGGAGAUGUAGAGAUGUGUGCCUGGGGAGUGUGUGUGAAUGUAGGGGAAUACAUGUGUGGUAUGACUGUACAUUGAUAAAUUUAGGUGUUUAUUUGGUUUGCAGGGGUAUAUAUGUAUGGUGUGUGUAAUGUGCGUGAGUAUAUAUGUGUGCGUGUGGUGUGCAUAGGUAUAUAUGUGUAUUGUAUGUGGUGUGCAGAGGUGUAUAUGUGUUGCAUUUGUGUGAAUGUAGGUGGUAUUAGUGUGUAGUACCUGGGUGUAUGUUUUAAGAGUGUGAUUCUUUUAUUUUGUCUUUCCUGGUCUCCCUAUCUCUCAUUUAAAGGGACACUCUACUACCCAAAUAAAACCAUCCCCUUCUAUGCACAAGGACGUCUAUAUACAAGUGGCAAACCUGCCUCUGAAAACCUGACUGAAGAUGUAAUAUACAUGCUGGUAACACUUAGUAUCCGUACAGGAGUGAUUUUGUGAAUGAACAUGAAUUUAAUUGAUAUUAAUGCUGGUUUUAUGAAGGACUGGGGAUAAUAUUAUUGUUAAUCAUAGACACAGUAUAUCUGCAUCAUUCUCUGUUUAAAUUGAUUUAUUCCAUUCUGUCCCAUAAUAUAAUUACAGUACCCAUUAUCGGAAAUGUUAAGAAAAGAUCUGGAGGAGGAAAAGGCACCAGAGAUCUAUUUGGAAUUAAUGAAAGUUUGUACAGAAAUCCUAGGGAUGAGAAAAGGAGGAUUAUAGAAAUCAACUGAAGGAUGUACCAGGCACAAUCAUACAUACACAUACAUUCCAAUAUAAAUAUACAUAGAGAGAGUGAUUUACUAAACUCUGAAAUAUAGCGCAUAGCAAAAAAUGAGAGAAAAAUAACCAAGCUGUGACUAGGGCCAAGUCGGAGAAUUUUCCUAACUCAGUUAUUGCAGCCUUAAUUUUGUCAUUUGGGUUUAAUUUACUAAUUGUCGACGCUUAGUGACUAGCCCUGAUAGAUUUUUAUUUAUCCUAUUGCAAACUUCUAUAGGGAAUUUGUAAAGAUUCAUCUCCUCCUCUGCUCCUAGCCCGCCAUGUCCUCACAGAGGUCGUGGUUACACUUUUGUAACACCUGCCUCUGAUCUACUGGUAGUCUCCUUUGAUUUGCCCUGGUUUAGGGACUUUGACCGAAGCAGGGAAAACUUCCUCUGACGCCAACAUGCUAGCUUUAUUGCCAGCAUUUUAGCAUAUGAAUGGAGUGACCUCAGUCACUCCAUUUCAUAGUCUUUCAGCAGCGCUAGCAGCGGCAGCUAUAGAGUCACCAUAGCAACAAUAGCACAAGUGCUGCAGUUGCUAUGCUUUGGAGAACAGAAGGACUGCCUGUGGGAGAUCUUUUUUGCUCUCCCUUAUCAGUCAUUUUUUUGGAAUAGAGUGUAUGCCAAAGAAUUGAUUGACAGGUGGUAGAAAGACCUAUUUUUAAGUAACUUUUUCUCCCAAUCUUUACAUUUGCUAUAAAUCUGCUUGCACAAUGCAUUUAUUAGAAUUUAAUGCUCUUUAAGCAGAGCAUAUGUUAGGAACAGCAUGGCAGGUACCCCCUAAAAGGGACACUAUAGUUACCAGAACAACUACAGCUUAAUGUAGUUGUUCUGGUAAGUAUAAUCAGUCCCUGUGGAUUUUUGCAGUAAACACUGUCUUUUCAGAGUAAAGGCAGUGUUUACAUUACAGCCUAGGGACACCUCCAGUGGCUACUCCUCAGAUUGCUACCAGAGGUGCAUCCUGGGGCAGUGCUGCACACUCAGGGUCUCCACCGUCUCCAUGGAAAAACUGAACUUUCCUCAUUGAGAUGCAUUGAUUCAAUGGAUCAUCAGGAGAUGGUGAUUGGCCAGGGCGGCAUAUGACACCAUCCUCAGCCCGCCUCCUUGGCUGGUAUCAGAAUUGACAGUCUUAGCCAAUCUAAUGCUUUCCUAUGGGCUGAGAUUGGCUGAAAUCAUAACUUCUAAUGAUAUCAUCCAAGCAGGCAGAUCAGGGCCAGAGCCAGCAGCAGCAGACUGGAAUGAAAGGUAAGAGUUUACUAUAUUUUGGGGGGCAAAGCGAAGGGGCAGGGGGGCUAGAUAGUAUUUUUAACUCUGCAGGGCCAGAAAUAUGUUUGUGAUCCUUUAUGUAGUUUUUCUAACAGUAUGUGAGUUCAAGUCAUUGCCUCAUGAAAUAAUUGUGAGUGUGAGUUGGGAGUAUGCACGAGGGAUAGGGAGAAAUAAAGCUUAUAUUGAUACUAAGAAAAAAUAUAUACAAUUCUCCUAUUUAAUUAAAUAAAAAAGUAUUUAAGUUAUUUUAGUAAUACUGUGUAUUUGAAUGACAACCACACUGGAAAAUGUCAUCCAUUAUGACCAAAUUAAACCUUUUAUCAAAACUUGGUUAAUGUGGCCAGAAAUUAGCAAUUUGCUUGCCAGUACUAGUUAUGAAUGCAUGAAAAUAUCCAAAUAAAAUUAUAAAAAUGAGAGUGUGUGCUCGGACUUUGGUCUUGAUUGGUCUUGAUUACAAUUCCGUGUUUGUUUUUGUUCAAAUGAUUAUCAAAUGAUUAAUUGCGAUUGAGGCCCUAAAACAUCUACAUUUUUUUUCUGUAUGUGUGCAUUAAAUUCAUAUUUUGCAUUAUUAUGUUUUCAGUUAUCUUCUAAUUACCCUUUUUCUUAUGUGCAAAUUUACAGAGCUAGAUAAACUACCGUACACUGCUCUGAAAUUAAAUUACUGAAAUUUGCAUCUGUUCACACCUGUUUGAACUCAAAAGCAUUAUGGCCUCCGGCGUUUUUAAGAUGGAAAUGAAGGCAGAAUAUCAAUGUGCAAGUGGGGAUACAAUUUCAACAUAAGAACGGACAAUCAUGUUAAAAGGAAAGGUGGAAUCAUAUUCCUUUGUAUGAGAGGGUACAAUAUAACUGUAUGGGUCCAAAAUGCCCCAUAAUUUACAGGACAUUUUGGGGUCAGCCAGUCCAUUCUGGAAAUAUACAUAUAUAUAUAUAUAUACUGAUCUGCCACAACAUUAAAACCAGCUGCCUAAUAUUGUGUAGAUCCUCCUCAUGCUGCCAACACAGCUCUGAUAUGUCAAAGCAUUGCCUCCACAAAAUCUCUGAAUGUGUCCUGUGGUGUCAGGCACCAAGACAUUAGCAGCAAUGUCUGAAUGUUGUGAGGAUUGGAUUGGAUUUGUUUUUCAUGGAUCGGAUUUGUUGUUCCAGCACAUCCCACAAAUGCUCAAUCGGGUUGAUACCUGUGGAAUUUACAUGCUAACUCAACACUUUGAAAUCUUUGUAUGUUUCCUCAAACCAUUCCUAAACAAUGUUUGAAGUGUGUGGCAGUGUGCAUUAUCCUACUGAAAGAGGCCACUGUCAUCAUGGAACUUCAUUGCCAUGAAUGGGUGUCUGUGGUCUGCAGCAAUCUCAAGGUAGGUGGUAAAUGCCAAAGUAACAUCCACAUGAAUGAGAAGACCCAAUGUUUCCCAGCAGAACAUUGCCCAGAGCAUUACAAUACCUCUGCUGGCCUGACUUCUCCCCAUAGUGCAUCCUGCUGACAUCUCUUCCCUAGGUAAACAACGUACAUGCAACUGGCCAUCCACCUAAUCAAACGAAAACUUGAUUUCUCAUACCAGGUAAUCUUCUUCCAUUGUUCCAUGGUCCAGUUCUGAUGCUCAUCUUCCCAUUGACGGUGCUUUUGGUGGUGGAUAGGGCUUAUCAUAGGCACUCUGACUGGGUCUGCGGCUACAUAGCCCAAUACUCAGCAAACUGCGAUGCACUGUGUAUUCUGACACUAUUUUAUCACGGCCAACAUUUUGUUUUUCAGCAAUAUGAGCUACAGUAGCUCUUCUGUGUGAUCGGACAGGCUAACCUUCGCUCCCCACGAGCAUCAAUAAGUCUUGGGCACCCACAGUUCUAUUGUUGGAUCACCGGUUGCCCCUUCUAUACACUACAUUUGUUAGGUACUAACCACUGCAUACAGGGAGCACCCCACAAGACUUGCCGUUUUGCAGAUGCUUUGACCCAGUCGUCUAGCCAUCACUAUUUGGCCAUUGUCAAAGCUACUCAGAUAUUUUCACUUGCCCAUUUUUCCUGCUUUCAACACAUGAAAUUCAAGAACUGACUGUUCAACUGCUGCCUAAUAUAUAUCACCCCUUGUCAGGUGUCAUUGUAAUAAUAUAAAUAAUGUUACAUAUAACUAAAACACAAAAACAUUCAGUGCAAUUUCAGAGAAAGUAUAAAAAUCAAAUGUGUGUCUCAUUCGAAAUCACAGUUUACAUUUUGAGUUCUAUUGAAAUGACAAGCUAAUCUGACAAUUAAACUGGAUGUUUCAAGGAAAAUUGAUUGACUAAACAAAUAAUUUUAAAGGCGGAAUGCAAUCGAGUGGAUCUAAUAAAAAAGCCAGGUUUGACUGGCGAUUAUUUCAACUGUUAGCGAAUUUCGUGCUCUGUCUACCUUUGAAAAUUAUGUGUGGUGCAUUAGAAUGCUUUGAAAGGUGUGUGUAUUCUGGUACACAACUUUCAGUUAAGUGUAGCUUACUGCAGACUUAGCAAGAUUUCUUUCCUCGGUGUGUGUUUGACUGUUGAAUAAAUCAUUAUUAUCAUGUGCUCAACCAGCUCUGGAAGAAAACUAAAAAAUUCAAAUCAAGACAAAAAAGGUCUCUGGCUGGGAAUUACUUGGAAUUACAUGUGGGUGGAAAGACAGCAUUGGAUGCCUUAUAUUGAUGAGAAUGAGUGAGUUCAAUGAUUCAUGUAGCAGGAAUAUAUUUCUUGCUACUAUAUAGCCAAUUUGACAUUUACUAUUGUCAUUCAAAGAUUUUCAUAUGUGAUAUUAUUAUAGAAGUCAAGGUGAGAUUUAUUUUAACUGGUAUUCGUUUUCUAAAGACCAUUGCCCACUCAUUGCUCAGUGAUUAGAUCCUAAUGUGUUUGAAUGAAUGUAAGAUAUAACUGGUGGUUCACUUGUCUUGACUUGUCAACCGACUCCCAAAAGAAAGUCAACUGACAAAAUAAAUUUCAAGUAAGCUGUUUCAAGCUUUCUCUUCUAGUGCAAAGAAUGGGAAAAUAACGACUGACUGGCAAAAUUUGAAAAGUAGUCAAUUUGAGAUGAAUGAAAAAAACCUUGGUGAUACUUUUUGUCUUGAUUAACUAUUAAUCAUUGCUCCUUAACAAUUGAUUAGUCAAUGUCAAGAGUUAUCGGAGAAACAUUAAAUAUCAAAACUGAUAUUGGGAUGGUAGCAGAGUAAUAACAACCCCAAAAAAAUAAAACCUUGAGAACCGUACUGACCUGUACGAGAGCAUGCAGUAAAAAACAUAAAAAAAUACAGAUCAAUAAAUCUAGCACUGUUAGUAUUGCAAACUUCUUAUCAUCAACCCUACACAGAAUGCCUUCUCAGAAAAUUAGUGUGUUUGCCAGAACCUCCAGUAACCUUCCCAGUAAGGCCAGAUUAAUGUGUCAUGGUCAUACCCCAUCUACAGUAACACACAGAAUGGGAAGAUAUUACAUCUUGCAUAAUUUUAACAUGUUGGACAGGAUUUUCUGGAAAUUAAAAUCUGCCUUGGAAUCAAUUAAUUACAUAGGUAAUCAAUGGCAGCCCCGUGCUAAUUACCAUAAUUUUGAAGGACAGGUUGUAUCGGAGUUAUAACUAUAACAGUAUGGUUACAAUGUGCAUGACAUUAUUUCUGCAUAGUACUUGGCUAGUAAUGGUGUUUUUUAUAUUUUGGAUGCGAGUGUAUUUAUACAUUUUAAGCAAUCAUUUAAUCAACUCUGUUAACAAACAUAUUUCUUCAUUUGUUUAGUGUAUUGCAGAUCCACAGACGAAAACUGAGAUUUUAUAUUUUUUUGCCUGGAUACUCUAGAUAUAGCACAUUUCAAUUUAUCUCUUACAGUCCAACUUAUAAUGGGGAUUGCUAAUCAUAGCUUGUCAAAUUAUUUAAUAUUUGCAGUUAUUUGACCUGUGAAAGAUAGUCAGGUCCAUAAAUAUUGGGACAUCAACAUAAUUCUAAUCUUUUUGGCUCUAUAGACCAUCACAAUGGAUUUGAAAUGAAAUCAACAAGAUGUGCUUUAACUGCAGACUUUCAGCUUUAAUUUUAGGGUAUUGACAUUCAAAUCAGGUGAACGUUGUAGGAAUUACAACAGUUUGUAUAUGUGCCUCCCACUUUUCCAGGGACCAAACGUAAUGGGACAAUUGGCUGCUCAGCUGUUCCAUGGCCAGGUGUGUGUUAUUCCCUCAUUAUCCCAUUUACAAGGAGCAGAUAAAAGGUCCAGAGUUCAUUUCAAGUGUGCUAUUUGCAUUUGGAAUCUGUUGCUGUCAACUCUCAAUAUGAGAUCCAAAGAGCUGUCACUAUCAGUGAAGCAAGCCAUCAUUAGGCUGAAAAAACAAAACAAACCUAUCAGAGAGAUCGCAAAAACAUUAGGUGUGGCCCAAUUAACUGCUUGGAACAUCCUUAAAAAGAAAGAACGCACCGGUGAGCUCAACAACACCAAAAGAGCUGGAAGACCACGGAAAACAACUGUGGUGGAUGACCGAAGAAUCCUUUCCCUGGUGAAGAAAACACCCUUCACAACAGUUGGUCAGAUCAAGAACACUCUCCAGGAGGUAGGUGUAUGUGUGUCAAAGUCAACAAUCAAGAGAAGACUUCACCAGAGUGAAUACAGAGGGUUCACCACAAGAUGUAAACCAUUGGUGAGCCUCAAAAACAGGAAGGCCAGAUUAGAGUUUGCCAAACAACAUCUAAAAAGGCCUUCACAGUUCUGGAACAACAUCCUAUGGACAGAUGAGACCAAGAUCAACUUGUACCAGAGUGAUGGGAAGAGAAGAGUAAGGAGAAGGAAAGGAACUGCUCACAAUCCAAAGCAUUCCACCUCAUGGUGUGGGCAUGUAUGGCUGCCAAUGGAACUGGUUCUCUAGUAUUUAUUGAUGAUGUGACUGCUGACAAAAGCAGCAGGAUGAAUUCUGAAGUGUUUCGGAAAAUAUUAUCUGCUCAUAUUCAGCCAAAUGCUUCAGAACUCAUUGGACGGCGUUUCACAGUAAAGAUGGACAAUGACCCGAAGCAUACUGCAAAAGCAACCAAAGAGUUUUUUAAGGGAAAGAUGUGGAAUGUUAUGCAAUGGCCAAGUCAAUCACCUGACCAACUGAGCAUGCAUUUCACUUGAUGAAGACAAAACUGAAGGGAAAAUGCCCCAAGAACAAGCAGGAACUGAAGACAGUUGCAGUAGAGGCCUGGCAGAGCAUCACCAGGGAUGAAACCCAGCGUCUGGUGAUGUCUAUACAUUCCAGACUUCAGGCUGUAAUUGACUGCAAAGGAUUUGCAACCAUGUAUUCAAAAGUGAAAGUUUGAUUUAUGACUGUUAACCUGUCCCAUUACUUUUGGUCCCCUAAAAAGUGGGAGGCACAUAUACAAACUGUUGUAAUUCCUACACCGUUCACCUGAUUUGCAUGUAAAUACCCUCAAAUUAAAGCUGAAUGUCUGCAGUUAAAGCACAUAUUGUUUGUUUCAUUUCAAACCCAUUGUGUUGGUGUAUAGAGCCCAAAAGAUUAGAAUUGUGUCGAUGUCCCAAUAUUUAUGGACCUGACUGUAUGUAACCAAAUAAAAUAUUAUUAUUUGCAGGAGGGAGGGCUGAGUAUAUUAUAUACAUCUCUGUCCAUGUUCAUUAUGGAUAUGGUUCUGUGCAUGGCUGAAUUUGAAGUUACAUGAGUGAAACUGCUGUACAAGAUAAUAAAAGUUGAUUCCUGCUUAUUGAUGAUUGCAGUGGAGGUUCGUUCAUAGGGACACUUGCGACAGAGCCCCACCAGUUUUUAUAUGGGAAAAAUGUAUUUGCAGUAAUUUUAGAAACACUAAGAUUAUUUCUUUUCUGGAGUGGAGGGUGGUAAGUCAAAAAAUAUUUGGAAAAAAUUGUGAUUCUUUAAUGCUAUAAUAGGUUUCAUUUCUGCAGGGCCACUCAUUUUUUUGAUGUUUCAAGAAGUGUACUUGGGGGAAACUAGGCAUGACUAAAACUGAGUCAGUUUUGAAAUCUGACCUGUUUCAGCAUGUUUUACACAUGCCUAGUGUCCUUUAAGAAGGAAUUCUAUGGCUUCCAAUUGAGUUGCAAGUUAGGCAGCAGAGCCAGCUGCCUAUGAGUGAAGGCAUUCUAUAGAGUUACAGGAGAUAGAAGCAAGAAGCCAUCUUGGAAGCAGCACAGAUAGAGCAUAAAAGAAGCAACUCCUGACAGGGCCAAAUGUAAGUAUAGAAUAUUAUCUUUUUGUCUCCCCAAAUAGCCCCUGUAACUUCCUGAAGGCUGACUAAGCAAGGGAAUUUACUCAAAAUAUUAUUAAGAUAUAUCGCUAGGGAAGACCAGGGGUGACAAUGCUAGGGGGACUGGGGCUGUGACUCUGAGGACUAAUCUGAUUCUGAUUUCAAUCCAUUUUAGUCUGUAAUUAUUUUUGAUUCUGUUAACUUUGUCAGCUGUUUCUUGGUUCCAUAUUACCACUGCAGAUUAAUUAUAUUGCCACCUGCAAAGGUAAUGAAGAGUAUAUCAAUAGUCUGCUGCUUUAACACUGUUCUCUGUUUAUGGUAUGUUAUCUCUGUAUUUUAGUCAGCUCUGUUGUUAUCUCUAUUUUUUUCCUCAGCUCUGUUUGUUGUAUGGUUAUAUCUGUAUUUUAGUCAGCUCUAUAUUUAUUGUAUAAGUAUCUCUGUACUGUAAAGGCAGAAGUAGAAUUCUGGGGAAGGAGUGUGGCAUUCCACCAUCUUAAAACUUUUCCAGCCAACCCUGCAUGAGUGAAUGAUGUUAGCUAUUGAUGAGGGAGACAGUAAGAGGAGGUGAGAAAUUGAAUAGCACUUGCACCCUAUGUAGAAAAAACACCAUAGAAGGUCCAGUAUUUGCAAAGGAAUGCAGAGCUGGGGAACUUUUAGAUUAACCAAUUUUUGCAAAACAGAAAUGGACAAGAUAAUAGGCUGUUAUAGUAAUUGGAAUGCCUCUUUAAUGCAGACUUACAGUUGCUUUUUAAAUAAUCAUUUAUGUUAUGGAAGACCUCUAGUAACUCUGCUUUAGUGUUGCACUUAUUCAUCCCUUUAAACAACUUGGCUGCAAGAAUUAUAACUGUGAACUGUGCUCAUUUAACAGUUUCCGGUAUGUUUAAAAGUAUGUGUGUAAAUAUAAUAAAAAUAUUUUAUUCCCUUCGGCGUAACUCCCCAGGUAUGUGCAAAGCAAUGUGCAGAGAUCACUAGUAAGAUUUCCAGUUCCUGUUAUAGUAGAGUUGCUUCCAGCAUUGCUCAAUUUUCUGACUGCUGAAUAAUACUUAAAGAGAACAACUGCAGCUUAAUGUAGUGGUUCUGGUGUAUAUAGCCUAUCCCGGAAGGCAUUUGGAAGCGUCUACAUUGCUGCCUAGUAACACCUCUAUUGGCAAUCACUCACAUGACUACAAGAGGUUCUUCCUGGGUCAGUACUUCACAGUGUGCAGCAAUGGAGUUCAGUGUCUCCACCCAGGGCCGGUGCAAGGAUUUUUGCCGCCCUAGGCAAAAGUAAAGUUUGCCGCCCCCCUCCUCCCCCCCGUGACAUCGCAAUGCCCCACCCAUAUGACCUGCCAUGUUAACUAAUGCUAGUGCUGCAGUGCCGCUGUGUUUACAUUAAAAGGCCUGCAGGGACAGGCUAUAGACACCAGGACCACUACAUUAAGGUGCAGUGGUUCUGGGGACUAUAGUGUUUCUUUAAUGUGAGGUAAAUUAGAGAUUAGUGCCACGAAUAAUAUACUAGAUUACCUACUUACAAGCAGAUGAGGAUGAUGAUGGGCUCUAGCUGCAGUCUGGCUCCACUGGUCUGGUGUAUAACAGGAUCUCUGGAGGCUGUUUGUAACUGUGGUCACACAAAUCAAUGUUCUGGGAGAACGAGAAGCAGCUCCAUUUUUUGGGGGCCCUUUACACAGCUCAAGGUCUGGGUCCCAGGGUCCACCUUCAUUUUCCACCAAUGAGUUUGUUCACAGGGGAUGGAGUGUGUAGGGAAUGUCCUGAUUUGUGUGUAAGGAAUGCAUUUUGUGAAUCUGUGUUUGUAUGUGUAAGGGCUGCAAGGUGUGUUUCUGUGUAUGUAAGGGAUGAAGUGUGUGAGUCUGUAAGGGGUGCAUUGAGUGUGUGUAAGGAAUGCAUUGUGUGUUUCUGUGUGUGCAAGGGAUGCAUUGUGUGUAAGGGUUGCAUUGCGUGUGUGUGUGUAUGUAAUGCAUUGUGUGUGUAAUGCAUUGUGUGUUUUUCUGUGUACAAGGGGUUCAUUGUCUUUGUGUGUAAGGGGUGCAUUGUGUGUGAUUGUGUGUGUGUGUGUGAUGGAUGUCAAUCUCUCCCCCCUCCCUUGUCACUCUCUUCUCCCCCCCUCCCUUGUUACUCUCAUUCCCCCUCCCUCCCCUGUCACUCCCCCCUCCCUGUCAAUUUCUCUCUCCCCAUCAAUUCCCCUCCCUGUCAAUGUCUCCCCCCCUGUUAGUUUCUUUCACCCCCACCUCCCUGUUAGUUUAUUUCUUCCCCCCUCCCCUCCCUGUUUCUUUCUUCCCCCUCCCCUCCCUGUUUCUUUCUUCCCCCUCCUUCCCUGUUUCCUUCUCCCCCUCCUUCCCUGUUUCUUUCUUCUCCCCCUCCCUCCCUCUCUUUUUUUUUUCUUCUCCCUCCCUCCCCUACCUGUGUGGUAGUGUGGCCGAGCCCAGUAUAGUCCGACCGGUACAGGGAGCUGUUGUUUCCUGUACCCGGCCGGACUAACAGGAAGUGAACACAGAGUGUGCACUUCCUGUUAGUCCGGCCGUGUACAGGAGACAGCUGCUCUCUGUACCGGUCGGACCAUGCCAUACAGGGCUCGGCCACGCUACAGAGAGGGAGCUGACAGGAGGGAGCGCUGAGCGCUUCCCUCCUGUCAGCCUCUCCUCAGGCUGCGCCCGGGCGGUGCGGUCCGCCCUCAUGGACGCACCGCCCGGGCAAACCUGGCUGCAGCCGCCUGAGGCUCUCUACAGAGCGCUCGGGCGGCUGCAGGAUAAGCGGGGCCGGCGCUCCUGACGGCGCCCCCUCCCAAGGGGCGCCCUAGGCGGCUGCCUAGUCCGCCUUACAGGUAGCGCCGGCCCUGUCUCCACCCCCUGCAUGGAGACGCUAAACGUUCCCCUAUAGAGAUCCAUUAAUUCAAUUAAUCUCUAUGAGGAAAUGCUUUCCUGCACAUGUGCAAUAUUCUCCCAAUGUUUUCCUAUGGGAAAGCACUAGCUUGGCUGAGAUCAUCAAAAUUUAUGAUUUCAGCCAUAGAGGAGGGGCCAGCAACGGCGAGACUGGCCUGGGGUGAGAAAAAGGUGAGUGAAUUCACUUUUUCAGAGCAAUCUAAAGGGGCUGGUAACCUAAACAGCCACACAGACACUGUAGUGUCAGGAAAACAUGUAUGUAGUGUUCCUUUAAAUUGAUUUAGACUGCUGCCAUAUUUGAUCCUGUGGCAAAUACACUCAAGAGAGAAAUGCCUUAACAAUUUGAAUUAUUUUUUUUUUGAGUGGAGUUUUUUAAUAAUAAUAAGACCCAAAUGAUUGUAUGUCUGUGAGAGUUUGCAAACCAUAAAACAUUACAUAUAUGAUAUUGAAUAAGUAGAUUAUUUCUCCCUGUGCCAGCGCUAGCAUAAGGAUAGCAAGGAAGCUGCUUUAGGGUGCUGCCAAAUGUAGGCGUUCCGUACUCUGGAGGAAAAAGGAACAGGUUGCCAAGCUAAAGUUAGAUUUUAGUUUCAAUGAGAAUGGUAUAAACAAAUGUUUUAUAAAUAAAAUAAAAAAUCACUCUUUGUGAUUUUUUUGUCAUGUGUAUAAACUCCCCGGCCCCCGUGUUAAUAAGCCAUUGGGUGGUCUUUCCUUUUCACUGCAUUUGGAACCCACCAUAGCCUGAUGAUUACAACUGUUGCAGAUUGAUUUUCUUACUGGCUUUUCUUUACUGUUUUUUACAGUCUGCUGGUCCCAAGUUCGCCCAGUAAUUCUGUGUUUAUCUGACCUCUGGGUUAUGCCACAGUACUGUAUUAGUUAAGGAGGAUGGUCAGUUGUUUGUCUUGUCUCCCCUCCGUCACUGCACUAAAGAGAAGACACGUUAUGCUAUGAGUAUUCGCUGACUGUCAAUCACCUAAAUUCAGUCCUGGGACCCAUGCUAAGACGGGGAAAGCAUAGCUAUAAGAUUUACUGCAGCCCCAUACAUGUAUUCUGUUACUAUAUUAGCGAUUGUUUAAAGUACGUUUGUGCGUUUGUGUGUUUUUGUGUUUUAUUGGUCAAAUUUAUUCUUUCCUCAAAUUAGAUUUCUGCAUUGUUGACAUAUGUAGCUGAAAAUGCAUACGUGUAUAUUGGUGUUAGUGAUUGGUGAAUAUAUGUGCAUGUUAGUGUUAGUGGCUGGGUACAUGUGAGUAUGCUAGUGGUGCAGCUUAUACUUUGGUGAUUUUUACAAGUAUUAUUGGAGACUGCGGAUUCCCAUGUAUGGUGCUCCCCUGCAUUAGCUUCCACUAUAUGGUUAUUGCCCAUGUGCAGCACCUUCCUUUGCUUCUUUGUGUUUGCUGGUGAAUGGGUACAUUAAUGUUUGUUAGUGUUAGUAGCUGGUGUGCAUCUGUGUAUGUCAGUGAUAGUGGCAGGCGGACAUCUGUGUAUGUCAGUGUUAGUGGCUGGGUUACAUAUGUAUUUGUUGAUGUUGUGGCUAGGGCACAUUUGUGUAUGUUGGUGCUGAUAGCCGAGAUACAUCUGUGUAUCUUAGUGUUAGUGGCUGAUGUACAUCUGUUUUUCACAGUGUUUGUAGCUGGAGUAUAUCUGUGUAUGUCAGUGUCAGUGGUUGAUUUACAUCUGUGUAUGUUGAUGUUAGUAAUAUUACACCUGUGUAUACCGAGGGCAGUUACUGAGAGUGCAUUUUUGUAUACUCACUUUUGUUGGUGAAAGUGACUGAAGGAAGUUGGAACCCGGGGAAAAUGGAUACAAUGUUGGAAAGGAAGAAGGAAGCGAAAAAGGAAAAAGCUAAAUGACAACAACAACAACAAUUAAGUGGAUAGACUCAGAUAAGCUUGUGUUUGUAGAACUUGUGAGGGAAGAGGAAUAGAGAGGGGGAAAGACAUGUAAGUAACAUUUUGGCCUGACUAUGCAAAUUCUGUUAUCCUAAGAGCAUGUUGGUAGGAAGGCAACUGCAGCCAUUUUAACCUUACAAACAUGUAAUUCCUAGAAAUAUCUAGCAUUUACACGCACGAGUUACAUUGUUCCUAUGGGAACCCCCAUUGUUAAUUGAUCGAUUCCCCUCUGAUAGUAAUACAUAUUAAAUUCUCUUUUACUUGGCAGCAAGUGCAUUUAUUAACGUGUGGAUUUCUAUAUCAUAUAAACAUGGCGGAUAAAGGGAAUAUAUGCAUAUCACGUAGAAAACCAACGAGGAGGUAGCCAUUAGUGCGAAAUGCACACAGAAUAUUUGUAGCAGCAAUUUAUAUAUUAUUAGUGCGAAUAAAAAUAAAAAUUUAAUCUAUCACUUGGCAACCUGGCUUUGUACAUCGAUCAUACGCAGUUUCUCCUUGAACUGUUAACCCUUCUUUCUAUUACCAUUCCUGAAAUCUUUACAUGGUAAUAAUGUCUUCAAGCUGCUUAGCAGAAAAUGAGUUAAAAGAAGGAUUAUCCUGACGUUCUGCAGUGCAAGGCAAUUUACUGCAAGCAAUAUAUGCAGUCGUCAUGCUCGAGAUUGAUCUAUCUGCCUUUUUUGAGUUGUCUAGGUCCUUGAGUUACAUAGUUACAUAGUUACAUAGUUACAUAGUUACAUAUUCUGUCUAUUUGUCUCUCUCUCUGUCUGUCUAUCUAUCUAUCUAUCUAUCUAUCUAUCCACAUCAUGUCUAUUUGUCUAUCUAUCUAUCUAUCUAUCUAUCUUUUAUCUAUAUAUCUAUCUAUCUUUUAUCAAUCAAUCUAUCUAUCUAUCUAUCUAUCUAUCUGUCUCUGUCUUACAUAUACACAAAAUAAAAUAAAAAUUACAUAUCUAUCUAUCUAGCUAUUUAAUAUCUAUCUAUCUAUCUAUCUAUCUAUCUAUCUAUCUAUCUAUCUAUCUAUCUAUCUAUCUAUCUCUCUAUCCAUAUCCUGUCUAUGUGUCUCUCUGUCUAUCUAUCUAUCUAUCUAUCUAUCUGUCUCUGUCUUACAUAUACACAAAAUAAAAUAAAAAUUACAUAUCUAUCUAUCUAUCUAGCUAUUUAAUAUCUAUCUAUCUAUCUAUCUAUCUAUCUAUCUCUCUAUCCAUAUCCUGUCUAUGUGUCUAUCUAUCUAUCUAUCUAUCUAUCUAUCUAUCUAUCUAUCUAUCUAUCUAUCUAUCCACAGCAUGUCUAUUUGUCUCUAUCUAUCUAUCUAUCUAUCUAUCUAUCUAUCUAUCUAUCCAUAUCCUGUCUAUUUGUCUCUCUAUCUAUCUAUCUAUCUAUCUAUCUAUCUAUCUGUCUGUCUGUCUAUGUAUCUUAUAUAUACACAAAAUAAAAAUAAAAAUGAAAUAUUAAAAUUUAGCACUUCGCAAACAGAUAUAAUUGAGCUCUUCCUUGUGAAAUAAAAAAAGUAUAAGUACAUUUGUAUUUAAUGCCUCACCUGCACCUUUGAAAAUGUAUCAACAUUUAUUUGCUGGAUUAAAAAAAUAAUCUCAUCACAAAAGUGACAGAUUUAUAUUACAAUGACAUUCUAUGUAACCUUUAACUACACACCUCUCCUAAGAUAUCUCAUAAAUCAUAAACAAAAGGUUUGCACUGCAAUGCCCAUGAUCUGGUGACAGGAGAAUAUGCUCUUAUUUUGGCUUCCAGUAGAUGAUUGAUUGACAGCACUAACCAUUGUCAUAUAUUUACUAAGAACUGCUGGGACCAAGGAGAUCUUAUGGUGUCAUUAAUUUGAAUACGCCAUCGAGCGUGUCUGGUACCAUAUGGGGUCUCUGGAAAAAAAAAAGUCACUUGAUAAACAUGAGCCACAAUGGAAACUACAAAUUUAGUAAGAAUGAUAAAUAGACAGAUAGAUAGAUAGAUAGUGGGUUUUUUAAAAUAAAAAUGGGAAAAAAUCAUGGUGAACCUGCUUUGUCUCUAGAAUUAUUAUUAUUAUUAUUAUUAUUAUUUUUGUUGCAAAUAACUAUUUUAUUGUAAUUCACAUCAUGUUGAUAUUACAGAAAUUUUAAUCUUGCAUACAUAUUUCUUACAUAAAAUCAGCCAGUAAGAAGGAGUCAGAUUGGUUACAACAUUGCAAAGCCAGCUAACAACGUUAGUUUGCCUAUAAUCCAUAGAAAUGAAAUAGCAAGCAUAAACAUAACUUACAUAACAAACAUAACAAACAUAAGCAUAAACAGAAUGGUAAAUGCUAAGGCAGUCUCUAUGACGCCCACGUGGAAUUGUUUUUUUUAAUCACAAGAGGUUGUCAGGUUAUUGUAACAGAUUAUGAUUUAAACAUUGCGAAUCCUUGUUCUUUUCUUUAUAAAGUUAAAUAAAAAAAGGAAAGUCUAAAAGAAAUAGGACAGGGAAUAAAAACUACAUAUUUACAAGUUGCCAAAGUCAAUUUUAAGAGGGGGGCAAUCAAUGGAAAAAAAAAAUUGCCCUUUCCUUAGUUAGUAUUCGGGUCAAAUAAUGGUCUUCUAACACAUUUCCCAUUUAUCCCAUGCUGCUUCCCAUAAUGGGAAAUGUAUUUUAAAGAGGUCACAAUGCAUACUCAUAACUCAAAUUAAGGGGUUGAUUUAUUUAGCAUUUUAUUUUAAACAUUACAAGAUAAAAAGUCAUAUAAAUCCUUUCACUAGUACCCCAUCUAUGUAGGAUUUGUAUAAUAUAAAUAUGUGGGAUACAUCUCUUUUGACGUGCAUGCACAUUGACAAAUCUAUUUGUAUUGUGUGUCUAUAAAUAUUUUUAUAUGAGCUAUGAUAUGUUUAUAAUAUAUAUGAUAUAUGUUUAUACGAUUGCCACUUAUGGGAACAUAGAGACACGGAUGAACAAAGUUGUGAAGCAGAGAAUGCAGUGAGAUGCUCCGAAAAUGGAUGACAAUCUAAAUGGAGACAGACAUUAAAUUAUGGAUGUGCUUUCUUGCAUACUCUGUUCACAAGCCCGUAACUUGUCAGCUGAUUAUGUCGACAUUUGAGCACACUGUAUUCUAGCCCUUCCUAGAUGGGUGUUAGUUCUAACACUGGAAGAUAAUGUUAACUGUUUAAAUGUGUAUAUGUGCGUAAAUAUAAGGAUAAUAGUUUGGAAAAUGUUACCAGGAUUUUUAUUGGUGAAGAGGUUUGAAAACUCUAAUUUAACAGAUUUGCCACGUGUUUCUGUACUUAUAACAUUAACAUGAUAUAAAACAGUAUGUGAAAAACUAUGUAGCAUUCACAUGCUGUCAGAGGGAAAUCAAUCAGGUGGGCACGUCAGCUAAUUUUGGAUCUACUUCAUUGAUACAUUAUUUUCCCAGUGGGAGCGUAUGAUUCCUAUAUUCUUCUUACUGUGUCCAGUCUGAUAGCAAUCAUAAGUGAUGCACACUAACAAACAUGGAGAUUAUGGUAACCCAGAUCCAAACAAUGUAAAACAUUUACCAUAUGACAUACCAUUCCAUACAUGUAAAAAUGUAUUAUUAAAAGCUUCAGAUCCGUUUUUUUUAAGUAUACGAAUGGAACACAGCCCAAAAUAAUCCGUUAUAUGUUAUAAUUAUACACUGUGAUAAAAUAGCAUUUCCACUAUAUACGUUAUCACGCUGCCAUGUUACAAGCAAAAGAUAAAUAUUUUUUUUCGACAAGUUCUUUAGAAAAAUCUUUUUUAGAGGUUUUGAUAGAAAAGAAAAAAGAAACACUAAUGACCCUAUUAACAAUGAAAAGAAAAUAGAUAUUGAUCUAUCGAAGAAGCUGUGUAGGAUACAUAAUGAGAAGUCACUUUAUCGUGAAGACUGAUUAACCCCUGUGAGCCAUGUAAUAAUUUGUAACUCUGUAGAGAACCAGAGAAUAAAUUCAGUAAUUUGCAUUAUUAGUUACAGUGUCAGAUGUACAUAAUCAGCAUUGGCUCUCUGCGAACUUAAUUAAUCUAAUUGGCCAUAUGAGUUAAGGUUGAUGCUAAUAGCAUUGUCCUCUAGAUGACCUUUAUGCAUAUGGAUUUUGCAUUUAACAAAGUAAAGUCAACAGGUAUAUUACCAGAUGGUACAUUUUAUUUAUCUCCCAUGAUCCUGUUUUUCCGCAACUUGAAAGGUAUUUUUGGGGUAAUGGAUAUUAGAGCAUUUGUAAAGUAAAAAAUAUAUUGAAGUAUCGAGUUAGUUCAAUUAAGAAAAUAUAAAACACAUAGAAAAACUAAUCCUCUAGAUUGAAAGCUUUUUCUAGCAGGGUCCUCAUCAACCUGUCGUUCCUCCAGCAAUUUGUAAUUGUCUCUUUUAUUUAACAUUUUCUCAUUUAUAAAAUGAUAAAGUGCUGCGGAAUAAGUUGGCGCUAUAUAAAAGCCAGUAAUAAUAUUCAUUUUGUUGACGAUAGAUUUCUCAUGGUUGUUUGCGAUAAUUACAUUCCAAUGGAUCCUUUUUUUUUUACUUGCAUAAUGAACACAGUUGCUGCAUUAAGUUUAAUCCUGACUACAAUGAUUAGUGGUUCUGUUUCUACAGUAGAACACAUUGAUAGGUUUUUUUUUUAGAGAAAAGUACCUCUGUUUUGGAACCAGAUAGAUUUUUCAGUUAUACCUAGAGUCUUUGUUGUUGUGUUUUUUGUUAAAUUGCUCAAAAAUGGUUAAAGCAGAAGAACUGGAACCAGAGACACAUUUCACCAUGACCCCUACACUACAGCAUUAAUGUAGUGGUGUGGGUGCAAGGCUCCUGUCUGUUUAACCCUGCAUUGAAACAUUAGAAAGUGCAAUGUUCGGUAAAUUAAUCAAAAUAAGUUUUGACACAAUGCAUUUGCAUUGAUACAUUUGCAUUGAUGCAAUGCUUUCCUAUGGGGAAGCUUUAAUGCUAAUGCGUGAUGAGUGCUUGCACUUGCACAUUAGGUCCCACCAUCGCUGUGACGUCGCUGAAGGAGGCAACCCAGCCAGCUCUGAGGGAGCCUCAGUGAUGAAAAGAGUUAAGUAAAAAAAAAAGGUGUUUUAACCCUUUAUUCCGAGGACACUGGGGGGAGACCUAGUAGGUUGAGGACAGGGACACUGCAGCGUUAAGACUACAGGAUUGCAUUCCUAAUGCUAUUGUGUUCUUUUAAUGAGACUCUGUCACUUUUGGGAUUUAUAUUGUAAAUGUCCGUAAUACCCCCUAUGACCAGAUGUCCCGGUCCCGGUUUUGUGAUACAUGUCCCAGCAUCACAAGAAAGUUUCUCGGGAUGCAUAAAUGUCCAUUUUUUUCCCAUAUUGUGCUGAUAUUGAGCCAAUUAGAAACCACGCUGCUUGGUGACGUCAUGCCGCAACAUCACCCCCUCCCUUCAGUCCCCCGCUUGUGGUGCAUAGGAGAGAAAAGAAAAGAAGAGAAAUGGAAAGGAGCAAAAUGGAGAGAAAAGUAAAGGGGAGAAAGGGAAAGGAACAAAAAGGAGAGAAAAGUAAAGGAGCAGAAAGGAGAGAAUGGAAAUGGAGCAAGAAAGGGAGAAAGGGAAAGGAGCAAAAAGGAGAGAAAAGUAAAUUAGAGCAAGGGAAAGGAGCAUAAAGGAGAGAAAGGGAAAGGAGCAAAAAGGAGAGAAUGGGAAAGGACAAGAAUGGAGAAAAACGUAAAGGAGCAGAAAGGAGAAAAAAGUAAAGGAAAAGUAAAGGAAAGAAAGGGAAAGGAACAGAAUGGAGAGAAAGGGAAAGGAACAGAAGGGAGCCAAUGGGGAGAGAAGACAGUGUCAGAAGAAAGAGAAGACAGUGUCAGAAGGAGAUUGGAGCAAGAAGGACUACCUGGAAGACAAGUAAAGUGAUCCCUCCACUUCGUCCUGGACAGGGCUGUCUUUAACAUUGAUUGGACCCUGGGCAAGCAUUUGCUUGGGCCCCCUGGAUCCUGCCCUUCCCCUCCACACAUUUCCACCCCCUGGCAUGCAGUCAUGCCCUCCACCCCAAUACAGUGGCAUAACUAAUGUAGAGAAGGCCCAGGUGCAAGACAUUUUUGGGGCCUCCCAUCUAACACAAUAAUGGAGAAAAGAUAGAUCCUCAUCUGUUGUACAAUUCCCACGAUGCUAUGCCAGUUGGGGAUCUACCAUUUGGUCAUUCUUGCAGGGCUGUAUUUGUGAGCAGUGUUUGUAAAUUUGAAUGUGAGCAUGUUGUUGUAUAGAGUAUGUGUGUGCAUGUACGGUGUAGUAUUGGUGUUAGAGUGAAGGGGUGUGUUUCUAUAUACUUUUUGAGUUUGAAUUCAGGGGCGUGUUUGUAUGUAAGGUUUGUGUUUGCAGGGGUGUGUUUGCAUGUUGUGUUUGAUUGCUUGGAUGUAUGACAUACAUUCACAGAUAUCCAUACACAUUAGCACACUGAUACAUGCACACAUCUGGACACAUGCACAGACUGAUACAAACAGACUGGCGUAUACACACACAGACACAUACAUACAUACACACACACACACAGAUACAAAGAUAAAAACACUGGCACAUCCACACACAGAGAUACACACUUACACACACUGACACAGAUAUAGACACACAUUAAGAUGCACACAGACACACGGGUACACAUGCAGGGGUGUAUUUGUGUGCAGUGUUGGCAAAGGAAUGCUGGGAUGUAUGCAUUGCCACACAGAUGCACACUUACACAAACACUGAGAUACACACAGGAACACAGAUACACAUGCAGUGGUGUAUUUGUGUGCAGUGUUAGCGUUGGAAUGUAGUAGUGUAUAUGUGUGCAGUGUUGGUACUGGAAUGAUGGAAUGUAUGCAUUGCCACACGCAUAGAUACACACUUACACAACCUGACACUCAUAUACAUACACAGACACGCAGGUACACAUACAAACUGACACACAAGUACACGGACACAGGUAUACAUGCACAUAGAUACACAUAAACACUGACACAAAGGUACACAUACACUGACACAAACACAGCCAGAUACACACACACAGCCAGAUACAAACGCACACACAUACAGAUACACACGCAUAGUCAGAUACACACGCAUAGUCAGAUACACACGCAUAGUCAGAUACACACAUACAGUCAGAUACACACACACAGUCAGAUACACACAUAGUCAGAUACACACAUAGUCAGAUACACACACAUAGUCAGAUAUACACACAUAGUCAGAUACACACACACACACAUAGUCAGAUACACACACACAGUCAGAUACACAAAUACAUAGUCAGAUACACACACAUAGUCAGAUACACACACACAGUCAGAUACACACACAGUCAGAUACACACACAGUCAGAUAUACACACACACAGUCAGAUAUACACACACAGUCAGAUACACACACACACAGUCAGAUACACACACACAGUCAGAUAUACACACAUAGUCAGAUAUAUACCACACAUAGUCAGAUACACAUACAGUCAGAUACACACACAGUCAGAUACACACACAGUCAGAUACACACACACAUAGUCAGGAUACACACACACAUAGUCAGAUACACACACACAGUCAGGAUACACACACACACAGUCAGAUACACACACAUAGUCAGAUACACACACAUAGUCAGAUAUACACACACAGUCAGAUAUACACACAUAGUCAGAUACACACAUACAGUCAGAUACACACAUACAUAGUCAGAUAUACACAUACAUAGUCAGAUAUACACAUACAUAGUCAGAUAUACACAUACAGUCAGAUACACACAUACAUAGUCAGAUACACACAUACAGUCAGAUACACACAUACAGUCAGAUAUACACAUACAUAGUCAGAUACACACAUACAUAGUCAGAUAUACACACAUAGUCAGAUACACACAUACAGUCAGAUACACACAUACAUAGUCAGAUAUACACAUACAUAGUCAGAUACACACAUACAGUCAGAUACACACAUACAGUCAGAUACACACAUACAUAGUCAGAUAUACACAUACAUAGUCAGAUACACACAUACAGUCAGAUACACACAUACAGUCAGAUAUACACAUACAUAGUCAGAUACACACAUACAUAGUCAGAUAUACACAUACAUAGUCAGAUACACACAUACAGUCAGAUACACACAUACAUAGUCAGAUACACACAUACAUAGUCAGAUAUACACACAUAGUCAGAUACACACAUACAGUCAGAUAUACACACAUACAGUCAGAUCACAUACAUAGUCAUAUACACAUACAUAGUCAGAUACACACAUACAGUCAGAUACACACAUACAUAGUCAGAUACACACAUACAGUCAGAUAUACACACAUACAGUCAGAUAUACACAUACAUAGUCAGAUACACACAUACAGUCAGAUACACACAUAGUCAGAUACACACAUACAGUCAGAUACACACAUACAGUCAGAUAUACACAUACAUAGUCAGAUAUACACAUACAUAGUCAGAUACACACAUACAGUCAGAUACACACAUCAGAUACAUAGUCAGAUACACACAUACAGUCAGAUAUACACACAUCAAUUUAAGUCUAGCCACCCUCUUGUCUCCUUACCUUUAGAGAAGGGUGGCUUCCCUGGGGUCCAGUGGAAGCUGGAUGGCUGAGGUUGAUGGGAGUCUGAUGAACAUGUUUACCUCAGUCCCUCUCCUUCACCUCCUCCUCCUGUGUGUGCAUCCUCCCUCUCCUCCACUUCCAUGUGUGUCUCCUCCUCCCCAGCGGCACUCUGUUACUUGGGAGGAAGUGAUCUCACCUCACUUCCUCCCAGCAGGCAUACAGACAGGGGCCCGGUCGGGUGCUCAAUUAAAGGGCGGGGGGCCCUGAUUACUUCACUUGCCGCAGCCCACUGGGAUAUUUCUCAGUAUCCCGGUGGGCUGUUCAGUCCUGGCUGCGGGCAGGGGGCCCACGGGACAGCUGCUUUGGGCCCCCCAGGAGCAACUGGGCCCGGGGCAGCUGCCCCGUUUGCCCCUUGUUAAAGACGGCCCUGGUCCUGGACACCAAAUCGUGAGGCUUUAGAACCUGGGCCUGGCAGGAAUGCAUUGGACCCACUCAUUUCCCCAGGUAGAAAAACAAAAAACUAUCAAUGUUAAUUUAUUUAAUUAAAGAAAAUAAAAAUCUUUGAGACGUAGACAUUUUGGGCAUUUUUAAAAGAACACUCUGCUCACCAUAACAACUUCAUCUAAAUUCUGGUUGUUAUGGUGCCAGUUGUCCCCUUGGUGUUCUAUUGUCUUACGGGGUGAAAACGUUCUUGAACAUCCCGCAUUGCUGGAUCUUCAGGUCCAUCAGCAGGAUCUGGCUUCUGAAACUGAGUUUCAGGAAGGUCAAAGUAACGCCAGGUAGGGGCACAGCUUAUUGCCUAGAGCAGUCAGCUUGUACUCUAAGCAAAUCACUAGUUUCCCACUGAUAAAAAAGUUAAAGAUUUUAUGAAUUGACUUACAGCAUCAACUGACCGCUCUAGCCAAACAUCAGCACCCGUGCCUGACUUCAUUUUUUGCUUCCUGAAAUUCACUAUAUGCCGCUGGGCCACCUGGAGAUCUGACACUGAAUGCAGUCUUUAUUGGUUAAACUAUUUGAGAGUGGUUUGAACCGUUAAAGGAAAGCGGUCACUCAGGUGCCUCGUGGCAUCAUUACAUCUUCAUUUAGAUUAAGCUGUUAUGAUGGCCAGAAUGUUUCUUUAAUUUGUAAAAAGAAACAUUACAAUGUCAGGAAUACAAAUAUGUAUUCCUGACACUACAGUAGUAAAAACACUGUUUAGGUGACCUGCCCAUUUAAAAAUAUGUUUUUACUUACUUUAUUUCCAGGCCUCGCCUGCUUUGCAUCAUUAGCUAAUGGGUGUCCCAGUUUUUAUUUCCAAAAUCUGGUAACCCUUCACAAAGAUGAUGUGCCCACUUGUGUUGCGGGAGCAGCUGAAGGUAGAUAUUUUCACGUGAAGCUCUACCUUGUAGGCGCUGCCAUCUUCAUAAAGAUGACAUCUACAGGUCCUGCUUUUUCAUCCUUCAAGAGCCACGUCAAAAAAGAAACAGUCAAUUUUCCAAAUGCUACAUAUAGGAGUUCAGUGGUGUAGCAAACCCUGGAGAGCAGGUUAUUCUUGUCCCUUUACCCGGAGUUCAGAGCAUUGCUAUGUAUAAAUUAUAUGUGAUUUGCUGAUUUGAAUUGCAUGCAUAAUAGAUUUUCUUGCUCCAAUGUAUGCGUAUUUUGUUUUACAGUUCCGUGGAUAAGGAAGAGCUAAAACGUCAGUUUAUGUUUAUUUCCUAGCUAAAAAUCAAAAGACAAUUUAUGUAGAUUGACUACUGAGGAGAGGGUCAACCAUGUUAUCCUGUUAUAUAGAAAGCUAUUUGAAUUCCUCUCUCCUACUCUUUCAGCUUGAAUAUACCGAUACAACACUCUCCUAGUCAUUGAUUCUGAAAAAUAAUUGUGCUAUUAGUAGUCAGGGUAGCAUCUGAUGUACAGUGCUUAUAUUCUUACGUAAUUUGUAAAUAAAUCUAGAAUUAGCAAUUUUACUUGUUAUUUACUUUGUAAACCAAGAUAUGCAUAUUAUGCUUCCUUUUAUUUUAAAUCAGGACAUUACAAAAAGCUGGGAAAAUAUGUUUGGUACAUGAAUCAAAAGAGAUGUUUUUUUUCACAAAUACGUAAUUUAUGGAAACAUAACUUGUUUUGCACAAGCUCUUGCCUGUGUUCCUCAGGGGAGUGCAGUUUAAAGGCAUUAUGCUCAAUUUAUUUGAUUUAUAUUUAAAAGAAAAAAGAUUUAGAAAAUUGUUCAAUUGGAAAUAAAUGUAUGCUUUAUUCCUUAGUUUAUUUACUUUCUAACUUUUUUUUCCAUCUUCAUGUAUUCUAUUUGAAAAAGAAAUCCAAUGGGCCUUAGAAAUUUAAAAAAAUAAAAAUAAAAUGCUAUUUAAUAGGGAAACUAUAGACACCAGAACCAUUACAGCUUAAUGUAUUGGUUCUAGUGUCUAUAGAAUGUUCCUUCAUCUCUUCAGAGAAAAGGCAUUGUUUACAUCGGUAGUUACAUCUCUAGUGACAGCCACUCAAACACAAUACUCCUGCCCUUUUGUUCCCUGGUGCUGUAAGAUGGUAGUGUAAAUAGUAAGGGUACCCCUGAGUACCCUAGCAUUAUUUCUUUUUGGGGGGCAGGGAAAUUAAGGUGAUAACUUUGGAUUUUCUUAAGUCAACAUUAGUCUCUAAUAUCUAGUAAUAUGGGGAAAACUAGGGACCCCAGGUUACUUUGGUGUGAUAUAUUAUUGUUUCUUCAAGUAGACCCAUGUGCAAGGUGAUGAAAUUAAAUGCUAUAAAAUAAAGAGAUAAGCAGUCAGGAGCCUGUUUAAUACAUUGAGGUUUUACACUUACUUAUAGGUCAUCAUAACAUCGACGAGAAAUGGUACCUUAUAUUUCAAUAUUGCUGAUAUGUCUGAACAGGUACAUUCAUCCACUACCCUCUCUGUAAACUAAUACUUCCUGAUAAUAUUUUUAAACCUUUGCCCCUCUAAUUUAAGACUAUGUAGACUAUGUGGUAGUUUUUCUUCUUUUUAAAUAUAGUCUCCUCCUUUACUGUGUUGAUUCCCUUUAUGUAUUUAAAUGCUUCUAUCAUAUCCCCCCAUCUCGUCUUUCCUCCAAGCUAUACAUGUUAAGUUCCUUUAACCUUUCCUUGUAAGUUUUAUCCUGCAAUCCAUGAACCAGUUUAGUAGCCCUUCUCUGAACUCUCUCUAAAGUAUCACUAUCCUUCUGGAGAUACGGUCUCCUAUACUGUGUACAAUACUCCAAGUGAGGUCUCACCAGUGUUUUGUACAAUGGCAUGAGCACUUCCCUCUUUCUAAUGCAGAAUAAAACCAAGCAUUCUGCUAGCAUUUCCUGCUGCUAUAUUACAUUGUCUGCCUACCUUUAAGUCAUCUGGAAUAAUUACCCCUAAAUCCCUUUCCUCAGAUGUUGACGUUAGGACUCCAUCAAAUAUUCUGCUCUCUGCCCUUGGGUUUUUACAUCCAAGAUGCAUUAUUUUGCACUUGUACACAUUAAAUGUCAGUUGCCACAACUCUGACCAUUUGUCUAGGUUACCUAAAUCAUUUGCCAUUUGACGUAUCCCUCCUGGAUCAUCAACCCUGUUACAUAUCUUGGUAUCAUCAGCAAAAAGACAUACCUUACCAUCAAGACCUUCUGCAAUAUCAGUAAUAAUUUUUUUUUAAAGAGAAUGGGUCCAAGUACAGAUCCCUGAGGUACCCUACUGUUAACAAGACCAUGCUUCGAAUAUACUCUAUUGAUUACAACCCUCUGUGGCCUGUCACUCAGCCACUGCCUAACCCAUCUAAAGGGACUCUCCAGGCAGAGUAGUUUACUCACCUUGUUCCAGCGCUGAGAGCCUCGUGAAGCCACUGAAAAUACCGUGUUUACAUUAGAUUGCCUGCAGGGAGCUAUAGAUCUCACCUGAACAAAUACAUUAAGCUGUAGUUGUUCAGGUGACUAUAGUGUCCCUUUAACAAUAUUGGAAGCCAAACUUUAAGAUUGUAGUUUUUUGAUAAUUCUUCUAUGUGCGACAGUGUCAAAAGCCUUACUCAAAUCUAGGUAAGCAAUGUCUACUGCACAACCCUGAUCUAUUACUUUGGCAUGAUCUCCCUGAAGUAAACUUAUGUUGUAUCUGAUUUUGAAAUCCAUGUGAUUUUAGAUGUUCAACAAUCCUAUCCUUUAACAUGGUUUCCAUUACUUUCCUCACUACUAAAGUAAGGCUUACUGGCCUAUAGUUGCCCAACUCCCCCUACUACCUUUCUUCUGAAUGGGCACAACAUUCGCUAACUUCCAGUCUUCUGGGAGUACUACUGUUAACAAUGAUUGGUUAAAUAAAUCCGCCAAUUGUUUUGCUUGUACACCCCUAAGCUCUUUUAAUAACUUUGGGUGUAUUCCAUCAGGUCCCACUGACUUAUUUGUCUUUACUUUUGACAGUUGAAAUAGAACCUCUUCCUUUUGACAUGUAACAAAUUCCUUAUUUGUCCUCUUUCCUAAUUGAGGUCCCUUUCCUUCAUUUUCAUCUGUAAAUUCUGAACAAAUAUAUUAAUUGAGGCAGUCAGCUAGACCUCUACCCUCUUCUACAUAUGUUCCUUCUUUUGUUUUUAAUCUAACUAAUUCUUGUUUUACUUUCCUUUUCUCAUUUUUGUAUAUAAAAAAGGUUUGUCCCCCCUUUUUUACUGACUGUGCUACUUUAUCUUCUGUGUGUGAUUUGGAAGCUCUUAUAAGUUGCUUAGCCUCUUUCUGCCUAAUCUUAUAGAUCUGUCUAUCUUCCUCACUCUGGUUUUUUUUUUUUAUAAUAACUAAAUGCUAACUUUUUGUUUUUUAUUAUUUUGGCCACAUCUACCGAGUACCACAGUGGUUUCUUUAAUGUUUUGCUCCUACAGGCAAGCCUAAUUCAGUUUUCUGUUGCCUUCAGUAGUGCAACUUUUAAAUAAUCCCAUUCCUCUUGGACUCCAUUUAAACUGCCCAAAUCUGAUAAUGACUAUUAUUUACAGUUUAAUUUUAGAAGUAGUGGGAGUAAUUAAAUAAUGUAGUUGGAAGUGCAUUGGAUGUCCCUUAGCAAUAGUGUUUUCCGGAGUACCUUUGUAUUUCCAUAUGCAAGAUACUAAGGGUUUGCAAGAAAGAGCAUUCUGAGCUAUUAACAAGCUGGAGGGAUUUAACUGAUCUCUUACACCUUAAAAACCCUGAAAACACUGGUAUGCACAAUUGAUUUAUUUGUUUAUUUCUUUGUCUGUUUGCUUAUUUAUGAAUUUUGAGGCUCUUUUGUCAAUUAAUUUCUCAGCCAUUCAGACAAUUUUAGGGCAAACAAGGGAUAAAUCAGUUUGAGACAAACACAGAUUUAUUGUAUCUUCAGUCUGGCUGAGAGCACAUUCAGACAGGAAAGGCUUCAAAGCUUGAUGGUUUCUUAUUUUGUUUUUGAAAUGUAUAGAGGCACUUUGUGACAGUAGAUAAACACCAUUGGUCUGUCUAUUUCAAAUCUAUCUAUAUUAUCCUUUUUUGGUUUAUGCUUGGGUCAGUAAUGAGCCUACUUCACGUCUUUGUAGACAAUUGUAGAUUAUACUGGCUGUAGUGUAACUAUAAUCUUAAUUUUAUUAAUGACAGGAGGCGAAUAUUUGCUUAAGUCUCUCUUUACUAGAACUCCACAGCAGCACAUUCACAUAGAGAUAAAAACACCAGAGACAAAAAAAAUCAGGAAUCUAUAAAAGGCUUCUUCUCCCAACUAACUAUGUCCUCUUUCACGCUGCGACAAAUAAAGUACAUGAACAAUACACCACAAAUACUAUAACAGGAGAAACAAACAUAACAUAACGAUGAAUGCUAUCCGAAAUUGAAACCGUGGAACCAGUGGGUGAAGCCUUGACCUAUCCUGUAGAGUAGUCGGAUCUAAGAACUGUAGCCAAACCAUUAAACUGAAACGAGAUAAACAGAGUCGAAAACACUGAUUAGCGAAUGAAAUGUACUGAGAAAACAUGAAUCCCCAUCGUAACUACUGACAGUAUAAUAUCCCAGAUAGUGAAAAAACCUGAAUCCCCAACAUAAAAUACUGAUGGUACCAUAUCCCAGAUAAACCCCAAUUCCCCCAGAUAACCAACCUAGCCCAGGAGACCAGGUGAAUAAACAACAAGUCAGUCAAACCAACAAACAACAAGGGAGGGAGAAACUGGGAGGGAAAAUUUGCCCCCUGUCAUUAAUAAAAUUAAGAUUAUAGUUACACUAAAGCUAGUAUAAUCUACAAUUUUAUAGCAUGACAGGAGGCUUCAUAUUUGCUGUUUUAACGCUCGGACAGCAAAGACCAAAGAAACACAAUCCACCGUACCAACCUAAACUCUGCGAAGAUAGCUCUUUGUAACCGGCAGGAAAACGUACAAUGUCUUGGAGAAAACCGCCCGCCAUGUCGGUACCUGAAGUCGCCGUGUUACGGACUGAAGUGAACCGAAAAAACCUAUACGCCCCGACAAUGCCAACCACAACCAAGCAGUACAUGAAGGGUGAGAAAAAGGGUAGAACCAUUUAAACAUUUCCCAUUUAAACAAACGGUGACAUCGAACACCGCCUAAAGGUGGGAGCGCUACCGAAGUAAGAAUAUGACCCUCGGGUCCAACUAAGGCUGAUAGACAACUAAGGUCCGAACCGCCGAACUCAUCGGAAAGAAAAACAAGGUAUAAUAACGUAAAUAAAUCCAGAAUCAGUAAAUGGGCAAAAAUCGACAGAACCCACCAUAGGAGCAUGACAAAAAUGUGUGUACCCCCUGGGGAGAUGAAUACCCGUCCUCAGGAAUCGUAAAGGGAAUUCAAAGCAGAGCGAGGCAGUCGUACGCGCUACCUAACCUAAUUAAUAUGGCAGUCCCCGGUAAUAAAGUGACCGAACAAUACCCGAAUCCUGUAAAAGCGGCAGCAAAAUUAGGAGAUCCGUACCAGACCUAACUAUGUCAGGGUCGCCAGGCAGACCAAAGUCUCACUUUCCCCGAGAUCAAAUGAGCAAGGGUCCAGGGAAUCCAGGAACUAGGUUCCACUCUGCCGAAGCGGAGAUCAUAAUUCCAAAGUACCAGCAGACCGAGGCACCUGUAGAAAGGUCCUGAGACCAAACAAACGGAGGAGACUCGUCCGUGUCUCCAUGUCGAACACUCCUGGAGGGAAAGGUGGGCCCUCUAGCGUUACGCUCCUGAUAAGCUUAAAGGAGGACCCUGGCUGAAGCCUAAUUCCACGGAGGCGGUCACUGCCAUAGUAGUCAUUGCCUGCGCUGUUAACCCGGAUAAGGGUUCUCCUGUGCAGCGGUCCUAGGCAAAGCAACCUCAAGGAGUAUAGAGGACAAGUGUCAGCGGCAGGGAGAUAGGGGCAGCACCCCAUAUAGUGACCGAGGCAAGUUGGGCAGCGCAUGCAAUGCACAAGCGUGAGUAUGUGGCAGUAGGCUUGGCAUGCAGACAUUCUGGCACAGACAGCACAGGCCAGAUCAAUGGGGCACAGACAAAGCAGGCCAAUCAAUGGGGCACAGGCAGAGCAGGCCAAUCAGUAAGGCAUGGACAAAGCCGGCCAAGUCCUGGGGCACAGACAAGUCAGGACCUUCAGAGAUGUACAGGUGAGGAACUGCGCAUUCCAUUCUUCCGCUAAAAUGUACCUUUCGCUCUUCAGAUAAGAUGUACAUAACACUUCUUCAGAUUAAUAGCACAUAACACACUUCUGUGUAAUUGUAAUUAACACACUUCUGUGUAACUGUAAUUAACACUCUUCUUUGUAACUGUACGUAACCUUCUUCUGUGUAACUGUACGUAACCUUCUGCUGUGUAACUGUACGUAACACUCUUCUGUGUAAAUGUAGGUAACACCCUUCUGUGCAGCCGUACAUAACAUCCCUCAGUGUAAACAUACAAUACGUUCUUCUGUGUAACCGUACCUAACGCUCUUCUGUGUAACUGUACAUAACAUUCUUCCGUGUAACUGCAUGUACAUUCUUCUGUGUAUUUGUACAUAACACUCUUCUGUGUAACUGUACAUAACACUCUUCUGUGUAACUGUACAUAGCAUUCUUCUGUGUAACUAUACAUCGUAUAUAUUACUGUGUAACUGUACAUAGCCUUCUACUGUAACUGUAGAUAGCAUUCUUCUGUGUGACUGUACCUAGCAGUCCAUUGUGUAACUGUAGAUAAUGCACUUCAGUUAAAUAGUGCCUGACACUCCGUAAAUAGUGAACUUGCAUAUUGAGUACACCUGUAGUCAGGGAACUCACUAACUGAGUUACCUCACAAGAGGUGCUCCAUUGGCCAAUAUGAUAAAACAGAGCGCUGCAAGCAAUCAUCUGAACAAACAAAAAGGGGGGGGGGAAUGAGUACAAGUGGUAACACUGCCAGUUGUGCCUGUAACCCUUGAGGGGUUAUGCACAGCUCUAUAUAGCAUGCCUGUGAUCUAUAUCAUCCACUAUGGUUCCCAGUAGCCUAACCUGCCAGCCACAUGGGGCACAAAGCCAGGAUAGCCUGAGGGUGCAAUGCGCCCAAGUCAUAGCUGGGUCCCAGUCAAACCUACAGCACACGUGCCUGCCAUCGACGGAACGCUGCAUGGGAAGGUAACCCCCCACCCCACGCAGCGGGAGCAGUUAUACCGCGAGCAGAAGCGUGGGUCGGGUGGGGGGUGGAAGCAGAGGAUCUCGCUCGGCGGAUGGAGCUGGCGGACGGGAUCCAACACGUGGGACCGCCGGAGUCUUACUCAAAACAGACAAAAAGUGAAGGGGGCAAAGCCACCCGGAAAAGGUAGAGGGACGGAAGGAAAAAGGAAAUCCCCCCAAACCCGAGAAAAAAACGAUCCCCGGACAGGGGGGCCCAAAACAAGAAAAUGCAGAAAAGUCAUAAGAGAAAAUAAAUCCCUACAGCAAAAAAGUAGGGACAGAAAAAUACAAUCUAAAUAAAUAAAUCACAAUGGCAGUAGGAAGGUAAACACAUUCCAAACAAAUAAAUCCCUGCAGCCAUAAGAAUGUAAAUGCAGAAAAACAGAGUAAAUAAAUCAAUCAAUCAAACAAUCACUACAGCACUAAGAAGGUAGAUGCAGAAAAUACAGUAUAGCUAAAUAAAUCAAUCACUAGAGCACUAAGUAGGUAGAUGCAAAAAUACCCUUUAAACAAAUAAAUCAAUACAGUAAUAAACAUAUAAAUACAGUAACAUAUCCACAACCACCCAUAUAUAACAGGAGGCAGUGGUACUCUGACCUGUACUGACUGUGGAGCAGCAAAGAAAGAGGAAAUAGUUAGUUGGAAGAAGACUUUUAUAGAUUCCUGAUUUUUUUUGGUCUCUGGUGUUUUCAUCUCUGUGUUAAUGUGCUGCUGUGGAGUUCUAGUAAAGAGAGACUUAAGCAAAUAUGAAGCCUCCUGUCAUGUUAUAAAAUUCCGCUAUAUUAGGCUUUACCACAUCUUUCGAAAGGCAGGAACAAUUCUGAAUAUUCUUUAGAACUUAAACCUAAACAUUCUAGAUUCUGUACAAGAGUAGGAACUUUUUUGAAACAAAAUGUUAUAAAACACGGAUAAUAAAAGGCUUCAUUUUCAAUCGUAGAACAGGUAGGUGACCCACAUUCCAAAGAUCUCUAGAUGUUCAGGAUUAUUAUGUGCCACUGGACCAAAAAAUAGAAAAAACAAACCAGAAGCCUAAUUUGAAAAUUAAAAGAAGCACCUUUUUAUUUUUUUUAGUGAAAAUUUGCCUAUAUAUUGGGUUGGAACUUCACUGUAGUGUCAUCAGAAUCAAAAGAAAAGCAUACCACAAUGCAGGGACUGCAGCAUAUGGCAAAACAUGACCCAAGGUUUAAUGAACUUCCCUUGCCUUUCUUAUAAGCCAUCACUCAAGAGGUAUAGGAAUUGCAGGAUCUUUUACAAAAGAUGGAAGAGAUAUAAGACAUGAUGCAAAACAGAUGCCAAAGGCAUCUUAAAGGACCACUAUAGUGCCAGGAAAACAUACUCGUUUUCCUGGCACUAUAGUGCCCUGAGGGUGCCCCCACCCUCAGGGUCUCCCUCCCGCCCGGCUCUGAGGGGGAAAGGGGUAAAAACGUACCUUUUUCCAGCGCUGGGCGGGAGCUCUCCUCCUCCUCUCCGCCUCCGUUCCUCCCCGUCGGCUGAAUGCGCACGCGCAGCAAGAGCUGCGCGCGCAUUCAGCCGGUCGCAUAGGAAAGCAUUAUCAAUGCUUUCCUAUGGACGCUUGCGUGCUCUCACUGUGAUUUUCACAGUGAGUAUCACGCAAGCGCCUCUAGCGGCUAUUAAUGAGACAGCCGCUAGAGGGAAUGGGGGAAGGCUUAACCCAUUAAUAAACAUAGCAGUUUCUCUGAAACUGCUAUGUUUAUAAAAGAAUGGGUUAACCCUAGCUGGACCUGGCACCCAGACCACUUCAUUAAGCUGAAGUGGUCUGGGUGCCUAGAGUGGUCCUUUAAUGCACAUGCUCAAGAGUGUCAUUGCAAGAUCCAGCAGGAUCUAGCUAGAUCUAGAUGUAUAUUCCACAGACCACUUUUUUUUACUCUUGCACGUGCACAAGAGCACAAUGAUGAUGCGGCUCCUCGUUGUAUCAUCUCCUAGGAGUUCUAGACACAUGAAUGGUGGCACCGAGCAAGGGAAGAUAUAAGUUUACCUCACUUUACCUUUCUCUGACAUGUCACUUGGUGGGUUCUUGGCACUAACUGCUGAAACAUUAUUACUUUAAAGCAGCAUAACAUCUCAUCCAUACAGUGUUUCCAUCCUCAAUGCAGUAAUUAAUCAAGGUAAGCUUAGUAAAAUCAUGAGAAAAAUGAAUAACACCCUUAUUAAAUAUUACCGUUUUGCUAUCUCAGGCAGCAAACACAUUCUCAACCUCUUGAGGCAAUCCAUCAAUAUUUGGAGAACUGUUAAUUGCCACUAAAUUAUUGUGUUUUAAUAAUGUAAUAGGGAUAUUGAGGGAACAGAAAUCAUGCAGGUGAUUAAACACCACGGCCAUGAAAGCCUACAGCCAAAAUGGUCUUUCAAAUUAUCACAAGAAAUUUCAAAAGAAGACUAAUUCUUCAUUUACUGGGACUAAAACGCAGCAUUCAGCGCUAAUUAUCUUUUUUUUUUUAAGAAAGCACUUCACACGUUUUAUCUAUGGAAAAAAACCCUCAAAUAUGACAUGAGGUUAAUGUCUUUUCAAAGACAACAUGCAUGACAAAUCGCAUUUAACCAGUUUGUGACUGUGGCUUUUCCAGAAUAUCAAGCAUUAGUUACUGAGAACUUCUUGGUACUUUCUGUGCUCCUUUCUCCAUAAUUUAAUGAUUUCACAUCAAUGCAGGCAGAAGGACAGAUAGGUUCUGUCCUUGGUCCCCUACUGUUCUCCAUCUAUACUGCCUCCCUUGGUAAACUCAUCAGCUCAUUUGGCUUCCAUUAUCAUUUAUAUGCAGAUGGCACACAAAUCUACCUGUCCUCUCCUGAUCUCUCUCCGCCCAUCUUGACUCGUGUCUCUGACUGCCUCUCCGCGAUUUUCAACUGGAUGGCUGCUCACUUCCUUAAACUCAACCUGUCCAAAACAGAACUUCUGGUCUUUCUUCCCUCAAGUGUUGCUACUUCCGUGUCUGUCUCCCUCCAAGUCAACGGUGCCACCAUCACCUCUACCUCGCAGGCUCUCUGCCUAGGUGUUCUCUUUGACUCCGACCUCUCCUUCACACCUCAUGUCCAGUCGAUCUCCAAAUCCUGCCGCUUCAAUCUCAAAAACAUAGCUCGCAUCCGCCCUUAUUCAACACAAGAUACAGCUAAGGUGCGGGUCCAUGCCAUUGUUCUUUCUUGCCUUGCCUACUGCAAUCUCCUUCUCAGUGGUCUUACGUGUUUCCAGAUUGCACUGCUGCAAUCUAUAAUGAAUUCGGUAGCAAGGCUCAUUUUCCUGUCUGCCCAUACCUCCCACGUCUCCCCCCUCUGUCAGUCCCUACAUUGGCUUCCAGUUAGAUAUAGGGGUCAAUUUAAGAUUCUGGUCCAACCUACCUAUCCUCCCUAAAACACAAGUAUGUCCCGUUGAGGCCCCGGCGCUAUGCCGAAGACCUACCUCUAUCCUCUGUCCGUACUUCCACAUCUGAUGCUCACUUCCAAAACUUCUCCAGGACUGCACCUUUUCUGUGUAACUCCCUUCCCUUCUCUGUUAGACUUUCACCCAGUCUCCACUCCUUCCAAGAAUCUUUGAAAACACACUUCUUCAGGAAAGCAUAUAAUUUAAACUGUUAGUGGGGUGUCAUUCAAAAUAACCUAAUACUUUUCUAGCAACCUAUUUCAUUACACCUACUUAUACCUUUUGUGUCAUUAUACCCCACUCCCUCUAGCAUGUAAGCUCAUUGAACAGGGCCCUCAAUCCCUCUGUUCUUGUGUGUCCAACUUGUCUGGUUACAAAUACACAUCUAUCAGUCCACCCACUGUACAGCGCUACAGAAUUUGCUGGCACUAUAUAAAUAAUAAAAUAAUAAUAAUUAUGAUGGAGAAAAUAAAAAAUUUGGAAAAUAAAUAAUAAAAAUAAACAAGAUACAUAAUUUUCAGAAUCAAGAAUACAAAAUUUCCAACUAAUGGUUGGAAAUCCAGGAGAUCACUGUUGGUCAGACAAGAAGUCACAAUCAGGAUACCAGGACAAUCAGGAAGUCAGAACGAGCCAACAAUAACAGAAAAUGAAUACGUAUUAUUAGGAACUAUAUGUGAAUAAAAAAAAGCAGGGUGAAAGAGAAUACUGAAAAUGGACAACAGCUCAAGAAGCUUGCCCUUUGCUUGGUCCUUAAAACAUGUGUAAACCACAACCAGGCUCAGGCCACCCCAAAGGCUUGUAAAUGACAGAUAGAGGGGUUAAAGAUGUGAGUUACCAAAUAUAAGUUACCAGUAUGAGUUGGUAUUUAGUGGGUAUUGUGCUGCAAAUGCCUGAUGCCACUCUAAGCACCAUAACCACUUCAGUAAGAGAUAAAGAGGUUAUAGUGCCUUGAAUAUCCAUAUGCAUUUUCAGUCGAUGCUUUUCUAAUAAAUGUCUUAAACAUUGCUACAAUUUUUGGCAUACCCAGCAUGUUAAUGUCAUGCUCUGUAGACUGCAAUAUUAGCAAAACAAAAACGGCCAUAAAAUGUGUACCCCACCUGGCACCGAUGUAUGUUUUAGAGCUUUUGUUCAUAUGAUAUUUUUUUUUCUAAUUCAAGUCAUUGUUUUUGUUUUUUUUAUUCUGAAUUAACCUUUUGAAUGACAGUCACAUAUAUGGUUGCAUGGCUGUCCUUGCUACGGCUCCAACAGAGUUAAAAGUGACAACCGAAAUUUACUUUUACAUAUUACAACACAGUUAGUUUUCUUUCAAUUAACAAAGCUUGAGAAAAAAAAAAUCUCUGUGUCUAUUUUUGGAAAAAUGAAGUGAUAAAGUACUAAGUGGUUAAUGUAAUUAACAUAAUUUGCAACACAGAAGUCUAAAUUGAAUAAAAACAGUGUGGGUAAAUAAACAGGUGCUGGAAAGAAAACAGAAAGCUGGUUAAAAUAAAACUCCAUCUCUAAAGCUGACAGGUAAGGAAUUUUAUGUAUAUUCAAUAAUUCCGUUCUCUUUUGUCAGUCAUCACAAAAUCUAGUAUAAAUGAGCCAUGUUGAGGGUUUGUUUACACUGUGAAUAAAGUAUUUAUAGCAAGGAUCAGUUUAUUAAUGAGGCCAUGACACCUAUAGAAUUUUAAUAUUUUUAAUUUUCUUGUACUUUGGUUAUCCAAUAUUACUGAUUUUACGUUUAGUUAGCUUGUAGUGAAUUGUAAACUAAAUAGGAAUAUUUUGGAUAAUGUAGCCAAGUUGUGACUUUAGAUGAAGUUGAGUUUAUUGUUUCAAAAAUUGGCAGUUUUCAAUUCACUGCAAUUCACUGUUAAGUUAAUAAACCCUUAUAGUUAAUCCUACAGUUUGGGCUUCCUGUUAAAUCUAUUUUGUAAACAUUUUGCAUAUACAUUUUUCAUCUAACAAAAAUCAGUUCUCUAAUGUUUACUAAAUAUAGUUGGAGCUGUCCAGCAGAGGAGGCUGGUGAUGUUUUGAAAUGGAGGGGGCACCAGACUUCUCCCCCAUAAUUUUACCCCUCUCUGUACAGUACAGAGAUAUUCAUACAAUGCAGAUAGAUGAGCAUAAUACAGAGAUUCUUAUACAAUAAAACAAGCUGGACACAAAAGAUAGAUAUCUAUAGACAUCUAUAAAAUACAAAGAGCUGAGUAGAAUACAGAGACAAUUAUACCACAAACAGAGCCGAGAAAAAUAUGAUGAUACAAUACACAGAGCUAGGCUCAAAAAAAGAUACCUAUAAAAUACACAGAGUUGGGUAGGCUACAUGUAUACUCUUACAACAGGUAGAGCUGAGGAAAAUACAGAGAAAUAGCACACAGAGCUGGGCACGUUAAGGAAAUCGCACACAGCCAGGAUCACUGUGAUGGAUUACACAGAGCUGCAACACAGAGAUACUCACACAGUGCAUGUCUCUGUAGCUCUCUCUGUCUAUCUUCCUAGCACUCUCUUAGCUGUCCCUCUCAUGAUCUCAUCUCCAGUAAUGCUCUUGCUAUGAUAACUUUAGCUUUCUAUUAAAUGUUGCUGCUGUUAUGAAACAUGUCAACUGCGCCCUAAGUUCUCAGCACACAGUGGGCACAUGGCUAAAGCAGCAGUAUAUUGGUAAAAUUUAAACAUUUGUGUUAUCAUUGCAGCUGGCAAUAUAAUUAAACGGACACUGUAGGCACCAAAACAACUUUAUCUUAAAUAAAGCAGUUUUGUUGUACAGCUCAUGCCACUGCAGCCUCACUUCUCAAUUUUCUGCCAUUAAGAAGUUAAAUUGUUUAUGCAGCCCUUCCUGUGUGUGACUUACACAGCCUUACUUAACACUUCCUGUAAACAGAGAUCUAAUGUUUAAACUUCCUUUAUUGCCUUUCUGUUUAAUUAGAAUAUUGUAUUUCCUACUCUAUUAAUAGCAUUUUAGAUCUUGCAGGAGCCUCCUGUAAAUAAAAAUAAGAUACAAAUGUCUAACAGCAAGUUAACAACUAAUUGAAAAUUUAACCAUUUAUUUCAUGCAGAUUUUUCCAGUCACAGUCAGGGAAGGUAUGGCUGGGGCUGCACCAACAGAAACAAAGAUCAUUUAACUCCUUAAAGGCAGAUAAUUGAGCAGUGAGACUGCAGCUCAAUACAUUUUUCACAGCUCAUUAGCAUGAUCUAUUCACUAAUACCACUUCAAUAUGCUAAAGUUAUUUUGAUGACCCUUCAAUCUGCAUUGAUAAUAUGAAACCAAGAAGUAGCUGACAUGGCUAACAGAAGCAUCAACCAUUACAGACUAAAACAGAUUGAAAUCAGAAUCUGUUCAGUCCUCAGAGUGACAGCGCCAGUUCUGCAGUCCGAAGCUUCACAACUUUUCAAAUAGCCACAGCAUGAAUAUCUAAGGCCUCAGCAAUAGGGUGACUGAGCACUUUAAAGAAGAUUAUGUCUAUGUGCAGUAGGAGUUAUUAAAACUAUUAGUGACAGGCAGCACAUGGUUCUGUAUCAGAAAUGAACCCCUCUCCUUUUCACCCCUGGGCUAUUAGAAAAUGGCCUUGUUUAAUCAUCCCUCAGGCCGUCACUAGGGCUAUUGGGGAAGAGAAAAUAUAUCAUACACGUACAUUUGGCAGUAGCCAGGAGCUGUUGCUGCUGUGUUAUCUCUCUGUGUUACAUCCAAAAUGGCUUAUUUCUUCUCUCUCCCGUGGGCACUGUAUACACCCACCCCCCUCAGUGCUAUCUGUCAAUGAUGACCGCUGAAUAGAGCGGCCAAUAGUGUGCCUCCACUGAUGGGAAAAUGGCUCAACUGCCUGAAUGGCAAGUUAAUGGAAAUUCCUGAAAUUUCACAUUAGGCAUGUGCAAAACCUGCUGGAACAGGGCAGAUUUUAAACCUGCCCCAUUUGUUGGACAUGCCUAGAUGCUUUCAUGUAAGUUCUCCAAAAAGUUACCAAUGAGGAGGGAGGAGCCCUGCAGAACUGAAACCAAUUUCAAAACAUUAGUUGGAGGUGGUUGACAGAUGGAGGCAGCAUUGAGUUCUAAACACACACACAUUUAAAAAAACAAUUCAGGCAUUAUUGUGUUUUAUUUUAAGACUCAGUAAUUGGGAUCAGUUUACCUAUGGUUGAAGACACAUUAUGUACUUUGGAAAUGACAGCUAGGUUACAUUUACUAUAGGUGAAGUCAUUACACUUAAUAAUUUUCAAAAUUUCAAAACCAUUUUCAGGGUCAUGUUGCUGCUAUGGAUUCCAAUCCCAACAUGUCAAAAAAUGUCCAUUGCAAAACAUAGCUGCAAUUUUCUCGAUGUAAAGCAUUGUCACAAUGAAAUAUUGCUUAGAGCUGCUUAUAGUCAUAUAAAAUAGGAAAUAUACGCGUUACUUGACACUUGUAUACAAAUUGUUACCCCAUAAAUACACUCUCGUGUUUGAAAAAACAGUCAAAAACAGUGAAACAAGGAAUAUUUAUAGCAAUGUGUGGAUAUUUGUUAUUUUUAAUCACAGUUUCUUUGUAUGCCUAAUUCUCGCUGUUUGCAUAAUAUAAUGCUACUAAAUAAAACAACUGCAAUUAAAUGUAAUUAUAGGUUCAAUUGACUUCUGCAGUGUAUCUAUAGAAUUUUGAUUGGUUUUUAUGUUACUAAAAUUACCUUACCUGUUUUGCCUACAUAUUCUCAAAAACAGUUACUUUCACUUCUAGAAUUGUCAAAUUACCUCUUAAAGCAGAAAUGUCCAAUGUGAGAUUUCUCAUAGCUCAAUAGCUAAAUAAACGUUAAGCCAGUUGUUUUUAUUACACAAUGUACACUGCAAGUCUGAAUGUCCUGGCACAGCUAGAGCAUGACAUGCAAAUUAAUAUAUUUCCCAUAGUGCUGUGCACAUAUAUAAUUAUGGAAAAGUUCCUGAGAGUGCACACAACCAUACAAUGUUUUUCAACAGAGAUCUGACCAUGCAUGACCACAUAUGGAAAAUCAUUGGAAUAAUGAUGCCAUUCUGAACGUAAAAGCGUUGGGGAGAAAGCACUAAUCACCCCAGUAAGAGAAAAUUAAGAAUUGUUGUUGCUUUCAGAGAUGUGACAAUUCCUCUUUAAUGAUGUUUGUAUAAAUUAGAUUGAUAUUUUAGUAAAUAAUUGUUUCAAUAUCUUGUUAUGUACGGUGUGUGUUGAUACUGGUGCUUUUUAUAUAAUUUUGAUGAUUUCGGUAGUUCCCCAUUUACACAGUUAUGUAUGGGAAAGAACUCUCUCUUUUCUUUAUAUAUAUAUAUAUAUGUAAUUCAAAGAACAAAAUCCUUAUUUUCAUCAUACUGAACUCAAUUUAGUACUUACAAGAGGUCAGAAAAUUGUCUUACCUACCGACGCUUCAACAUUGACUAGAAGUAGACAAAUAGAGAUUUAAGCAAUCUUCAAAUAGAUGAAGAUAAAUAUAACCCGAGGUUUGGCCAGAGGCAGCUCUGAAAGAAACAAAGAAAACAGUUGGAUGUAAUCCUUCUCAAGACAAGGCUAUGAUACAGAACUAGAAUGGCAAGCAGUUCAUAGACCCACGUCCACGUGUUGCAAACAUAAAUCAGAUAUUGUUAACAUUUUAUUUGAUUUAAUGGUUGUACGACGACUACUUAGGGUCAUGUUAAUGAAUGCAAUUUGUGCAGAUAGAAUAGCUGGCCUCACAAAUUCCAAGGAAAUGGUAGGAUAUAAAAAUGGGUGCAUUUUAACCUAUAGCAAAUUUCUAAUAUAAUCCCAGGCAUAAAGGUAUAACAAAAUGAAAGUAAUGUCUCAGCUGCAGUAGGAUUUAUAUUAUGCUGAUCAAUUCAUGUAAUUGCUGUUUAACAAACUCAGAUCUAAAAUGCUGCAUAUUUACAUGAAAAGUUACCAAGGGGAACUUUCAUUGCACAAAAUUACCCUAUCACUUUCGCCCUCUUAGGAAAACAUACCAAUGGCGUAUAGGUUACUUGUUGAGUUGAAGAUAAUAAUAACAGUGUAAGUUACUAUAGUAAUGAGGAGAAUAUGGUUUAAUUUAGAUGAGCCUAGAUACUUUUGUUGAUUUUCCUUACUCAUUAUUCUGAAACUUACAUACGUUGGACACUGAACCAAUUGUAUAGAUCUGAGCUCAUGUUCACGUCAAAUUACCUUUGCGAUAUUAACGAUCUUGCAAUAUAUUGCAAAGCCCUACUGGUGAGAGAUCUUGACCAGAUAUUUGCUCACCCAUGCUUAUUGACAAGCCAAAUGCAGAAUUUUGAUAAUAAUCAGCACAAUUCAAUUUGUUCAUCUUCAAUGAAACCCUGAAAAGUCUAAGAACACUUGCACAACUGAAUAAAAUCCAUCAGAGUUUGCCUGCUACAAACUUGGACACCUCAGAUAUAACUAUUUGCCCACGUGGAAACUAUAUGAAAUUUGUAAAUAAAGUCUAUGUUUUAAAAUUAACUCUAUGACCUAAAACACAUAUAUGGUUUAAGUUCAUAGUUGCAAUAAACUAAAAAUAUAUUUACUAAGAUUUGCACAAGGAACUCAUCAUCCCGGAAAGAUCUAGCCUCUGCCACUAAUCAAGAUUCACUCCUUUUUCCCCAGCAUUUCCUCCCUUCCUAGUGCUGGGCAUUGUUCAAUCAAAUACUUUUUACAGAGGAUUGAAAUGUUCAUUGUGGACUAAAACGCAUUAGGAUGAACCAGCUUGUAGAUCAGGACAUGAAUUCCCAACACAGUGACUUGUGUUUCCUUUUUUGGUUGUUUUUUUCUUUGACCUCUCCACUUAGGAUGGGUAGAGGUAAAAAAACAGAAGCAAUAAUUUUUUUUCGUUAUUAGGGAGCUAAAGGUUUAAAUUGCUUCAUAGAUAAGAUGCAGGAGCUUCACCUAGCCAUUGGCAGCCUGUCCAGGGUGUCUGCAGUUAGCAUGCUGUGAACUGACACCAGAUGCAAAAUUUGCACAAACCUGACAUUGCCAAUCAGGAAGAGACUAUUCCAACUGGAUGACUUUUAACCCAUGGUCCUGCAUAUUAAAUUCUCUACAAUUAUACCCUUUUAAAAGGAAAGGCUAUUUUUCAGGGUCUUUGCACUGUAACCAGUUUAAUAAGAUUAAGUGGUUAUGGUGUUUAAACAUGUUUUUUCAUCAGUCUCACACAUGCCCCAUCCCCAAGUUGAUAUUUUUUCCAUUACUUGCUUAUCCUUGUUACAGUGUGAGUAAAUAUUUAGAAAGCAAUGAACUUUUAAUACUUUCAAGAGAAGAAGGCAGGGAAACAAAGGACCCCAAGACAUAGGAUAGUUCAGACAGUAUGAGACCACAGGUAUAGCAAGAAACAUUGUUAAACAUCAGAUUCCAAGUUAAUACCUGAUGUUAUUCAGUAUCAGAUUGUUCAUGAUUCCUGUCCUGAAAUUCCUUCAAACAGAGGUAAAAGCUAGUUACACAGAAUAAUGAUCUUGAAUACAGAUAUUGGCAGGAUAUAUAAAUCAAUUUAAUCAAUGAAAACCGUUGAAGAGCCACAUAAGUAGGGGUCAGAAUAUAAGCCUUAGAAUGAAAGCUUGGUAAAUUGAUUAGUCCAUCUGAACACAAAAUAAUAAGCAAAUUUAAAUGGGUGUUUCGCAAUUGUAUAGGGAUGUAUUUCAAUUAGGAACAAGAGAUAAACCAGAUGUUCUAGAAAGUUAUAAAAAUAAACUAAAAUCAUGGGUUAUCUCUAUCAAAGAAGAAAUAUAACAAUACUUUGAUAACAAAAGUAGGUAUAUUUAGGUUUGAUAGUAUAUGUGACAAUGCAUGACACAAUUCACAUCUAAACUAGGUAUUUGGCAGGAUGGAUGGGAAUGAGAUACUGUAAAAAUACAACACUGGAGACUUGAACUGAAGACCUGUGGCAAAGCAUUCUAACUAUUUAUGUGACCACAGCUCUUUAAGGAGUAAAAAACAAUUACACUCACCUUUUCUCCCACGUCACACUGCUCUCUCCCAGGCUGGCCUCACCUUUGUAUCAUCAAGAUCAAUAAACUCAGGCUCAUCAAUACUUUCCUGUAGGAAAAUAUUGGAAGGCUAGUGCACAUGCAUAGCAAAAGGUUAGAAACGGAGGGUUUGCAAAGACUUCUCAUUGAGCUAUAUUAGAAAGUCUGUGAUUGGACAGUCACAGACUGUCUGGGCGGGCUUAGAAUGGGAGGGCUUGCAAAGACUUCUCAUUGAGCUGUAUUGGAAAGUCUGUGAUUGGACAGUCGCAGACAGUCUGGGCGGGUUAGAAGGGGAGGGCUUGCAAAGACUUCUCAUUGAGCUGUAUUGGAAAGUCUGUGAUUGGACAGUUAAAGACAGUCUGGGUGGGUUAGAAGGGGAGGGCUUGCAAAUGCUAAAGACAAGAGAUUAGCAGCUUUUUUGCAAUGUGUUUUUAAAUAUAUCCCUGAUUAAAAAAUGCAUAAUUAAAUUAAUCCAGAAUAAAACGAGGGAGUAGCGCCUUGAUAUAUUUCUGAGAUAGAUUUGUUCUCAAGGGUAGUGGAAUAUGUGGAGACAGUAGAGUGCAGCAGAAUAUAGUGUAGCAUGUCUCACUUAAAAUGAAAAUAUGAAAGGUAAAAAUUCACUUACAGAUUUUGGAGCUAAAAAAGCUCAACUUGAAUGCGCUUUGGCAGUACAAUCCCCACCUGGGGAUAUUCAAUAUUUUCUUUUAUUAAAGUGCUUCUGUGUGCAGGACCUUCAACCAGGUAUGGUGACUCAGGAUGAUAUAAACCCCAUCUUGGGAUCAGCGUAUAGUCGUAUAUAUAAAAAAUAAAUAAAAGAUAUAGUGCUCACUGAUGUAAAAAUUGGAGAGGUACUCACAAGUAAAGAGCAAAAUUAGGUUUUGUUCAAUCCUCAGCACUCAGAUGGUAUUUUCCCCACCAAAGAAAUGUGUCUUUCCAGGCUCCAAUAGAAAGAUCCAGUAAAGUUCAAAGGAGUAUUAAAAUUAACUAUUUAAUAAACUAGUAAAAAAAAAGGUAAUACAAUAAAAACAGUAACUACAGACACUUCUCACUUACCGACCGGGUUCCGUUCCUACGACCUGGUCGUAGAACGAAUUGGUCGGUAAGUGAGGCGUUAAGGGAUUCCCUGCUCUGGUGCGCUUGUCUAUGUUCAGUGAAACUUCCCCAAACAUAGAUGAACGCACCAGAGCAGGGAAUCCCUCUAAUCUAUACUCAUGGAAAUUUCCCCAAACACAGACACGCGCACCAGAGCAGGGAAUCCCUACAGCGGCUUGCACUUACACCUGGUCAUAAGUGCAAGCUGUCGUACAACAGGUAGGUUGCUAAAUGAGGACCAACUGUAUAACACUUAAUGCAUUUCACCAAUAUAGGAUUUUUUAAAAGUGUCAAAAGACUCUACUAGUGAAACCUGCUAAGUGUAAUAUUAAGUGUUAUACAUCUGAGCAUGCAUCUACCUCAGGAAAUGUAUCAAGGCACUACUCCUUCUUUUUAUUUUGCAUACCUUCUACUGGACUGGAACUGAGAGACAUUGUUGUGGGUGUUUGAGCUAUCUAUUUCAACUAUAUGCGCUAGAAACAAUAAUUAACAAUAAUUAAAUGCAUGCAUGUUUUCACUGGAGUAUAUCUUGUAAGCACUGGUUUAUUUAUUUAUUUAUUCAUUUGGGCAGUGGAGUGUCCCUUUAACUUCUUCAAGGGAUAAAUACUGGUUCACAAUUUACAUGACUGCUGGUUAUGAGGCCACAACUGUAUUUUUACCGAUUUCUUUCCCCCAGAUAAACAUUCAUUUUUCUAGGCACCAAGAUACAUUUUGAAAAAGAGGGUACUACUGUAUGUGAGCUUCAAAUUAACAACUUCAAGCGCUGUCAUCACUCCUCCUCACGGCCAAUCACUAUCCUCUUAUUAACUGCACCCUUUCUCCUUAGCGCAGUAUGAUACAGACAAUAACAGGACAGUGAUUGGCUGUGGGGGUGGAGUCAAGUCAGCAGCUCAGCUCACUUAUUGAUCACUUAUUGGCUGAGUUGCGCAUGCACUCAGAAUACCUGUAAUAAGGAAGUUUUUUUCAUAACUAAUUUGAAAAAGGAAAAAAACACUGCAAAAACCUUUUAAAAAUCAAAUGCGCUUAAGUUAUGUUAGUGUGUAAAGGUUUCCUUUAAGGGUACACAAAGACACUUUGUGUAUACUCUACUAAAGAGGUUUAUGAGCGAGCAACAAUGAAUGUAUAAUUACAUUAAAAGUAGAAAUACAAUCCUGAAAUCCUUAAGGAGGAUCCACCAUCCUUUAAAGGGAAAAUUCAUUUGUCUGUGGUAAAUCAGAUAGGACCACACUGUCAUUUUUAGCUUGCUACAUAGUAUGUAUAUAUAAGAGGUAUGGGCACAUUCUUUUUUGCAGCUGAAUUUUACUGGUGCGUCUUGACUUCACAAUAUGAAGAAAAUCACCUUCCCCUGGUGGGUGACAAAAUACAAAAUAAUACAUUCCUUAUUUACAGAGAAACUACGUCUUAUUUUCCCCGUGGCACAUAUUAUUUUCAAUGCUGAUUUUCAUGGCUUUGGUGCAUUAGUGAUUGUGGGCGCUAGGGUCAUGAUGACUUUAUUCAGUGGGCUUGGCAGGGGGCAGGAUAAGUGGUAUUUACCAAGCAAGACAUAGAUCUCCAAAUGCCGGACCCAGCCUGGCAGGUGCCGACGUACAAAGGCAUUGGACCCAUUUACAUUCAGGCACAGUCAUAAUUGCAACCUUUGGAAUGUCUGUAGUAAUCCUAUUGUGCUACUUUAUAUUUAUAGAGCGUAUGCACAGGUCCCUGGUUUUGAUUUGUAAACAUUUGUAUUUUAUUUUCUUGCAUUUAUGAGUGUUAAUUAUUAUUGUUUUUAAAUAAAUCCUUUUUAAUGGGAUAAUACCUAGCAUCUUUUGGCAUUUUUGUCUGUCUUGCUGUUUCACUUUUUUUCUAUAUUUUUCCCCUUUUUUGGGGGAAACAAACUGAAAAUUGUUUAAUUGAAAAUUGCUGUUAAAAUUGUAUAUUUUCUAACUGGUAAAAACAACUGGUAAAAAUUGAGUAUGUUGAAUAAUAUUAAUAAUCCUCAUCUGUAUCAUUUUGAGUUGUUUGAUAGGAUGUUUUUAACUCUUUUCUACUUUUCUACUUGAAACAUUUCCAUAAUCUCUUUACGGUUUCUUCUAAAUGUGUGAAAUGAUUUGCCUUAUGCUACACCUAUCUCCCUGAUCUCAGUCAUGUCAUGAAUAACCUUCACCUCUUGACCACUGAAUGGCUUGGCUAAUUUACCUGUGUAUCUGCUUAUGCAUGCUUCUUGCAAGCUUCUUUGAGUUUACAUAUGGAAUUUUGCAUGUACAGAAUACUGAGUUUUCAGGUCGCGCUCAGUGUCUACUGAAGUGAGACUGAUUUAAUUUGCAUCAUUUGACAAGAUGUAUUUCCAUUGAUUAAGAAACCUUCUUAAAGCGUAAGACAAACCUCCUAUAAAAAGCUAUAUUUACAAAAGGUCAAUAAGUACAGCUAUUAAUAAAUUGCCUAGAUAUGUACACUUGCACAUUUUUUGUUUUGUAGACAUGUUUUUGUCAUCCAAUGUGCCACCAACUUGGCAUUGUGAUAGUUUGAUUUAAUAAAAAUAGAUUUGACUCAUUUUUUAAUUAAUCAGUAUUAGUUUUAGAGGGACACUUUAAACACCACAACCACUACAGCAUGCAAAGCACAUUGUCAGUCUUCUCCCUGUUAAUAAACCAAAUCAUGUUGUACAUGGACCUAGAACUUAUGAUGGGGACCUUUAAUAAUUAUAAAGAUACUACAAUAUUCUGCCUUUUUAUCGUUUAGUGUUUUAGUAAAUGCCUUACAAAGCUAGCUUCAUGAUUUCUCGAUUUAAAGGAUUUUUUUUCAGCUAUGUAAAUGUAUUUAAAGGUCUAGGGCUGGGCCUUGCAGAAUGCGAUGUGGAAUACCGAACAGUCCGUUGCAAUGUUCCAAGGUUCUGUUUACUGCCGUGGUUAUUAGCAUUUCUUAACAGUGACCCAAAUAAUACAACAUGAGCAUUAGCUUGUUAUCUCAUGCUUCAAUUGUAACAUUAGCUCAGUGACCCAUUCUUCAAUUAUAAUACAAAAAAUACUAAAAUUAACUGUGACAUUCACCUUUAAGCAAAGUUCUUUUUCAUUCUAGACCGCACUGUCUCUUUAACCCUCAAUUAAUAUGCAUUUAUUCCUUGAUUAUUUUUAUAGGGUACUAUGCUCCCUGACAAAUUUAUUUUUGUGAUUUGCAUGUAAUUAGAUAUAUUCCCAAUGUUCUCUUUUUAUUCCCCUUGAUAUUUAACUCCAAAUGCAUAAUUGCCCUUUGGAUGUCCACCUCCAUCUUUUUAUGAUUUGAACUUCAAAAGUAGAACAUUUCAAGGCUUUAAUGAAAGACGAUUUGACCAAAAAGUUGAAAACAACCUUCCAGAAGAACUGGUACAGGAAUAUUCAAAACACCUGUCAGGGAUUUGCAAGAUAAAGGGGAGUAGAUGUUUUGGUCAUUCAGCUAUUAUUCUCUUUCAUAAUAUGUUUCUAGUAGCACAAUCAGAAUGUCAAGCGAGAGGAUUCUCCCUUGUGUGCUAUGUUUAAUGUAAUCCAUUGAAUAUGGAUCUUUACUAGCUCAGUCGGUGCUCAUUUAUAUGCGGUUUCCCAAAAUUCCCAGAUGAGGAACUUUGAUCAUAAUUAUACUUAAUGCCUUGAUUUUUCCUGCCAAAAUUUUUAAGUGAUAGAACUACUAUGUUGUCUAUUUCAGAUUGUAACACAUAGCAAUCAAGUACCCAACAAGCUCUUAAACAAAACAUGAUGCAAUGUAACUCACAAAUAACCAAUGAUAUAUGUAUCAUUUCUUGUGAAAGAUAAUACUACAAGUGGCACUGUCCCUAUACAGUUUAAAAAAAAAUAAAAAAAAUAUUAUUUUCUCUCUUUUUUAUGUAUUUAUAGAUAUAUACCUUAGUUUAUUUUUUUUAUAUACAUAAGAACAAGAAGGGGCUACUUUUCGCAGUCUCUGACAAUGUUCCGAACGUAAACAAAGUUCCAUUUGAGUUGUAAACUAAUUUACCCACAAUCCAUCAGUCAAAAGAAUCCCACACAAGGGCAAACUGUCAAACUGCAGACAUCAACUGAGAAAUGAGAACAAAAUGGUGGUGCACAGAUAUUAAGAUACAGCUCAGGGACAGAAAGAUAAUACAUAUAAAAAAGGGCAAGGAGGGAGUAUGGUUAUUUAGAUACAAGGUGCAUACGAAUUUGAAACUGAAAAAAAACACAACAUGACAAAAUAAUAUUUUUAAAAUUACCAGGUUACCUUGAAAAUUAGGCAAAAAUAAAUGUAUCCCGUGAAGAAAAAUAUUUAUUUAACAAUUAGGCAUGUUUUAAUAAUGCAAGACAUUGUUUAUCAACGUAGAAUAGGCGUUGAUAUUGUUAGAUAGUUUUCUUGUAAAACAAAUUGUAAAACAGUAUUUUUACACAGUGAAGCUUUAAGUGUUUUCCACUUAACUGCUUUUCAGGAACUUGACGUUUUAAAUUUAAGGCCAAAGAGUUGAAUUGGAACAAUCAUCUGAACUAGUUAUUCUUUUAGGUUAGGAUUUUUGUAUUUCAAUUUAAAAUUCCCCAGGAAUUGCUGGCAUUUCUUGGUUUAGCGAAUAUCCUUGCCAAUCAGUUGCUUCCUGGGUUUGGUCCCGCAUGUAGAAACUGAACGCUUCCAUAAAAAUAUGCAUUGAAUCAAUGCAUCUCUUCGAGGAGAUACUGAAUGGCAAAAGCAUUGCAAUUUUCAGUGCAUGCUCACUAGCCUCCUAAUGUUUCUCAUUGGGGAGCAUUGGAUUGGCUGAAAUCAUCAAGACUGAUGAUCUCAGCAGAAGAGAUGGAGCUGGAGCACACACUGGCACAAAUGAGGAUCUAAGGUAAGUAAAAAGUAUCUAAAUGGUGACUUGAACACUAUAGCGUUCGUAAUAAUAUUUGUAUUCCUAAUGCUAUAGUGUUCCUUUAAAGAUGUGAAAAACAAUGUGAUAUAAGUCACAGAGAUUGUAUAAUGAUUUAUAUUUCAUGUUUUAUUUUCUAGGAAUUGAGUGGAUAUGGUAUAAAGGUUUUAUAGACAGCAAUAAAAUGCACAAUAAAUAUUUGUAUAAACUGAUUUGCAAGAAUGAAAUUUUAUAACACCCCCUUGCAGGAUAAUGCAUACAAACGAACAAAUUCCACAAUAGAUGCUUUAAAAUCACCUGUACUCUACAAAAGCACAAUGAAAACGUUUACAUCUCUCUGAAUUACUUUACCACAUUAACCAGGUGCCGUAGUGUCAUUUGAGAUUCCACUGAUGUCCCAUGGCAUUUUUUCAAAGCUCGUGGUGCUGAAUAGGCUUGAUAUUGAUGAUUACAACCUUGGUAUUUGUUUUGAAAUAGUUGUGGGUGGUAAAAAAUGUAUUUUAAUUUGAGACAAUAUUCCAGCUGCUGUAUAAAUAUGGAUUACAUGUUUUGGUACAAAUAACACCUGGCUCUAUUAAACUCAAAAUGUAACACUUUUCUACAUGCAACCAGUCCUAAAUCCUUCAAAACCCCAAACCUGACUUUGAAUCCUUGUAAUGCUACACACUAAACGUCCUCCCUAAAAAUCUACACUAACCCUAACAUUAUCUUAGAGUCUUAAUUUUAAAGGAUGUGUCACCUCAAAAGUAUGUUUUUAAAUAAAAAUCCUUUUAUCAAGUUUUGAAACAAGGUAUUUGUAGAACAAAAAAUUGGAAAAACAGAGAUAAGACAUAAUUCAUCACUAACCACAAGCAACACAGAACUUCGGGAUACGGCUGGACAGUUAAUCUAAAAGGAACACAAAAAAUAUACACAAAAUAGUGAAGUACAAUUAACACAUGGUUUUCCGCUGAAUACAAAUGCACUCACAGAAUGAAGUAGAAUAUAUCGCUCAUAGGGUGCCUCCCCUAGUGGAAUGGGGGGUUGGUAAUCCCUUGGCUCCUUCUUAGGCUUCCUUAAUGAAGCCAAAAAAAAAUGUUUUUUUAUAUACUGUAAUUGUAUAUUGAUUUUAUUCUUUAUAUACGGUCCCUGAUGAAGUUCUUUGCAGAACGAAACGCGUAGGACCAUACCGUUUUUUAUUAUACUUUAUACUGAUGGUGAAUACUCACCUUUUAUCAAUAAAUACAUCUUUUUUCUACCAUUACCUGUUUGGAGUCCUGAGCAUCAUUAAGGAAGCCUAAGAAGGAGCCAAGGGAUUACCAACCCCCCAUUCCACUAGGGGAGGCACCCUAUGAGCGAUAUAUUCUACUUCAUUCUGUGAGUGCAUUUGUAUUCAGCGGAAAACCAUGUGUUAAUUGUACUUCACUAUUUUGUGUAUAUUUUUUGUGUUCCUUUUAGAUUAACUGUCCAGCCGUAUCCCGAAGUUCUGUGUUGCUUGUGGUUAUCUAUGUUAAUAGGUCGUUUUCUCUGGGUAACGAUCUUGGGAGGCUGUAAUAAUUAAGUUAAGUAUCUGUAUACAUCUCACUACAGUUAUUAUCUUGAGUAGUGUGUAUAUUGUACUGUAUUAUAAUUCAUCACUACCUUUAGUAUAUGACAGCAUCCUUCAGCCAUAUACAUACACAUUUGGUGGGACGGUAUUUAAAAACAGACUUUAUCUGGUCUUCCCAACUUCACUCCCUGCACAAAAGCAGGGAAGCACAUAGAGACUAACUGAUGGUUAUCAAACACUGUUUAACUCAAGGUGCAUAUAUAUGGAACUUGCCAUAUACUAAAGGUAUGGAUGUGUUUUUCCUUUAACUCCUUGUUUUUUUUCUCAAUAUUGCAACAUCAUAUUUAUUGAGGGCAUUGAAAUCAUUCUAUUUUGAAGAUGACAUUUCAACUGUGUAUGAAAUAUGUCCCGUAUUUCGCACUUAUAAAAUGGAACUUAGUAAUAGUAAAACUAACUUUAUUAAACAGUAGCAAGCAGACAUUACCGUGGUAAUAUGUAGUCAUGACUGAUCCAGCAUUAAAUAUUUGUGUCUGGUGGCUUCCGAUUUAAAAACAUUUCUUGCAAACGUGGGUCAGAUUCUCACACUGUUUAGAUAAUUUUGUCCCUUUCAUCCUUUCAGAAAAUGUCCAACUCAUGAAAUUCAAGGAAUUCCUUGUGGGGAGAGCUCAUAUCAAGACCAAUUAUAAAAAUUCCAUUUAUGUCUGGACAUUGGUCAGGUCACUCCACCAAGCAUAAUUUAUUCUACGAUAGCAGACUUGGUUUUUGUUUUUUACACAAUAUAUCUGAUGAAUAACUGAAAUUCUCUUUUAGAAUCUUCUCAAUGAGAAAGAAUUUCUCAUGGCAAGCCGCUCAUUUCUUGAGACAUGAAAGUAUCUACAAACUAUUACAUACCCACCACAAUGCUCCAUGAUCUGUAUAAAGGCUUUCUAUUCAGACAGAGUUUUUAAAACCUUUAGUAUAUUAAGGUAGAAAUAACUAUAUAGGAAAAAUACUUAGUUAUAUUACCAGUUUAGCUAUUUUGUGUUCUUUUUUCCUUUUUUUCCUUGUCAAACAUGUUUCUCUAUCAAAUAAAUUAGUUCUACAUUUUUUUUUGUUUCUUUUCUAUGCAAUUUCUUUUUCUACCCAGAAACCACUAUCCCAGGAAGCUUGUUGUUCAGCUUUAUCUAAUAUUUAAGUUAGAACUGGUGUAUUAGGAAUUUGAUUGAUUAGCGAUUAUUAUAUAUUUUUAUUAUUACAUUAUUAUAUUCUAUUAUGAUAUAGCUAUGGAAUUUCCUUCAGGUUUAAAUACAUUUAUAUCUUCCACACUAAAAUGAAAAUUAUAAGCAUGAUGAAUAGAGAACUGAAUUAACUUUUUCUGCUUUGGUAUAUUAUGAGAUAAAUAGAUAUUCCAACAGUGGUCAUUCACUGAAUAAGACACAGAUUGUAUAAUUUAGAAAAGGAAGAAAAUGAUCAAUUCUACUGCUCAAAGUGCACCGCCACCUACCUCAGGUGACACCAACCUAAAAUGGCAGUAUAAAAAAUAUUUAGCAAAUUACUUCAAUCCUGGCAGGUUUGUUGUUGACUCUGGUAAUCCUCUGUUAGUUGCGGGGGGCAUUUAUUUGUGAUUAAAUGGUCUCUUCACAGGGUUUGCAAUAUUGUUUGCUCAUCCCCUUUUUUAACAAAUAUGUAUCCGUGAGGUUUGAAAAAUGUAAUCGAAUGCAGAAAUUCAUACUUUGUAUUCCUGCAACUGGAUUCUCCUGUCUUCCUGUCAAUCAUUGUUAAAAACUUGGUCCUUUGCACCUGUCAGUCAGCAAAGAGAAAACAUACAGAGAAAAGGGCAACUGAAGCAAUUUGCAAUGUUUGCCCUGACUUUGCCUUGUCUGAACUGGAGUAUGAUGUAAUUUGUUAAAUCUUUAGUAGAAAUUUAAAAGAAAAGGGAACAUCUCGUGAAAAAAAUAGGAUAUUUUAGUUAUUAUAAAGUGUCUAUGUAGUAAACAACUGAAAACGUCAGACUGACGAUGUAAAUUAUAUUUCAACAAUAGCUUAAGGUUCCAAUUCUCUGACACAGGACGAGGCAGUUAAAAUCUGGGCACCUUCAUACAUAGGCACCAUAAAAGAAAACAGACAUGGGAAAGGUUUAUCUUCUAUUGAAUUUUCACAAACACGUUUCUCACGUUUUAGUACAUGUCCCCUUUGUGAUGGCUCUCCUGAAAUAAAUGGUAAAUAAGAAGAACAAAAUGAGUUUUUCAUUGUGUUUUUGUUGUGCUGUUUUUCCCCACAGCUCAAUUAAUGUUGGAACACACACUACUCCUGUAUGUGCUUCAUCUGCUCUCUUUUAACUUAGGGAAUAGCUAAAAGUGAUUUGAUAAAUAAAUCAGCAUUUAAAUGAAAUGAAAUGAAAUAAAAUAGUAAUGUGGUAAAGCAUAUCAGAGAGCAAGCCAGGCCCUCAGUUUUAUGUUGAGCGUGAAAAGUAAUGCACAACACAAGCCACAAAUAACGGGCCCGAGUUUAGCAUGGCAGAUUCUGUCCCUAGCUAUGGAAGCCCAAAAGAACGGAUGCUAUGCAUACCAAACUGUAUUGCCAGAUCUCUUACAUAUGCAAGAAAAAAAGACCUCGACUAUCCAAACAUAAGGAUCAAUAAACAACUUUUAUUCAAAGUAGACGUAAGGCCAGGACAUACAGUAAGGAGUACAAAGAUUACCACUGACGUGUUUUGUGCCUCAUUGGCACUUCAUCAGAGACAUACUUUGGAUACUUGGAAGCAUCAUUGGAAAGUAAAUGAACAUGAGUUUGAACAGGGAAUAUAAUAAAAUGAAUGAAACCUGAGCUUGGACUGGCUUUUGGAAAGCAAUUAUUUGACUUUGUGCCUGACCUUCUUUUUCUCAUACACUCUGUUCUGUCUUGGUGUUAAGGGUGGAUCCCUGUUGUUAUAGGUUUGAUUAGGGACAGUACUGGGGAAAAGAUCACAUCUAGGGAGUUUUGGGGUAAUGUUGUAGAACAAAGCAGAACAAAGAUCAUUUUGUGACCUUUAAUCCUCAGCUUAUUUGGUGCUCAGGGACUAGAGUGUACACUCUUGUAUUCUAGAGUCACAGAUCCGAUUCCUGCAAGGAUUUCAAUGAGGUCAAUAAAACGUGUACCGUGCAUACCACAGAUAUACUUGAUAACGUGCAGAAGAGAAAUGUUCUCUUCCUGAUUAAUCCCUUAAGGCCACAAUAUUCCAUCAUGAUUCCCUUUUAUGUCUGAAGUUGUGUCCUUAAGGGGUUAAAUGAAAGGAAUGGGAAAGUUGAUACAUUUGACUAGAGAGUGGGGAAACCAACAUAUCGCUCCCCCACAUCUAAGUCGGUUUGCUGGAUAUGCAAAGUGUGGUGUAAUAAUUCUGAUUUGUUUACUGUAAAUGUAGGUAGUAAGGAAAUAAAAAAUAUUCAUGACAUUGCUAUUAUCUGUUCCGUAAUAAAAUAAUAAAAACUGAGAAAAAAAAACAACAAAUCUGCAAAUUAGAGGAAAAAAAAGAAUGAAUUCUGAUCCAUCUGUCAACUCCUGGCGUAGGUUUGUAUGUUUCAAAUUCCCCUGAUGGAAAUAUUUGUACUGUAUAAUUAAUAUGCUCUGCAGGCCCUCUGACAGCCAAUGGAUUACGCUAGUGAACUAUCGACAUCCCUUCUGGUUGUUUUGCAUUCUAUUUUUUUUUUUUUACGUUGUAUAAUUCUCGAUAUUUAUUUCAUCAUCCAGAGACAUAUCGUACAUUUUAUGCAGACUAAAAAUGUAUAUAUUAUUCAGAAAGGUUUAUGAUAGACUCUAACACAUGCUUUCCUGUUGGAAUCACUAUAAGAGGGUUUUGGAUGUCUUAUGAUUUAAGGGAUUAAAAGAAGAAGGUAGUGUAUGAAUCAGAAGUGAUUUGCUUCAAGAGAACCCAUCAUAGCUUAUACAUUAGUGUUUUCUCUCUUGUACACGUUCCACUGGGAACAUAAUAUACCAGAAAUUAGUUCAGAUAGACAGUGUAUGCACAAAACUGCAACUGUUUCAGCUGGAGAUUAAAAUAAUUCUAUAUUUCAGUUGUGUUUUAGGUUGUUUACCACAUCCAGUAAUAUUUUUUAUUUUUUUAUCUCUUCACACACUCUGUUUAUUCUAUUAUUUCCAUUUUCUCUUUCAUUUCACCUCCACAUAAUUUUACGGCUCUGUUUUGUUUUCUCCUUAGUCAAUACACCAAAACCAGUAGAAAAGGAACAAUUUUGUUGUGGGUUUUUUUUCAACAUUGUUUUUACACAAGAACAGAGCCAGUUUUAUAUGUGAUUAAUUAAUCCUUUUUAAAUGCUGGGUUUUUAGUUUUAUUUAAAAAAAAAAACUAAAUAAUUUACCUUUAAAAUGAGACACAUAACAAGCACAUUACUAUACGAUAAAACAUUUGUUUCAUGCAUAGAUUGCCAUUCAGAGAUUAUUAAAACUAAAUUAUGUAGUCAUUUUAUGCAGUCACAUUUAAUCUUCCUUUUAAUUGUUCAUCGUUUAUGAAUAUAUUGAGGAAUAAAUUUGCUCACAUUAAAUGGUAUCCUCUAUUUUACAAUAUUUCUGACAUAGUUAAAAUGGGAUCACAGGAGAUGAUGAGUUCCUAUGAUGAGUGUUAUGAAGUUUGUUAACUGUAUUCACCAAACUGAAACUUCAAAGUGAAUUUUAGUUUUAAGGCCAGAGUAGCCAAAGUGAAAACAUAGCUGUUCUAGUUCGGCUAGUUUAAAUUCACUUCGAAUUCUCAGUUUAGUAAAUAAACCAGUUUAUAGCAGUGGUGGGAAUUUGUAUUAACCUUUGUUAGUAACUCUCAUAGAUUACUCUUUGCCAAUUUUGUUUUACAUACAUUACCUUACAAGUAGACAUGCCAUUCAUGUCAUUUACAGGUGUGACAAAAUAAAUCAUUAAAAUUGGUUGAAUUCCAGUAUUAAUCUGUAUUUUUCAGGAACCAUAGAAGUGUGCUCAAUGUGCUCAGAAUCCCUCUUACUUCCUGCAUGCUCCACUUGCUUCCUGAAUACAGGGAUAUAUACUACAAGCUUGCUGUAGUACAUGGGAAAUUAGAGCGGUUGGUCACCAUUUAUAGUCCAAGAUGCUGGGGACAUAAUAGAUAACAUAGCAAAGACAUUUGUUUCUCUGCAGGGUGAAAACAGCUUUGGGACAAGAUGCAGGCAAGUCAUGCUUUAUGGCCUGAAUUUUGUUUUAUAAUACUCAUCGCAAUACACAUUAUUGGGAGAGAAGUGGUUACUUUUAAAACCCAUCAUCUGGAUAUCCAUUUAAUAUACAGAUUUUAAAUGCUAAAAUAAUAAUUUGAAGGGAGACAAGGCCUACUUUAUUUUUAAUCAUAAUUACUAAACGACAUAGUCAUAAUACUGACAGAAUGUAAAUAUAUAAUCAAUUACAAGCACAUAUUAUGGAUAAUUUCAAUAUAUUUAGUAACCCUUUACUUUGACAUGUUUACUUAUGUUAAAAGUACACACCAGAUUUACCUUGACUAAAAUCCACAUUUUAGUACAUUAUGCAAUAGAUUACAAAAUAAAUUUUAAGAAAAAUGAAUGCAAACAAAGAUUGCCCCUUAUUGAAAAUCUCUUCGGAAGAUAAACGCUACUCACAACAACAUUUUCAGACAGUCAUUGUCUUCUCAUGAAAUAUAUUGGAUAAGCCCUGUGCAUUUGUGUGACUCUGUGCAUAUGUGUAUUGAAUACAUAUAUAUGUAUGUGUGCCGUAUUACCUUGCUUUUUGGAGAAACAUUCUAAGGGAUAUAUAACUGCUGUUAGUGUUAUCAUUGACUUCAAUUGUGCCGUAGCGGUGCGCCAGUCUAUCUAUAGUGAUGUUUACAGCACAUAUAAAGGCAGCCAUUGGUACUCCAGGUGUUGUGGACUAUAUCUCCCAUAAUGCUCUUACAAAUAAUAAUGCUAUCAAAGCAUUGGAGGAGAUUUAGUCUACAACAUCUGAAGUGCCAAAGGUUGCCUACCUUUGAUAAAGCACAUAACCAGAGUAAGCCCUGCUUUAAGAAGAUGUCUGAAAUGAGAGAUUAGUACAGAUGGGUAAAGUCCACAUCGUCUUCAAUUUUUGAAAUGUGGGAUGUAUCAUGUAAUGCUGUUCAGAAUGGUGAUAAGAGGGAAUAUUGAAUACUAUCAUAUAUAAAUAUAGUUAUGGCUGGUAUUUUUUCCUAGAAAGGUGGCAACCCUAGUGCUGUCUGCAUAGUAUGCCCUUUUCUUGGCCAUUUCUUGCAUUCACGCCAGACUGACCUUUAAAGUUUUGGGGCAUGUUGGCUCCUUUUGGAGGUUCUGGUUAUGUGAUUCGUGUCAGUGGCCCACCCGUUUACUCUGCCCACUGACAUCCUGCUUCACCGGACACUGCUGUUAGGCGGCAUAGAUUUACAUGAAAAAUAAAUGCGAGAGAUUAGCAUAGGGUAUGUGUUUUCUUAUAGCUGCAUCUUGUGAGUUUCCCUACAACACCAUCUCCACCAGAUACAUGGCGCUUGGGAGAUAUGACUGUUUUAGUGUUUUCUGUCAAUAGGAUUCUGUAAAUAGGCCCAUCAUAAUAGUCAGCACCAGGCCAAAUGGGCUCCUAAUCUGACCCUGGUUGCAAUAGGUAGUCAGCAGCACCAGAUCAAUACAAGUGGGGAUCAACCACACUAGACAAGAACAAUCAAGCACAUAGUAGCCAGAUGCAAGAUGUUAGCAGGAACAGUAUAAAUUGAAAGGUCCAACCAAGAUACAGGGAUUGUGAAACAUCUGCCAAUAAUAAAGGCCGAACCUGCCAGAUGAACUACAUUAAGUAGCAAAGAGCAUUUCAAAUUUGAGAUCCAAAUAACCGAAUUGGAAACAUUUUCUAAGUCAGCUAUGCAUUCAUUCAGCUAAACUGGCCUUAAAUUUGAAAUGUACUUUAAAUUAUAAUUUUAAUAAAUAACCCUAUUUGUACAGUGGUUUAUAAUUUAGAAUUAAUAUAAUUAUAUCUCUUUAAAAAAAAAUUAAUAAUUAUGUAUUAGUUAUCGUAUUGACCAUGACAUAGUUGCAAGCCUUUUUUUAGUGCCACUAAACCAGUCAUAUCUUGUGCAGAGUGCAAACUGUAAAACAAAGUGUCAUUAUGCUGACUUGCAAAGCACAUUUAUUCAUGAACCAAGCAUUUUGGAAAAUUUAUGGAACUGCUAAUUUUAAGCCGAAUUACAAAAAUUACCUAUGUUUUGUCUCGUUUGCAUUAGACUACAAUAUACAUUUCCUUUGUCGGUUCUUUACAACUCCUUUGGUAUAUUGCACUCUGAAAAUUAGCUCUGAACUCUAUUUAAACCCUUCAUAUAUUUGAACGCAUUUAUCUUAUCCUUCCAACUUAUUCUCUGCUCUAAGCUAUACAUAUUAAGUUGAUUAGCACUGGAGAGAAAAAAAGGGUUAGACAGACAGGAAAAUUAUUUCUUAAUUCCGGUCACAGUGUGUGUUUCUUCAUUAGAUUGUGACUACCUCAACAGCAGAGAAAGAUUCAGUCAAAAUGGAUUACAUUCAUGUAGGAUCAUAGGAUGGGUGGAAAAUUGUAUUCCUGGGGCAUGCUUUGCGACAGAUCCAGAAAUGUAAGCGUCUGUAAAUACAUUUGCUGCGCGCAGCCUAGUACUAAGUAGAAGCUAAAGGAACAUUGGUCAUUUAUAUCAAACAGACAACAAUCAGAACUGUGUGCACAUUCUGUAGAGCAAGCACAGAACGAAUCCAGGGAUUUUAGAAAAGUUAUGGUAGCUAGCACAAGAAAUUAGUUAUGUCCUGUAGGUAUUUGCACGCACAAAUGUAAGUGUCCUUAUAGGCAACAUUUCAACACAGCAGAGUCUUUAUCAAGCUAUAAUGGUUUGGAGUCGAAAUAUUGCCUUUCGUAUCCAAUAAAGACUCCACUGGAUGUACCCUUGAUUUUCCAGAUCUCUCUUUUAAGAGCUCGUAACAAUGACUGAUGGGGAGAUAGGAUGGAGGCCCCCAGUUUUAGGAGAAUGAUAUUUGGAUUUCUACAUUUAAUUUAAUUUUUCAAAUCUCAAAAAUACAUAUUUGUUAAAUAUACAGAGAUGAGUAAACAUAAUAUUAAAAAUCAUUGAAAAUUACAGUUCUCGUUUAAAUUGAUUCAAUCUCAUGUUUAUUCUAAAAACAAAUUAGCAAAAUUGACAUAGACUUCCUGCAGGAAUAACAGGCAUUCAGCAUCAUGCCGUAUCUAUCUGGUGAAAAUGUCAUAUUCCAUGACAACACUCACUGGGUAGCUCCCCAGUCUCCCCAGUCUCCCCAGUAUGGCUUCUGAAGCUUUUUUUCUCGAACAUUCCAAACCUAAUGAUGUAAGCUAUAGUCAUUCUUGCUGGAGUAUAGAGACCAUCAACAUUGUUGCAGAGCCUACAAAGUUCUAAUGGUAUGUCAUGUGAAUAACACUGGACAUUAAGGUUAAGACUUCAGCACUCCCAUUCUGCUCUUUCCUAAAGGAUUGUCUAGUAUGUUCAUCUGGCUAAGCCUAGCAGCAGUAAAAUAAUAGGGAUUAAGCCUCUCAACCAAGAAAAUUAAAAGUUCUGCUGACUACUCAUUCCAUGAUCAUUCUUUGACUUUAUUAGUCAUUUUGAAGUGGCCACCUCGACAUUGAAAAAUAGUCAUAUGUUUAAACAGCAAUGAGAACCGCAUUUGUUAUAGCUUGUUUACACAUGAUCACAAUAUGAAUCUGUUUGAAUAGUUUUUUUAAAUGUUUUGUAUUCAAAACAAUUCUAGAUGACUAAAGCGACUGGUACUGACAACAGUGGUUUAAAAAUCGACAAUCAUAAAUAAAAAUCAUAAAUUGUCUUAACCUCUUUUUCAUUACUUGUCGGUGUUACAACUAGAGAAUAAAUUGCACCCUUGUAACCAGCUCUAUUAAUAAAGCAGACUAACAGUCUUAUUGGAUACAUUGAUUAUUAUUGUGCGAAAGCGUUUGCCAAGAUGUUAGAAGAGAAAAAAAUGGGAUUGUUUCCAACUUAAUGUUUUUGCUUAGCAAAAUGUCCAUGUAAGCUCAUCAUCACGUCUAUUUGUUGACCGUAGAAAUCUAGCGAUGUCAUUCCAAGUGGGACAAUGUCCAGCCCUCCACACACUUAGGUAACAGCGUGGUCUGCCAACAUACCUUGUAUUGCUGAUUAACUCUGGAAGCACAACGAAGCAUACACUACAAUCUCAUAAAUAAGAAACAGAAUGAACAGCUGGGAACAUCCAAAUAGGAUUGUAUGUUUUAAUUGCAUCUUAGACUACAUUAAAUGGUGUGCUUUUAAUUCAUUUUCAUGCAGAUUUGCUUUAUUACCUAUUCUUCCAGUGGGGUUUUUUGGGGGGGAUUUGCUGCAAACACACAUUUGCUCAUUUGUCAAUAUGUUUUUAAAUUAUAACAUUUGGAAUAUUAAGAAGUAAAUUUAUUUAUUAUGAUACUGACAAAACAAAAAUCCCUCCUUUGGAUUAACAUUAAAAAGUGAGGCAUUAUUUUCAACUUAAAGGAACAUCAUAGUGUAUUCCUAACACUAUAGUGUCACUCUGUCAUCCUACCCCCUUCCCGAUCCACCUGAGCCAAGACAGGGUUAGAAAAAAACUUUCUUUCACUUAAAUGGUUCCAGCCUUGAAAUCUCUCAGUGCUGGACUGGGCAGCACCUCCUGCAACGUUACAGCGUUUCAGUAAUCUAAUGUGCAUGUGCGGCAAGCACCACACGCACAUUGGGCCUUAAUCAUAGACAAAUGAUUAGAUCAGUUCUUUCCUAUGGGAAUUUUCAAGAUGCUGUGUGUUGAGGACCUUCAGAGUAGAUUUAUUGAGUUAAACUCUGAAAAUGAGACUCUAGUGGCUGUUUGGAAGAGAGCCACUGGAGACUGUUUUAACACAACACUGUAAACAGUGUGGUUUCUCUAAAAAUGCAACAUUUCCCAUUGCAAGGUUAAAGGAACAGGAACACUGCACCCAGAAGACCACAUCAAUGAGAUGACAUGGUCUGAAUGCCAAUAGUGUCCCUUUAAUGACUGAUGCAAUACUUGCAUCCUCCUUCAAUAUUCAGGAUGAACCACGAUGAAGCCGAUUUGAAAUGGAGAAGAGGUCAGUUCCUCAAACAAUAUAUUAGACAAUAGGUCACAGAAAACCAUAAGCAAAAAAAAAAAGUUCUAAUACAUACAAACAGUAUGAUAAACAACAUUGCUGAGGAUCAGUAAGCAUCACAUAGGCACAAGGAAGUGAAGUUUGAAAGAGAAAAUGGCUCAAAAGGGAUUUAACAGCACAUAAUUACAUUGUUCUCAUCGUCAUCUGCAUUAUCUCCCUGUAGUGCCCUUCCAUAUUUCAAUGUACUGUGCUCCAAUAAUUAGUUUGUUCUACUGGGGAACAAUGUUUCCAGGUUAACUUUAAUUAUACGCUAUAAAUAAACUAUCACUUAUAAUUAUAUCAGUCAAGCUGCCAUAUGAUACUACCAGAGGUAAUCAAUUUAAUUUUUUUUUUUUUUUUUUGGUCAUUCUUUUAUUGAAGUUUCCAUGAACGGUAACAGGAAGCACAAAAGUGAAAACAAAGCAAACUAAACAAACAAACACAUAAAUAAAUAAGUAAAAAUAUUUAAUUAUACGUAGUGAGAAGCAGUAAUGAUUAUAUUAUAUGCUGUUAAAUAUACUGUAAUUUCAGAAUAGGUUAAUACUCUAUCAUCUAGAAGGAACUACUUAGUUAUAUGCGAAUUAUUGAUCUUAGGUGAUUAUGAUGAUGUACUAAGGUAUUGUGUAUCAUCAUUUAUUAUUUAUUAUUGCGUAUUGCUAAUUACGUUUUUAGCUUGUUCAAAAAUGAUAGACGACACUUGGAUGUUGCCCCCUUUUCACCCUUCCCUAUUUUGCUUUCUGUACCCCUUUCCUUUCCCACGUUUUGAUAAAAGAAAUAAAAAUUGUCAAAUUUAACCCCUUAAGGACCAAACUUCAUGUGUCCUUAAGGGGUUAAAAAAAUAAAUAAAUAAAUAAGUAAAAAGAUUAAUUUGUAUUUUGUUUGUGGUUUUAGACAUUUCAUAAUUCUCUUAUAUUUGUUAAUACUCUCCUUUUACCAUAUAGUAUAACAUUGCUUUUCUCAGCCUUCAGGGGUGUAUUUCUGAUUAUUACCCAUUCUCAGGUACUCUAGCAGAGACCUUGGAGUCUGUGGGUUCUACGUAGUAACUUGUUCCUAAAAGAGUACUCCUCUGGACAGAAAUCUCACCUGGAAUCAGCUGAAGCCACUCUCCCAACUUGGGGGGUGGGGGGUGGCGGGGGGGGGGGGUUACAGCACAAGUGCACCUAUUAAAACCAACUGGAACUACUACAGCCUUCACUUUUUGCAUCCUUUAUAGCUCCUAUUUCAGCUUUUGGUAUAUUAUAUACUAUAUAUACUGGACCUCUUGACCAAACUAUUGUAGUUGGUCACUAGUUUGUCACUGGGUGACACUCAAGUUACAUGCUGAAUAAAUGAGAACAUUCACAGAUUUUGUAAAAAAAAAAGUGUAUUAACAAUCAAAAAUCACAAUAUAACAUCAGUGUUUCAACCACUAGGUUCUUGAUAAAGGUUAAUGUUAUGCUAUAAUUUUUGCUAAUAAUAAUAAUUGCUAAUGCACAUUUUCUGCAAGAUCUGUGAGUGCUCUAAAUUCAUCAUAAUAAAAAUAUAUAUUUCCUAAAAAUUUUAAUUCUGUUUGAAUCCACUUUGAAUUUCUGACAAUUCACCCUUUUGUAAAUAACCCUGAGAUAGUUAGACAGACAGACAGACAGACAGAUAGAUCUGUGUUAUUUAAUCUACAUCUUAACCAGAUAAACAGUGUAACCUGUAAAAUAAAAAGUAUAUAUUUUUUAAAACUUAGUUAUCUAAUGAGACUAUGGGAUAAGGAUAGAUAAAUCGGCCUUCCAGAAAUGAAUUGGGAGCAAAUUUAUUAAACCACAAUUUUCUUUGAACUUGAAAAAAAAAUUUUUUUUUGAGAGACAAAAAACCCAGUAGAUAGCAACUAUGUUGUCAAGCUAUUUUUAACGCGUUUCGCAUUUUUAAGGUUCUUGUUUAUAAAAUGUUUUAAUAGACCAACAUCAAGUAUCACCAUAUAAAGGUGCAAAAUUAAAAUAAAGCAAUUGUACCUGGACUGAUUUUACCGAGAUACAGAUUUGAUUAUUUUAAUAGCACUAGUUUGUAUACAUAGCAAUAAAUAAAUUCCGAAACAGAAAAAAAAAUAUGUAUUCAAUGCAAAGUUAGCAUUUCCAACCAUGCAAAAUAAUUUCUGUGGCUGCAAACUUCCUUAUCACAGUGUCCCACAGGGUGAGCAAGCAAUGUGAGAUAGAAAAUAAACAAAAAAUAACCAAAGUAUAAACAAAUAAAUAACCACAUGACAAACAUGUUAAAUAUUUUUUCCAGGGCGUUUAUUUAUUCCUGGGUAUAAAACAUAGUGACAUUAUCUCAAUGCAGCAGUACAGAUGUCAUUGCUUUGCAGUCAACUGGUAAUUGUAAUUUAAAAGGUGUGAAACGCGUUAGGCAUAGAUCCAUAACGUUGUUUGCCAUCUUUGCUUUUUUGUUCCUCAUCAUUUUGUCUGUCUCUUUCUUCAUUUUUAAUAUUCAAGUAAGUUGGAGAUUUAACAUUAAACCAGCUGCGGAUGUAUUAUCCACUGGCAGCCCCUUGCUUGCUGACAGUAAUCAUCUUCACUUCACUUGUGUUCAUUAUCUUGGCUGAAGAUCCAAAGUUAUAACUGAUGGGGUAAGAACAAAUGUAAUCUUUAGCACAGAAAGCCUUCCAAUAAAUUACUUAGACAACUAACGCCCAUGUACUCUUAUUUACAUGGAAAUAUCCACCCAUAACAAAUAAAAACAAAAUUAAAUCAAUUAUUCUUUUAAAGUCUUAUACAGAAAUAGAAAUUAACUCUGGUAGCUUCAGCUGGUACAUUAAUUUUACUUUGUAUUAUUAUUUUAUAUUUUUAAUACUGUUAUGAAUUUAUUAAUUCGAUUACUAGUUCACAACAAGAAAAAAUGAAGCAGGUUAGAAGAGAUAUCUACAAAUUUGAAUCCAGACAAUUGAUAAAUAUCUAAAUUGAUAUGUUUUGUGUGGGAUUUCGAUGUUUAGGUUUGAUUUUUCUUUUGUAAAUGUGGAAUUGCUCCACAUUUGGGGUCUGUUCACUUUAGUAAAUAUUCAGUUCAGAUAUUACUUACUGCUUUCUUGUCAAACAGGAAAGAAAAGUGAUAGCUGACGCAUUUUACAUUUUGCAGAAGCACUUGAGAAAAUAAAGUUACCUAUAUUAUAUUCAUCAGCGGACACACAGUUUUGCUCAGUGGGCAUAUGUGUGUAUGGGGUUUCUUUUACAGAAAGCCAAAUAUAGUAGAGUAUUGCAAGUGAGUAGAAUCAUUGAAAGGAUAUAGUAUUUACUAUAAGUAUUAAAAGCAUGAGUUGUGUGGCAUUGGUAAAACAAACCAUACCAUUUAUAGUGAUAUGGCGGUAUUUACUUAAAUAUAAUUAUAGAUGUAUUUAUAUCUACCAUUGAAAAUAAUAUGUACGUGGUUAUAUGAACGUGUUUGAACACUUUAUAUUCUCUAUUGCAAUACUGCCUCCAAUCUCCGUUAUGACCCUUUCCAUUUGAAAAAGAUUGGCAUCCAUUUAUAUGAGCAUUUACCGCUCGGCUUGGCAGCCAUGGCUCAUGUACUUCAGCCCUGUUUAGCUGCAUGUAUCCAUUAUAACAGCAUGAUAUCAUUCUCAUGUUUUCCAUUGCAGUUUUGUUUUCCAACACUGGGUGGUUAGAGAUCUGAACACCGUAUGGAAUGCGUCUGGUGUCCUGUACAUUUGUGUUUAACCUCACUGUUGUGAUGGUAACAAUGACUUAGAGAUAUGACAUUAUGUGUGUAUCUAUGUGAAAUCGGUUUACUACGACAUUGGGGCUGUAUUCUGCUUGGCACCUCUUUUCCUUCUUUCAAAUUAUCAUUCAUCAGUAGCAUACUAAAGAUCAGGUACUGAUUAAGUGCCUUGGGAAACCUGUUUUGGCAAUAUAUAAAAUUAGUCAGCAACUUCUGGUGUAAUGCUAGUUGUUGGUUGUUGAUCUUCAAACCAAAUGCUGGCAAACUGGUUUUACUCGUGAAAAUCUCUACCUUUGCCAGGGACGACAAACUCUGUAAGUGACAUUUUGGCCAUCCAAAAUAUUUGUCUUCAUGUACUCCGUACAGUGUCCGUAAAUGAGCGAGUUUUUUUGCAGCGUGUGUUUUUGGCGAGUUAUUCUCUAAAGUCUCAGUUAUUGGAAUUGGAAGUUUUUUUAUCUUUCUGAUACACAAAGCAUUAAUUAAAGCUGAGGGAAAGAUGUGGGGACAAAUAAACAGCCUGUUCUUGCUCAUGCCCACCCGAAAUCUUACCCUCGACAAUUCACAAGAUAUUUGAAACUAUAGGCCAAGGUCGCUGGGCAAAAGUUGGAGAUUGUGAAUCCCUAACGGAUGGAAUUCAGGUACCUGUUAUAUUUUAUUACAGGGUGAUAUGAGAUAUACCAUUGGUCAUGUCAUGGUGUUGAAGAACUGUGUUUUGGGGAAUUGAUUGCCAUGUGCUUGGUAUAUUGUGAUCUUUCUAUAAUAGUUCUAUUAAAACAUUUAUCGUCAGGGUACAAACUCAAUGAAUGCUUUCAUUUCUCGGUACUACAAGUGCAGCUGUUUUUUGCUUGAUGUGGGCAGAGGUUUUAGAAGACACUGAAGUGAAAAUAUCUAUUCGUCACCCAAACAUGUUUCUGUUCUAUAGAACCGGGUAAAUUACCCACUGAUUGCAUUGUUCAGAGUAGAAAUAAUUAUACAAGGAUGUUGGUCUUUGUGUCUGCAUUGCAUUGCGUAAUAAGCACUGUCUCCGGGACUGUCAGCAUCUAUCAGCAGGAACUGAACAGCGUAUGCAGCAACUUCAUGCCUGUUAUGUCAGAACCAAUUGCAGUAUCUGCUGUAGGUGUGAAUACUGUAUUCCUCUAUACGUGAACGGCAGGAAGCCUCAGUUAUCUGUCAAUGCAGCCUUACAUAAUUGCAUUUUCUCAGGGAAUGAGUUGUAUCCGUUUUUAUCAUAGAAAGGAAAAAAAAACUAUUCUAGUUGAGCAUAGUAUUGUUACAAGUCUGAAAGACAUAUAUUUUAUUACUACUGACAAUAAAAGAUUGCAUAUAGUAUAACCUUAUUGUUUAUUAUUUUGCAUUGCACACACAAGUUAAUAUAUUUUCAGUGCAAAUUGUUAUGUAACCUUCCAUCUUAAAGUCUUUUUUAAUCAGAAUCAAUACGUCUGCAACUGCCCGGUAAGAACAUCCAGAAUUCAAAAUUCUAAACCCAUCUUGGAGUGUGUUUUGUAGAUACCUGGCACAUGCGCAUGAUGUCAGAGUUUGUGAAUCCACACUAGCUCAUUUUACGACUUUAAGAUGGCUGCACCAUAGAGCAAGCAAAAGUCAGGAAAAACACUGAAAUAAAUAUUAGCUUAUUUGUAAGUAUUACAAAAUUAUAUAUAUACAGAGGAUGUUAUACAUUUAACAUCCAUAAUAAUUAAAAAAAAAUACUACAGUUUUCUUUUAAUAUCAACAUCUACCAACCCCUCAAAAAAGUAGACAAAAAAGCACAAAAAAGAGAUAAGAGUUGCUAAUGUAAUAUGUGUACAUACGUUUCCAUAUGGUUAUUACCUGAUUGGAGAUAGGAACUAGGGAGUACUUUAAUCAUGGUUGUAUUGUGAAUUUAAAAGUUCUAUCAUGGGGGGCGGGGCCGGACCGCCAACAGGAUCAGACGUGCUCUGUCUGAGCUCCCGCUUUGGGGCCGGAAAAUCGGCGCAAACUGGAGGCGAAAUCUUUCCAGCAACCUGUAACAGAGACUAAACUGAGCCCCAGAUCCUGGGGUACGAGGAGAUACCCCUCAAGAUCCUGUCUGGCGCCUACAGUAACCCGACAAAAGCCCGAGGCCUGCUGGAGCUUGAGCCGGGAUGAAACAGCCGCUCUCCUGGGUCUCCGGUUGGUGUCCGGCCUAACCCCCUCUGGACCGGGGGGGUCGUCCCGGUCUACAUAAGCAACUGCUAUUAUGCCAAACUGGGCGGAAAACAAUCACCCUGCUGGGAAACACUCACCGGCAGCACCCUCCCAAGAUGACCGCCGCACGCCAGCCACAUGUGUGAACUACCCACAGGAUGGAACUUGCACACAAAGGAAACCAUCCAGCGCCAUCUGACUACCACAGUAACCUGCUCCAGGGAUGUGUCGGCUCACUAAACUGGGCUAAACAAGGUGAUGUUUGCAGCAUAUAUAUUUGGUGAAAAAACUCCUUUGUGCCUGUGGAAAGCACCAUCACUCUCCUGAGGCCCACCCUACCCCUCCUGGAGGCAACUACAGUAGCUGCAGCUGCAUCCACGCUUCUCCUAUGCGACACAGUGCACCACUCAACACCUCAAGGUGCACCCUUUCCCAGACGGACAAGCAACCUUCAGAGAAAGCACACUGCCAGCACUGUGUAUUGAUUAAACAAACCCACGUAGGUCCUCUAACGCAUGUCUAAUUUGAAUGUGUUACAUGAUUGUGAUGCAGCUCACCGUAUGCAAAGACUCUAAGAACUCUGCCAUAAUCUUGAGCAUUCAGGACUUUAUAAGAUCUCAUCCAAAGGACUGAUCCAGUAGCUAUAUGGUACAACUUUAUUCCACCUUGCAAGAAUCACUCUUAAGUUUUCCUUUCCUUUUUUGCUUGUUGUCCUAGCUAAGCUCCUCUCUGCCUUGCAAAACACACCUCUUAUAACAUUGGUCCCCGCAGGCUCAGAUAGUAAUUCUAUGUGUCAAACCCAUGCACAGUGCUGUAUAUGUAUAUGUCCACUUAAUCCUUGUUGGGUGCAGAUAGCAAAGUGGCAGUGCCAAUAGGUACUGUCAUGGCAAAUAAGCCCAGUUUCACUCAUAACUACUUAACUUCUUUACUAAGUGUCAUGCCUGAUUUGUCUCUCCUAACUACUUACUCUAAUUUAAAAAUGUGCAACGAUACCAAUGCCAUAAGGAUGUCUUGCUAUGUAUAUCGAUCAGUUUGCUCCUGCUGUUGUGGCAUAGCAAAUAUGUCUGUUAAUCACAUGCACAAAUAAAAAAAAGAAUUAAAAAAAAAGGAAAGUUCUAUGAUAAGUUAUAUGAUAGGAAUUAGUUACUAUUUUGUGCAACAGUAAUAAUCUGAUAUUUAAUUGAAGUAAAUGCGUUCCUAGUGCAUAGUUGGAAAAAUGUAUUAGUUUGAAAACUCUGGCAUAUUGAAAUCUUUUUAAAGUUAUAGCUCAUUAUAUUUUCAUGCUACAUGUCUAACAUGAUACACACACACACAUAUAUUUGUUUAUAUAUAUAUAAAUAUAUAUAUAUGUGUGUGCGUGUUAUUUUUAUAUUUUAAAUAUUUAUAUUUCAGAUUUCUGUUUGAAUUUUUCUUCUGUUUGAAUGUUUUUGAAGACAGAAAUAAAGUUACAUUCUAAAUUAGAUUCUCUGUUUUAUAAUUUUCACAUUACAUAGACAUCCCCUUUUAUUCAAUAAGUGAUGGCCAAUCCCAAAGAGUACAUUUUAGUAAAUGUUGGCAAUUUACUGGCAGGUUGUUGACCUUAACUAGACAGCCAGAAAUUCAAUGACUAAGCUAUCUGACAACAUUGGUUGAACUAGCUUGUUUGAUUUUGAAAUCUGAAAUCCAGACACGGUGGUUGUCCUCUAUUAAGCAGAGCUCAACAGAGCCUAUAACAAAGAGGACAGAACCUACUUACACCACCCCCAUAGUAAGCAUAGUUAUUGGCCAGGAUAAACAGUAGAGGCAUUUUUUUUCAGCUUUUGUAAGUCGUCAUAAAUCAUAAUAAACGUUUAUUAAAAUGUAAUUACAAGCUGUUUUCAAAAUGGAUUCUUAGUUAAAACUUUCACACACAAAUAUUGAAGUGCUACAUUACUUUUCUAGUGUAAACAAAUAUAGCUUUCAAACCUUCCAUGCAUUCUGUCUACUAGUUCUAUAAGCCAUUACUGCACUAUUUUUCACCAUUCCUGCACUUAUUCUGAGAACCAGUCCUCAUCCCUAAUAUUGCUCUGCAUAUUCAAGAUGGUCGCUCAAAAAUUGUGUGUUUGUCAUUGAAACAAAACAAUUUAGGGGGAAAAAAAGGAAAUGUAUUCUCUUCUCCUUUCUUCUUUCCCAAUGUUUUUGAUUAUAUAAAGGAGCGGACAAGAUAUCUCAGUCACCAAUAGGAUUUAUAUAUACUUGUGUUUCUAUUAUACUUACAAUUCAGUUUGCAUGGUUUUAGGAAGAUAUACAUUUUUGUGACAAAACUAUAAAUUUUUAUUUUUUAAAUGUGUCAGUGCCGUACUAGUUUUCCCAGUCUAUCAACCAUAAUUAUUCAUGAUUCAUCUUCAUUUACUUAAUUAUUGUUAAGUUCUCAAAAAUAUUUACACAUUGUAUUGGAUCUCAUAUGUUAUUUCCAUCCAUGUACGUACAUAAAGGAACAGUCCAGGCAUCAUAGCAGUUUCAUCUCAAUUAAAGUUUUGAUGGUGUCUGUUGGUCCUGGGUGCCAUCUUACCUUAACGGGUUAAACCCAAGUUGAUUAGAUGGCCUCCAUUAGCUCGGUCCCACUUUUCCUGGCAAUAACUGAGCUUUCAAUGUGGAAACCUGGGCUGGGCACUGCUGAUUGACUAAUAAGCGGAUGCUCUCAACCUAUCACCAGCUCCCCAAUCAGAAGACCGUUUGAAAAACCCUCUGCAUGUACUUAAAUAUGUUUUUGAAUGCCCCAUGUGAAAUAGUUAUUGAAUAGAACCCUCAUCUGUGCAAUGGGGACGGUUACGUUUAGCUUAAGCAUCUGAAAAGUUAAAAAGGUGUAAACAGUAAAAAUACAUAAUUGAUACUAAUAACAUUAUAGCAGAACACCAAAUACCGUAUUUUUCUGUGUAUAAGAUGUAUAAGACAACCCCUAUUUUUUAGCAAAAGAUUAAGAAAUCAAUAUUUUAAACAUCAAAUAAAACAACUUUGAUAUUUUAGAUUUGACUUCUGUGGAUAACAACACACUUCUGAUUCUCAUACCUCCCCUGUACUAUGGUACUCUGUGAAAUUAAUGGCUCUAUAGUGAAUGCUGGGAGACUACAGCUCCCACAAUACAGCAGGUGGUGUGGGGGCAUGCUGGGAUGUCACAGUAGUAUUCCCUCUGCUCUCUUAUUCUCAUUUCCUCCCCAUAAAUAUAAAUCAGAAAGCAAGACCUACCUGAGGUGAAACAAACCUUAAUAUGGCUGCUCCUUUUAUGGUGUAGCAUGUCUCUGGAGUUAGGUUGGUGGUAAGUCUGCAUAUAGGGACCUCCUCCUUGCAACAGCAUUUAGAAAUGGGUCAAUGGGAGGGAGGCCAGGUAUGUGUGUGGGUCCCAUCUUAACUUAGGCCCCGCGCACAAGCGUUUUUUUUUUAACAAUUGUAGUGACAUUCCAUGUAUAAGACGACCCCCAAUUUUAGAUUAAAAAUAAUUAGAAAAAAACAUAGUCUUAUACUUGGAAAACUACGGUAAAUGAACUCAACAUUUAUAAUUUAUUCUUUAUCAUAAUUUUUCCUAACGUUCUAAUACUUUUCAGUGUGAAAAUUAAAUAAUAUAUAUGUAAUUAAAUAUACUAACAAUCUUUUUUGAUUCCUCUCUUGCAGGUUAUAAUGUCACUAUGAACAAUGGCCCAGCUGUAUUACAAGAAGGUGAACUAUUCACCCUACAGAGACCGGAUCCCACUGCAGAUUGUGCGGGCGGAAGCAGAACUUUCAUUAGAGGAAAAGGCCUACCUCAUUGCUGUAGAGAAAGGAGACUAUGCUAGCGUCAAGACUGCCCUGGAGGAGGCCGAAAUCUACUACAACAUCAACAUCAACUGCAUGGAUCCG